rnacentral:lncRNA from 1 species
UUUUCCUUAGAAAUUAAUUUGGGAAACAUAAAUAUUUUAUUUAUUAUUUUAUUUUUGUCCACUCACUCUAACGUUAUUAAAUGUUUUCCCUGGGCCCUUCGUUUUAAAUUGCCCAGUCUGCAGAGUUCGGGUUGGAUCUAGUAGGAGACGAGGCAUAGUCACCCGCAUUUCUGCCAGUUUUCGCCAGUAGGUUACCUGUUCAACCUACUCGUGUUUUCUUGCUUCCGCUUGUGUUUAGUAGCUCUGAAUACUUUAGAAUUUUUGUAUUUUAUGCGAUGUUCAGAAGUGAUAAAUUAAGAGUGUAAUUUGAAAUUUUCGAGUUAGGGUUGUCCAUCUGCAAGGGAGAUUUUCUUAAUCUUUUCAGUAAAUUUUCCUUGGAGGUGUUCCCCGCACGACUUACUCUGGGUUUCAGGGUGAAAUUCGGGGUGGGUCGUGUCAUAGGCAGCCGGGCGUCCCUCAUUCCUCGAGGCAGCUGUGGCCUCAGACCCAGACGGAGGUGUCUGCACCCCGUAUGCCUGAGAUACACCGGGCGCCCACUCCGGGUCCUACUGCUUCGGAUGGUGGGUCAUCUGGGGUACAGAUGCCGCUGCCUCAUCUGUUCCUUCCGCGGAUGAUACCGGCCUUACCUGCAGUCGAUGGCUCAAGGACGCCGAUUUAUCCACUGCCCCCGCCAGUGGCUCCAUCAGCGACAUACCGGUUCGUGCCUUUUGAUACGCCACUUAUUUCCGCGAGGGUAUCAUCAUCGGCGACAGAGACGGAAUCGUCGCGUCCACCGCAUCGCCCUCAGGCAAUGAAAGAUUAAUGAUUUGUUUUCUUAUAAUUAAUAAUAAAGGGUCUCUGAUUUUAAUAAUCAAUUUGGUUUAUCAUGUGAUAGGCAUAGUCGGAGCGAAGCCGACAAAGAAGAAGAGAGGCCCCGUCACAGGGAAGGCUCUCGAGAAGACCGUCAAUACCUCUGGGAGGAUCGUCAUCGAUACUGACGGGGAUGGCCACAUAGUAUCGGGCGGGAAGUCGAGGACGUACUCCGGCCGUGUGGGAGAACUCAUUAGGGAUAGAGUCCCUAUGUUGUUGUCAGACUGGGGCGAGGUCCCACAGGAGGUUAUGGACAUGGUCCACAACGCGAUAUCGGUGAGUUUACAAAAUGCCUCAAUAAUAUUAUGUAUUACAUUGUUGAUUUCUCAAAAAACUAAACUAAUAAACGGUUAAAUACAGGUGUGGUUUGACAAGUGUUGUAUCUGUAGGUACAAGGAGUGGAAGAACGAGUUGCGGACCCACUGGACUACGCACGGGAACGCACGUUCUGGUACCCCUGCUGAGUUCCAGUACAGGGAGUACGAGUGGCGUUGGCUUAUGACAUCAGAAUUCAACGACCCUCAUAAACAGGUAUUUAAAAAAAUUAAUUAGUUAAUUUGUCAUUAAGUACGUCCGUUUUUAAAUAUUUUACUAAUAGUUUAUUUUUUCUUUGAAGGCCGUUUCCUGGGCGAACGCUCAGAACCGGCAACGCAACACAAGGAACCAUCAUGCCUAUUCUAGACCGUUCGUUGUCUUCAUGGACGAGGCGGCAUAUCCUGACGCCCAAGAGGAUAUUAUAAGUCAUCUUAUGUUUUUAAAUUUUAAUUUUACUUAUAUAUAUGUCAAAAUGUUAAUUAAUCAUUUUUCCCUAUCCAAUUACGCGAAGGUGAGGGAGGCUAGUGACGAGGUGAUGAGUGCUAUAGUGAGGGAGGCAUGGCCGGACACGCAGGAGGAAGAGAUGUCUGAAGCCAUGUCUCAGAUCGACACUUCGGAUCCGAGGGUUAGGACGAGGAUCAUGGGCACAUCCUUCCCACCGCGAGGAAACAACUUCUACUGCCGGGGUCUAGGAAAGUAGGGCGAGGGGGUCCUGAAGACCACUCUAGGAUUUCAACGAAAGGUAGCCUCGACCAGCAGCAGGACGACUCAGCUAGAGUCGGAAGUUGAGAGACUACGGGAAUAGCAAGCUUCUCAGGCUGCCGCUCAUGCCGCCCAGACAGCCUAUACUGCCGCGGUAUAUGCCACCCAGCAGGCCCAGCAGCAGCAGAUGUUCCAGUACUUGCAGGAGUUUACAUCUGCCCAGCUUCAGGGACUUUCGGCUCCGCCCAUGCCUACGCCUAUACUGCUACCUCAGCCGCCGCAACCUCCUCAGCAGCAGCCCCCAUAACCGGUGCCGGCGUCUAGGUCGGUCGGAGGUGGCUGGAAAAGCCGGGUCGGGUCACCGGAUCCGGGUCGGGUAGGAUGGAGGACUUUGAAUUCUCUCUGACGCGGCUCGUUUCUGGGCAUGCGACAAUUAUGAACCCUGUUUUGACAAUUGUAGUAUUGGUAAAUAAGCUUCGAUCAAUCCGGGGACUUUUAGGGUGCUCUUGCGUUUACAAAGCUAAACAGAUUAGAGUCUAAUUUAAGAGUUAUUUACAGAAUAUAAACAGCAAUUACAUUUACAUGAUUUCAGGGGGGAUACGAAAACAGUAAAGAAACAUGUUAUGUACAAAUGACCAUCUUCCACACACACACAACCUUCAAACAACAAGUAUGAAUCGAUAUAUUAUCAUGUGAAUAAUAAAAAUGUUGUCAAGCAAGAUAUGUCAAUGAACCCGAAACACAAGCUUGAAGAAGUCAUUGCAUUCCAUCGAAUUCUACUUAAUAAUCUUCUACAUUGGAGAAGUCCUAACACGUAGACAAUCUCAUAUAAAGGCUGCGAUCGAUGCGAAGGCACCCGUCCACACAAUAUACAAGUCAUUAAGAACUAAAGAAUUAUGAGUUCAAAUGCACCACGAGUUUACUUGAAGAAGCUUAACUCCCAGAUGCAUAACAUAUAGUCUCGGCUAUUAGGCAUAGCCUUCACUACUUUUAGAUCUAUACUUACUUGAAGAAGCUUAGUACAAAUCUUAGCAAUCACCAAUCCUGCAGAAUCGGUUUAGUAUAUAACAUGUAACUAUAUGCUUAACAAUUCGCAUGACAAACAAAUAAAACCAUUCACAAUCAUCCAACAUAUCAACAUCAUACUUAUUUAUUUAAAAGAAUAACAAGUUCAAACCAUACAACCAUGCAACUUUGAAUCCGAAUUUAAAGCUAACGCAAGAAAAGAGAACAGGCAUGUUGUUACACUUUUUCGAUGAUCUUCAAGGGCCAGUUGAUGAUGACGCAAGUGCUCCUCAGCUUCAAGAUCUCGGCUGCAGCUUGGAGAAGUCCGAAGGCUGCUCUCCAACGUUGGCUUCUCGGCUUCUAGAUGCACACGGCUACAGGAAGAAAGAUGCUAUUUUUUUUGUGUGAUUUGUGCAUGAAGAGAUGAUCUUCAAAACUCAGCAUAUGUCUUCUAUUUAUAGUGUCCAUGUCGCACCUAGGGUUUAUUCUCCACCCUUGAUUUUACCUUGAUCCAAUAGUCCAAGAGAAUUGCCCGACAAAUUAAUUAAAAUCUAUUGGGAACUCUCUAGAAUUUCUUACGCACAAAGGUGAUGAAUUUGGCUGAAUUAUGGACUUGGUGCGUUGCUUGAUCUCCACAACAAAUCAGCCAUGUAGUGUCCUUCCUUGUAUUGCCGAAAAUCAGCUCUUCCUCUUUAAUUUGCUGCGCCAUUUAUUGUUCCUAAAAUGGGAAGGAAUUAGUCUUGUGAAAUCCGAUUUUUAGACAAAAGAAUUUAAGGAAUUAAUUUCCAGAUUUUAAGAUUUGAAUUGCAUAAUAAAUCCCUUAAUUUAGACAAAGAAAUCUUGUCUUAAAAUCCUAGAAAGACUCAGCAGGAAACCGUAGGGUUUUGCCGUCCCUCUCCUUGAUUUAUGGCGACCAUCUUGGGCCUAAUCCAUGUAGGAUUUGGCAUCCUUGCUUCAUGAGGAAUCCUUGUCUCAAGAGGAAAGAAAGUUUCCAAAAUAAAUUAGGAAAGUCAGAAUAGGAAAGAUUCAAAGAUAGUAUGUUUCCCAAAAUGGAAAAGGUAAGUUUUCUCUUUUCAAAACAGGAAAGUUUCCUAAACGACUUAUCCUUGACUUUUGCGCCUCCUUGAGUUUCCUAGUUGCACCAGGAAUCCUUCUUUGAUUAGGAAUCCGCUCAAUUUUCUCGUUUUAGCUUUCUUUUGUGUUAAUCUGCCUUUAUUGACUCUAAAAUACAAAACAUGUUAGAAAUGGAGUUAUUAAGGAAAUAACGAGGCUAAAUAGGGUAGCAAAUACACUAAGGAAGUAGCAUAAAAUGCGUCUAUCAAAUUCCCCCACACUUAGCUUUUGCUAGGCCCUUAGCAAAACCAAACUAACAAACUGACUCUAAUCAAAACAAAAUAAUUAAACAAGGAAAACAAACAAAUCCGCCACACUUUCACACAAGUGACGGUUAUUAAAACUCUAAUGCCCUUAACUAUUGUCUCAGAUUCUCCAAUCUCAUGGCAUCAAAAUUAGCAUUCAACCAAGAAUCAUUCCAUGAAGUUUCAGAAGCUAGUUGCCAUGCAUAGAUCAACAUAUUUACACGUAGGACCUAAUAGAACAAUGGUGAUAUUUAAGCUCAGCAUGUUUCAAACAAGUAUGAUUCAUUCUCACAAGGUAUGCACUCAUUCUUCACUCAUAUUUUCUGGCUAAAUCACUCAAAAAGUAUGCAAGUUAGAAUAGAAAGCUUGCAUUUAUAUGAACAGAAGCACAAUAAAACAAAUAUAAACCUCAUGAAAGAAUAUGAUUACUCACACAAAUGAACCAUAUCAUAGGCUCAACUCUUGGAACAAACUCCACAGAUCAAGUUUUACUCAUCUUUUAGAUCAAAAGGAACUUUAAAAGGUGUUAAUGGGGCUAGGCUAGGGGUAUGAAUUUAAGGAUAAGGAAUAUGCAAAAUUCCAAAGGACCUAGCAGAGCAUUAUCCAACUCCUUAUGUCGCCAAAAUGAGGACCAAGAUAUCUUUUGUCCUCCAAAAACGUCACUGCACCUCCUUACACAAAAUGAAACAGAACAAAGGCCAAAUAUUUCGAUUUUAGGCCUUCCAUUUACAUCAAAACUCCUAUUCCGCAAAACACAACAAUGUCCAGUAUUUCUUUUCUUCUUUUUUUUUCUGCCGAAAUUUUAUUCUUUAAUUUCUUUUUAUUCUUCUCACGGCAAAUUCUUUCCUCUUUAUACAAUAAGGACAUUACAGAGACUCCUUCCCCCACACUUGCUCUUCAUCCUCAACUCAUGUAGUCUUCAAAUAAAAUGCUCUACUAGGCCCAAAGGACAGGGUAGAGAUAUGUUGUACUAAGCUCAGGUAAAAAUUACAUAGGUGAUGAAAGAAAAGGCUUAAUGUAGGCUCAAAGGGGCUCAAACUAAGGGGUGUGCAGCGCACACAAAUAAGGACACAAGUUUAUUUGGCAAUGGUGAUCAUCCUAAAAAGUUCCAAUUACCCUUUCUAAAAUCAGAGUGUUUUAUGAUUAAAAGUUUCGAAAGUUCACAAGAGUGAGUUCUAGUCAUCUCUAGUUCAUUAAAAGCUAUGGUGAGCAAUCAAUCAAAUUGAAAGAAUAAUGAGGUUUUCACAGUUAUGGCCAAGAAAAUGAAUCAGAAUAUUUCAAUUAUCACUCAGAAAGAAUAGCACAUAUAUAGGCUCAAAAGCUCACAUUUAAGGUUCAUAUGAAUCAAAACUUAUUUUAGCAUGCUCAUUUCUGUACCAGAGAUUCAAAUCAUAUCUACUACGUUUCACAUGAUUUCCAUUUAUUUCAAUUAACUUCAGAAUAUCAGUUGGAAAUCAUCUUGCGAUCUUAUCCAUAAUUUCAGAGACUAUAAUCAUCAUAGACAGUUAAGGGCUCCUAAGACUCAAAAACAAACAAAAGACUAAAAAAAACAAAACGAAAAUUUUUAAAUUUUUGACAUUUUUCAAUUUUUAUGAAUUUUCAAUAAAUGACUCAAUAAACAUGUAAAUCCUUCCCUCACACUUAAACUCUACAUUGCUCUCAAUGUAGAACAGAAUAUAGCAUGCAACAUAGAAUAAAGCAUGGAAACAGGAAUUCACAACAAAACAACCCUAAACAAAAACGAAUUAACAAAAAGUAAGAGUUUAAAGUUGAGAAAGCUCCCCCUUGUAGAUAUCCCAUACUCACAGCCUUCGGGUAGGAUUGAAAUUUAGGCACCUACCUCAAGGUACAAGACCUUGACCUUCAAAUGAAAGAUCCUUGCAAUUGAUACUUCAAAGUAGAUGUAGGGUGUCCAUAGAAUGGAGAAACACUUGGGAUGUCCGUGCAAAUUUUCUGACCUGAUUUGCUGCAAAGUCAGUAGAGCUGCAUUGCAAAAACAAGAUAUUAAUCCAACUUUCACAAAAUUAAACCUAGAAAAACAAAAAUAAAAAUAACGAAAUAAAAAUAAAGAAAAAGUUGUCCAAAAAUAGUUGCAAAAAGGUGCAACAAACCACUAAUAAGUCUAAUACAGUAUCCAAAAACUUGAACUGGAAAUAAAAACAAAAAGACUCAAAAUUGCACAAAUGUGCGACUUGAUGUAGGGCUGCCUCCCUAGAGCGCCUCAUUUAACGUCCAUUAGCUAGACGGAUGACUCCUUUAGUCUUCAUCCGCAAAGGCUAGUUUGGUGUCGAAAUUGUUCUCCCAUCCUUGUGCGUGAAGAUACUCAUCCUCCCAUGGUGAGCCAUGUGAAGUAUAUGACCUUGGUGAGUUUCCGUGGCUUCCAUGGCUAAAGUUGGAGUCAUUGUCCUCCUCCUCUUCACUAUUUUCUUCUAGUUCUUCCUCUUCCUCACGUUCCAAUUCUUGAGCUGCUUCCUCAAAAUCAGCAUCAACGGCUCUAUUGAAGACAAAUUCCACCUUGGGGGCCAUAGAGUGAAUCUCUUUCUCUACUUUGUUCAUUUGCUGCCCAAAUUUUGCUUGCUCCUUCGUUAGCUGUUCAAUGCUUGCUAGCAGCUUGUUCAUUUGAGAUUCCUCCUUCUUUUUGAUCAUUUGGUGGGGCGGCAUGAAAUAAAGAGAUGGUUGAGGUGGUGGUGGUGAUCUCGGAUGGUGGAGUAGAGAUGGUUGAGGGAGACUUGUUGGAUUAUAGAAGUGACGUGGCAUCUCUUCCUUUCUUGCUGGAUUCAUUUCAAUACGUGCCACAUGUUCUUUCUUCAGCCCUCCAAAAGCAAACCUUUUCAGAAAACGUUCUUGGCAUUGGCUCCAUGUAACGGCAUUAUGGUCCACUCGGUAAUUAUACCAGUACUUUGCUUCUCCUCUCAAACUCCGACUGAAAACCAAGAUUGUCAAGGUCUCCAACUCAAUUUCAGGGCACACCAUGUGCUCACACAUCCUCUUCACAUGGUCUAAAUGAGCCUUGGGGUCUUGUUCUGCCCCAUAAAAAUCAGGAACGGCGUUGAGGAUGGUUUGUAUCAAUUGCUCCUUGUUUAAGCGAGGAAGGCACUCAAAGAUUGAUUUAGGUGCUGGUGUCGACAUUUCAUUGGUGAACACUUGCACAAAUUCUUUCUUGCAUUCCUCCCAAGUGCUCUCAUGAUUCAACUCCUCUUGGAACCAUCUAUAGGCCUCUCCUUUCAAACUCCUCAUGAAGGCAUUAACAGCUACUUCUUCAGCAUGGUUUGGUGCCAUAAGUUUGCUCACAUCCUCCACAUAGGUAAGGUGAUUUGCUGCAUCCGCCUUGCUUAUUCCAUCGAAAUUUGGGAAGAAUUUGAGCACCUUGUGCAUCUCCUCAUGAUGUUCAAAAGAGUUGAUGAUGUCCUUGAUAUAAAUUUGGUUUGAGGCCGACAUCUGUUUAUUCAAAGAAUUGUUAGUAAUAAAACAUACAAUUUACAGAAAUUAAAAGUAAAGUAAGACAAGUUAAACAACAACUGAGUUUUCAUAAACACAUAAGACACUACACGUCUGCAUUAUCCUAUGCUUAAGUUUAUUUCAACUCUACACUUAGGUACGGGAACAGAGGACAAUGGUGUGUAAUGGGGCUGAAACAGCUACCCAAUCCAUAGUCAUGUUUGAUCCAAUAUACCUUAGUGCAACUUACACAGUUUAAACAACAACAAUACAACACUACUGAUUUUAAAUUUUAUUCACCCUUCAAAUUCAUAUCUCAAAUUGUAAACUGUAUUGGUGGGGACAUAGGCAUUGACAUCUAAACAUAACCAAUUCCGUGGUUUCAGAAGGCUAAAAUGGCAUGGCCGAAGUGAAACGGGCUGGUAGGGUUUCGUUUUUAGUGGGCUACGGAGGUCGAAACCCCCGUCGUGCUUACACACAGUCUAUAGCCCUUUGAAACCCAAUUUUGGUCCCAGUCGCUUACUCGGCCUUGGCACCACUCAAAAUGCCCCUUACUCAGCUAGGAAGUACUUGUAUUUUCGAUUAUCCAACAAGAGCACAAUAUGGGCCGCCCUCAACCUCGAGAGACCUUAAAAAGGAACUCACGAAGGGUUAAGGCCCAAAUCUGCUUUGCGGCCUUUUUAACUAGACAGUUUACCAAAUGAGAUAUAAACCUGAAAAGAAAUAAAACAAACAAUCAGUAACAAAAUUAUUUAAGUACACUAAAUAAAUUAACUAAAAGAAGACCGUAGGAGACUUUUAAAGUCAUCGGCAACGGCGCCAAAAUUGACGCGGCUCGUUUCUGGGCGUGCGACAAUUAUGAACCUUGUUUUGACAAUUGUAGUAUUGGUAAAUAAGGUUCGAUCAAUCCGAGGACUUUUAGGGUGCUCCUGCGUUUACAAAGCUAAACAGAUUAGAGUCUAAUUUAAGAGUUAUUUACAGAAUAUAAACAGCAAUUACAUUUAUAUGAUUUCAGGGGGGAUACGAAAACAGUAAAGAAACAUGUUAUGUACAAGUGACCAUCUUCCACACACACACAACCUUCAAACAACAAGUAUGAAUCGAUAUAUUAUCAUGUGAAUAAUAAAAAUGUUGUCAAGCAAGAUAUGUCAAUGAACCCGAAACACAAGCUUGAAGAAGUCAUUACAUUCCAUCGAAUUCUACUUAAUAAUCGUCUACAUUGGAGAAGUCCUAACACGUAGACAAUCUCAUAUAAAGGCUGCGAUCGAUGCGAAGGCACCCGUCCACACAAUAUACAAGUCAUUAAGAACUAAAGAAUUAUGAGUUCAAAUGCACCACGAGUUUACUUGAAGAAGCUUAACUCCCAGAUGCAUAACAUAUAGUCUCGGCCAUUAGGCAUAGCCUUCACUACUUUUAGAUCUAUACUUACUUGAAGAAGCUUAGUACAAAUCUUAGCAAUCACCAAUCCUGCAGAAUCGGUUUAGUAUAUAACAUGUAACUAUAUGCUUAACAAUUCGCAUGACAAACAAAUAAAACCAUUCACAAUCAUCCAACAUAUCAACAUCAUACUUAUUUAUUUAAAAGAAUAACAAGUUCAAACCAUACAACCAUGCAACUUUGAAUCCGAAUUUAAAGUUAACGCAAGAAAAGAGAACAGGCAUGUUGUUACACUUUUUUGAUGAUCUUCAAGGGCCAGUUGAUGAUGACGCAAGUGCUCCUCAGCUUCAAGAUCUCGGCUGCAGCUUGGAGAAGUCCGAAGGCUGCUCUCCAACGUUGGCUUCUCGGCCUCUACAUGCACACGGCUACAGGAAGAAAGAUGCUAUUUUUUUUGUGUGAUUUGUGCGUGAAGAGAUGAUCUUCAAAACUCAGCAUAUGUCUUCUAGUUAUAGUGUCCAUGUCGCACCUAGGGUUUAUUCUCCACCCUUGAUUUUACCUUGAUCCAACAGUCCAAGAGAAUUGCCCGACAAAUUAAUUAAAAUCUGUUGGGAACUCUCUAGAAUUUCUUGCGUACAAAGGUGAUGAAUUUGGCUGAAUUAUGGACUUGGUGCGUUGCUUGAUCUCCACAACAAAUCAGCCAUUUAGUGUCCUUCCUUGUAUUGCCGAAAAUCAGCUCUUCCUCUUUAAUUUGCUGCGCCAUUUAUUGUUCCUAAAAAGGGAAGGAAUUAGUCUUGUGAAAUCAGAUUUUUAGACAAAAGAAUUUAAGGAAUUAAUUUCCAGAUUUUAAGAUUUGAAUUGCAUAAUAAAUCCCUUAAUUUAGACAAAGAAAUCUUGUCUUAAAAUCCUAGAAAGACUCGGCAGGAAACCCUAGGGUUUUGCCGUCUCUCUCCUUGAUUUAUGGCGACCAUCUUGGGCCUAAUCCAUGUUGGAUUUGGCAUCCUUGCUUCAUGAGGAAUCCUUGUCUCAAGAGGAAAGAAAGUUUCCAAAAUAAAUUAGGAAAGUCAGAAUAGGAAAGAUUCAAAGAUAGUAUGUUUCCCAAAAUGGAAAAGGUAAGUUUUCUCUUUUCAAAACAGGAAAGAUUCCUAAACGACUUAUCCUCGACUUUUGCGCCUCCUUGAGUUUCCUAGUUGCACCAGGAAUCCUUCUUUGAUUAGGAAUCCGCUCAAUUUUCUCGUUUUAGCUUUCUUUUGUGUUAAUCUGCCUUUAUUGACUCUAAAAUACAAAACAUGUUAGAAAUGGAGUUAUUAAGGAAAUAACGAGGCUAAAUAGGGUCGAAAAUACACUAAGGAAGUAGCAUAAAAUGCGUCUAUCACUCUCGGGGUCGGACAGAGAGAAGGAGAGGGAGGAAAAUCUGGUUUCUGAAAAACUGAGGGCCCAAACUGAAAAUUUCCUAUUUAACCUAAAUAUUCCCGAAAAGCCACAUCUUCCGCUGACCAUAACUUCCACAUACGAAGUCCGUUUUACGCGUGCCACGUGUCUACGAACUCGUAUCGUUGUGCUCUACAACUUUCGUGAAUGAAGUUUCCCGAGAAACCCAACCAAUUAAAAAGUCAACUCUUAACCCUUCAAAAUAGAGCAUUUUCACGGAACAAAAAAAACUCUACUACUUCCAGUCCACUCACUAAACCACAAAUCCAUACAAUUCUUACUUAAAUAAUUUCCAAAAUAAAAUUAGAAACUAAUAUUAAAAUUCCGGGGUAUUACACUCUACCCUCCUUAAAGAAAUUUCUUCCUCGAAAUUUAAACACACUAAUCCACACUUCACCUAGUGGAAACUAAUCAACCAGAGACACACUCCCCUACAUAAAGUCACUAUCACCACACUGCUAAUUGUCAGGACUCACCCCGGAUUUCCCCUUGAAAUCCUGCAUAAACCUUGCGGGACCCUCCUCAAGGGAAAUUCUACCAAAAUUUUGGCAUAACCACCUUUGAAAAUGGGUAACCCUACCUGAAAGAAAAUUCACCAAAAUGCAGAUACUUAGAAAACAAAUUAAUCCACAUCUCCUGAAGCCACCCGCUCCCCCAAAUAAACAUCCACCACCUCAACAAAAGUAAUAAUUCAAAAUAAAUUCAUGAAUUUAAUCUCUCAUACAAACAAACCAAAAAUUCUUUUUCAACACUCCUAAGUUAAGUCGCAAGCCAUAACACAACACACAAAUUACACAAGAAUGUGAACUCAAAACAAAACAAUAUCUGCAUCACAUCAUCGUCAACUCACUAUGACACUACAAGCUUUCAUAAGAACUUUGCCACACAAUAUAAAUUAACACUGCUACAAGUCAAUAAAUCAUGAAGGCAUCAGAUCCACACAAAAACUCAUUCACACAGAAGGUCUACCACACAAAUUUUAACUACAUUCACAAGGCAUAAACAACAAGACUUCACCCACCGCAACCUAACAAUAGUUAAACAAAUAGCUCACCUGAAUACUACUGGGUCGGAGGCAACUGCCUCUGCUGGAACCCCUGUCUGUCCUCUUGAGGUCGAGUACACUCCCUAGCCAAGUGCCCCACCUGCCCACAACUAUAGCAAGCCUGAGUCUUCCGCUUGUGACACUCCCUAGCAAUAUGUCCUAACCCAUCGCAACGGUAGCAUCUCAAGGGCUCUACCUGUCGGAUAGGUGCAGCUGGCACCGUAGCUAGAGCCUGCUGAUCGGUCCGCUGCCUCUUCCCAGACGCACCAUGAUGACCCUCAACGCCACUGCCUCCUGCAACGGCCUUCCCCUUCCCAUGCACAUCUCUUAGUCCCUCAGCCUCAUGCAUGGCCUCCUCUUGCUCAACUGCAAGGGCACUCUCUACCACUUCUGCUAGAGUAGCAAAACGAUGUGAACUCACAACAUUCCGGAGCUUAUGCCUCAAACCCCGAAUAAACUUCCGUGACAAGGCCACUGCAUCCAUCUCUCUCGCGAAUCGAUACAGCUGAGAAAAACGUGCCUCAUAGUCCCUGACACUCAUCAAGCCCUGCACUAGAGUUAUGAACUCAAGCUCCAACUGCUCCCUCACAGUAUCAGGAAAAUACUUCUCCCGAAAGAGCUAUACGAACCCCUCCCAAGACAAAGAGGUCACAUCUCUAGCUCUCUCUACCCCGCUCCACCAUACCCUUGCCUCAUCCUUGAGAAGAAACGUAGCAAUACGCAUCUUCUCAAUCUCCGUACACGUGAUAAGGGUAAAGUAUGUCUCCAUGCCCUCUAUCCAGUGAUCUGCUACAAGGAAGUCCGUACCUCCAAGAAAGGAAGGCGCUCCUAACCUAAUGAUACCCUGAGCCAGCCUGGCCAAUCGUAGACCAUCAUCUACUGCAGCUGGCACCGACUCCUCCAACACCACCUCCUCCUCAAGGAAAUCAUCCACAGGUGGAGCCCUACCUCUGCCUCUGGCCCCACCUGCCUCUCUAGCCCUACCGGCCCCUCGGGCCCUACUGGCCCCUGGUUAACUCAUGCAUAAAACUUAAACCAAAGUAUAAGUCAAAUGCAACAUUUAUUAACCAAGGCACUAGCUCAGGGUGGACACAAAGAUUCAAAAUCCCACUAACAAAGUACUCUCUACUCUGACAUCCUAUUGACCUAGAGGCAACACCUAACCCUUCACAUACCCAAUGACAUAUCAAUACCGAAGAGCUUAUGAUGGUGAUCUGCUGCAGUCGGGCCAUCACUCCGAAGUAAUGAUUAUCACCAAAUAUGUAAACCUAGGCUCUGAUACCACACUGUCACGCUCCAAUUUUCGAAGGAUAAAAUUUCAAAAAUUUGGGCAUGAUAAAACUCAAAUUCUAAUUAUCCCAAAACCUGCUCAACAACUAUCAAACUAAAAACAGAUCCUGGAAAUGUAAAUGUCAACAAACUCAACAACUGAGUUAAACAUUUAUUCUCCUUAAUUACAUCAACUUCCAAAAGUCUAGUAAUAAACAACUUAGCUCACAAGAGCUUAAAACAACUACCAUAAAAAUACAAAUAAAUGUAUCUCGUCAAAAACCCAACUCCUAGGCCACUGCCUCAACCCUGCUGAUCAUCACCUGCAGGUCUAACACCUACACCAUGAAUUGGUGCACCGGGUUGUAAACAACAAACCCGGUAAGCUAAAAAACUCGUAUGAGUAACUCCCAAAUAUUAACUCAACAAUUCUAACAUCACAUAUAAAUAAAAUUGGUAAUUCCUGCAUUAAUAACUUAGUUCAGGAAUCACCUAAAAACAAGAGAAAACAAAAGAACAAUUAAGAAGAACACAAUAAUUCAAAAUCAUUGAAAAUCAUAAAUGAAACAAAUAAUUAAAAGGAAACGCAACAAUUCACAAUCAAACAAAUCAAAAUGAAAUCCUACAAAAAGGCAUAGUUCAGGAAAUACUUAAAACGAGGAAUUUUAAAAGACAACAAAUAAGAACCUCAAACAAUUAUUUCUCUACUCUUACUUAUGAGUUCGCCAACACUUAGUCAUCCCCCAUAAGUAACCAACAAAUGCGUACUCAUGGGUUCGUCAACACUUAGUCAUCCCCCAUGAAGUACCGAUUGACAGACUAGAGCUUUAUACUGACCGUAACCAAUCACCCGGCCAAGGCUUGGUUUCCGGUCCACUACAAAGGCUCCUAAUCUAAUGCACACCAUCACCACUAAGGCACACAUUCUAUUACUCUCACGUCAUAACACUUAUCAAAUCAUAAAAUAAUAAUAUCAUAACCGUAACCAAUCACCCGAUUAAAGGCUUGGAACCCGGUUUGACUAUUUAAACAACAAUUCACAAUAUAAAAAUAUCAUCAACAACAGCACAAGAGCACUUCAUAAAUUAUAUCUUUCCACCUAAAUAUAUUUAUAUAACAAAGACAUAGAUAUUCUCACUAGAAUAAAAAUAAUCAACAACCAAUAUUUCAGCAUCACAAAUCACNNNNNNNNNNNNNNNNNNNNUUUCUUAAGAACCCAUGUGAGAUUUACUCACAAUAUUAAAAAUAGCAUCAUAAUCAUCAAUCAAACCUAUUACCAUCGUCAUCAUAAUAAUUAUCAUCAUGAUCAUCAUAUCAUCAACAUUUCCAUCAACAUUUUCAUCAUCAUCAUACAAUUAUCAUCAUCAUCAUCAUAUCAAAAUCAACAUCACAAUCAUCAUCAUAAUCAUCUUCAAAAUCAACAUCAUAAUAAUUAUAAAUGAUGGGUCCGAAAGUGGACCUUAGUGAGAUGUUACUCACCUCAAAUCCAACUGCAUCUUCGCACGCACAACACAAGCAUAUAACACAAAACCACACCACAAGUCACCUAUUAACAAAAACGUUAACCUUAGUAACUUAUGAAAAUAACAUUAUCCGACUCGAACCGAAACUCAAGUCCUAACCCACGAGCUUAUCACUCGAGACAAAUCCUCCUCCUUGACCUCUAAAAGGUCGUUGAAACGUCAUACACAUCCUAUAGAACUACUAACCAAAUUCUCAUGUUCGGAUUACUCAAAAAAUGAAACGAACGAAACUUAACACCACGGGGAAACCCUAGCAUGCAAUAAAGAUAACCAAAACCUACAACCCACAAAUCAUCACGCUCGUAUCGAAGAGUAUUAUCUAACCAGCACCACAAAACACCCCAGACACUACCGGACGCGCCGCCACGCGCCACCACAGGCGGCGGCGAGUGGGCCCCACGCGCCACGACGAAACGUCCGAAUUUGGGCAAACUCAAAACAUCAAAUUUGUAGAUUGAGAAGAGAGGAGCAUCUUUUAUACCUGAGGGUUCAACUAGUUCGGCCGGAAAUCACCGGAAAUGCGUCUGAAAGUUUGGAAUCCACCACCGCCACUCUCCGCGGUGAGUCGCGCUCCAAGGCCACCAGAAGUCGGACCAGGACGCCAAGGAGCUUCUAUCCCGACCGAUCUCUCGCCUUGUCGCCGUCGUCGGAGGUUUGAAACCUGACCGGGUCUCUAACCCGAAAUUCCGAGCUUCGGGUCACCACUUCGGGACCGAAUCGGCGCAAGUCACCACCGCAGGGUAGCUCAGACGGAGGAGAGGAAGAGAACCCGACCGGUGCCAGCGUCUAGGUCAGUCGGAGUGGCCGGAAAAGCCGGGUCGGGUCAUCGGGUCUGGGUCGGGUUGGCUGGAGGACUUUGAAUUCUCUCGGGGUCGGACAGAGAGAAGGAGAGGGAGGAAAAUCUGGUUUCUGAAAAACUGAGGGCCCAAACUGGAAAUUUCCUAUUUAACCUAAAUAUUCCCGAAAAGCCACAACUUUCGCUGACCAUAACUUCCACAUACGAAGUCCGUUUUAUGCGUGUCACGUGUCUACGAACUCGUAUCGUCGUACUCUACAACUUUCGUGAAGGAAGUUUCCCAAGAAACCCAACCGAUUAAAAAGUCAACGCUUAACCCUUCAAAAUAGAGCAUUUUCACGGAACAAAAAAAACUCAACUACUUCCAGUCCACUCACUAAAUCACAAAUCCAUACAACUCUUACUUAAAUAAUUUCCAAAAUAAAAUUAGAAACUAAUAUUAAAAUUCCGGGGUAUUACAGUGAUAGUUACAGAAGUUGCAGUGGGUGUUGAGAGGAACGAUUUGGUGUAUAGUUUGUAGCUAGAAUCGGUGGUCGGCCUUGGAGGCUGACCGCCACUGCCGGCGGCGCGUGAUGCACGUGCGACCUCUUCAGGUGAGUCGAAUUAGCUUGUUAGGUAGGGUUCGUAACAACAAACCCAUCGGUGUAUGAUCUACCAAUUUUGGUGAUCGUAUGACUUAGUCGAAAGUUUCCAAAAUGUGAACAUUGGUUUGUUUAGAUGGUGAACGAGCCGUAUAUCUUGUUUUGGUAGAGAUAGGAGAGCAUUGGGGGUUGUUGGGAAUUUUCGGAAAAUUUUAUAGUUGUGAUGAUCAUUUUGGGUAGAUUCUAUUCAACGUGGAAUCGAUAGUUUUGGAUUUUUAGCUUAGGUUAUAAGAAAUGCCUUAGAUAAAUUUAGUUUUGGUUAGACUCUAUAGUAUGGUAUGAUUAAUGGUGGAGAUAUCUUGUUGGGUGAGUGGACACUUUGUUUUGUUAAAAGAAUAUGCAUGCAUGAUCUCUUUUGGAAAUUAUCGUUCUAAUUUCCGAGCUUAUAUUAUAAUUUCAGUUUAUAAUAUGGUUUUGAGAUUUAUUUGAGUUUGAGGGAUUGAUUAAGUGAUGAUCAUGAUUUAAGGAUUUAAGCUUGGGUUGUUAAUUUGGUAUUUGAGUGUUGAUAUUAUUUAUGAUUUCUGGAUUUAAUUAUUAUCGUUUCUAUUUGUGGAAUUUGAGAUAUGUAAAAGAUUACCGAAAAUGGGAUUUUCGGUAAUUCUCUAUUUAUAAUUUUCUCAUUUAUUUAUGGGAUAUCGAUCUUGACCUUCAGAAUAUUUUAGCGAGUAUUUUGGAUUAAGAAAUUAUUUACAAUUUAUACUGGAUAAUUAUAUCUCGCUUAUAAUUAUGGACUUGAGAAUAUUUUUGACGUAUGAGACACGUCAUUGAGUUUUUUUUUUUAAUUUUUUUAUGAUAAUUUUCAAGUACGGUUAGGAACCGUACCAUUCGCAUGAUCUUGAGGAAUCUUUAUGGAUUUAAGUGAUUUCGUAUGUUGUUAGUCACCAUACUAGGGUCGCUAUUAUUCAUUACUAGCUAACCUUAUUAGCAGUCCUCACCAUAGGUGAGUCGAGCGCUUAGCGUGGGACGCUACUAUAGCCUUGGGAGGCACCGAUCAAAUAUUAUUAUUUAUUGCUAGCUAGCCUUAUUAGCGGUCCUCACCAUAGGUGAGUCGAGCGCUUAGCGUGAGACGCUACUAUAGCUUGGGAGGCCCUGAUCGGUUUUUAUUCAUUGCUAGCUAGCCAUUAUUAGUGGUCCUCACCAUAGGUGAGUUGAGCGCUUAGUGUGGGACGUUACUAGAGCCUGGGAGGCUCAUCUUUAUGGUGAAACAUUUUCCCUUUUUCAUGAUUGCUACAAACCAAUGGGAUUAGUUCAUCACUUCUAUUUUUAGAAGCAUUAUUGGUUGAGCUUGAUUGUUGAAUUGUGAUUUGAGAUAUAUAUUGAUCGAGCAUACUAAUUAUGAAAUGUGGAAUUGUUGAGUAAUUUGGUUCAGUAGAGUUGUUGAUGUAAAUAUAAUAACUUGACCCCUGUCGUUGAUAUAGUGGGUUGGUGGGUGGUUGUGGAUAUGAAGAGCUAACAGCCCCAGGGGUUGAGUUGAUAUGUUUAACCUAUUAUGUACACGGUAGAUUUUAUAAGUUAUAAAUUAUGGCUACAGGUGUUGAGGAUGUAGAUCGUUGAUAUACUAGUGUUUUUAUGAGUUUCUUUGCAGGUCAAGUUCUACUGAAUUUUCGGUAGAAUUUCCUUUUAGAGGUGGUCCCCGCAAGACCUUCUCGGGUUUCGGGAUGAAAUUCAGGACGAGUCUUGUCACUUUAAAGGUAGACAUUUCUAAUGAACAUAGUAGAUGUGUCUUAUGUUAAAUGUCGACUUUGCAACUUUUAUCUUCGGUUGAUUUAAUCUCAAGAACAAUUUUGAUUUCCAUAAAGUCUACUUUUGUUUUAUUUGGCUUAUCUUAAUGGUAGACAUUUCUAAUGAAAAUAGUAAUUGUGUCUUAUGUUAAAUGUAGACUUUGCAACUUUUACCUUCGGUUGAUUCAAUCUCAAGAACAAUUUUGAUUUCCAAGAAGUCUACUUUUCUGUGAUUUACCUCAGGUAAAUGAGAGACAUUUCUCAUAAAAACAGUAGUCCUAUCUCAUGUUAGUAGUAGACUUGAUAAUCUAAAUGGUAGACAAUUCUUAUCAAAACAAUAGUCUUGUCUUAUGAUAGUUGUAGCAUUUUCAACUUUUGUUUUUCUGUGGUUCAAUCUCAAGAAUCUUACUAAACUACUGCCUUCGGUUGAUUCGAUCUUAAAAACCAUUUUGAUUUCCAGAAAGUCUACUUUUCAGUGAUUUAGUUUAUGUUAAUGGUAGAAAUUUCUAAUGAACAUAGUAGAUGUGUCUUAUGUUAAAUGUAGACUUUGCAACUUUUACCUUCGGUUGAUUCAAUCUCAAUAACAAUUUUGAUUUCUAGAAAGUCUACUUUUCUUUUAUUUAGCUUAAUGUUAAUAGUACGACAUUUCUAGAUGUAAAUAGUAGAUGUGUCUUAUGUUAAAUUGGUAGUAACCUUUUUGGUCAUCUUUUACCUUCGGUUGAUUCUAAUCUCAAGAACUAAUUUUGAUUUCCAUAAAGGGUCUAAUUUUUUCUGUGAUUUAACUCAUCUCAAUGGUAGAUAUUUAUAAUAAAAAUAGUAAAUGUGUCUUAUGAUAAAUGUAGAGUAACACUUUUACCUUCAAUUGAUUCAAUCUCAAGAACAAUUUUGAUUUUUAGAAAGUCUACUUUUCUGAUGAAAACAGUAGAUGUGUCUUAUGUUAAAUGUGUCUUUCGACUUGCAACAUUUUUUGUGAUAUUUUUCAUGACAAGAGUAGCUAUUUCUUAUGAUAGUUGUAGACAGUCUCAAGAAUCAUUUUGAUUUCCAGAAAGUCUACUUUUGUGUGAUUUAGCUCAUCUGAAUGACAGAUUUUUCUAAUGAAAACUGUACAUAUAGAGGGACUUAACGGAGAGUGAACGAUAUUAGUUUGCUUUAACUUGCUAUAGCACGUCAAAACUGGUUGGGUAUGCAUACCCUAAGGCAUACCCUAAGGCACACAAGUGGAACCCCACUUUGUUCCCUCCAAUUUCACAACUUACUACACAUCAAUAUUUCAGUAGUAAUAAACCAAAAUCAAAAGUGAACCACAAUCACCCAUCACUGCUAUUGUAAACACUAAACACAAUAACAGCAGCUGCAGUUUUACUCCUUUCGACUAAAACAAUAACUUCUGAUACUGAACAUUUGUUCCAUCAUAUUAACAGAACAUCUAGAGCACCCUACACAUGUUCAUAUACUUAACAACACCAGAAGCCACCACAAUAAUCAUCACCGCCGCCUAACAUAGUAGCUGCACACACUGCCCAAAUCCCAAAAUUUGAAACUCCACCAAACUUAAAUUCUAGUGUUUGCAAUCAGACAUACCAAUUCAAUAUACUUGGAAACCCGGAAAGCACUCCCAAAACCACCGUCGCCGCUGAGAAGAGCGUCACUCACGGUGGUCCACUACACUGCCAAAACCCAACUUCUCCAACACCCAACCAAUCUCAAUUCCAGUUAUAUAAACAGGAACGCUCGAUGAGUAGAUGAAGAUUGAUACCUGAAUCAAAACUAGAAGCUCGCCGGAAAAUGAAGAACACGGCCGGAAAACCCUAAAAGCUUCUCCUCUUCGAUUCUCCCUCCUCAGAGCUCGUCUGGGAAAACCAAGAACAUGGAAAGGUUCUUGAGAUCGAGAUGAAGCUAUCCAUACCAGUAAGAGACCUCGACUUGGUCAGAAUCGAAAACUCGCCGGCGAACCCAGAAUUCCUUCUCUCCUUCUUUUCUCUCUCGCCGGAACUCCUCUUCGAACACAAAGAACAUAGUGAGGUCGAGGACGUCGAGACAGACCUGUGGACACCGGUUUUGCGCCGGUAGACGACUGAAAGACAAAAGGGAGCGCUGAGCUCCGUCGCAGCUCGAGACGGGGUCGGUCGGUCUUGGUUGUGUUUUUGGGCUUCGAUCUGAUAAGGUCCUAGCCUUAUAUACUCAUUCAAUAGUUCAGAUCAAAUAGUUUAGAGAUCAACGGCCAAGACCAAACCGACUUAAAAAUACUAUUUUUAAUAAAUUUCUGGAUAAUACCAACUUCCAAAAAACAUUAAAAAUAGCUCUGAUGUCCAAACGAUGCUCCGAAGAAUCCUACGAACUCGUAACGACCUCUACUUUAAUCUUAUGGGCUUGAAAGACAAAAUUUGACAAACUAAAAAUUUGAAUAAUUUUCAAAAGCCACAAAAAAAUUUAAAGAAUAAUAGGAAUUGAAAUAAAAAUAGCUCGAAAAUAAUUUCUCAUUUAAAGAUAAAAAAUCUAAUUUUCGAGAUAUUACAUGUUACAAUGCAGAAUGUAAACAAAAGUAGUAUCUUCUAGGGAGAACAUGGAACUAAAACCAUUGCAUAUAUAGUUGCAGCUACCAAGAUCAUUAGAGAUAGUUAUUUAUGUUUAAGGAUUCUCUUUAAUUCACGAAAAAAGGUUUGAAAUACGUUAAAAUGUCAGAGUCCUACAUAGACUCUUUGACAUUUCGAUGCGUCUUACAUGAAAUGGGUUGAAAAAUUUAAAAUACUUGUGUUUGUUUUUUCGAUAAAGAAAUUAAAAAUAUUGUCGAGCCAAAUUAUGACAUCAUGUCAAGACCCACCCCGAAUUUCACCCUGAAACCCGAAGUAAGUCUUACGGGGACCACCUCCAAGGAAAAUUUACCGAAAAAUUCGGCAUAACCUCCCUUGAAAAUGGACAACCUUUACCUGAAAAAUUCAAACCACACUCCUAUACCGACACAUCCAACCUCAACUCCUGGAGCCACCCGCUUCCCACAACACCACAACAAUAUAACAAAAACCAUCUUCUAAUCCAUCACAUAAAUACCAAAUGAAAUAACAAACUUCAACCUUCGAAUAUUCGAAAAUAAAAUCCAAGACUUAGCACACAACUGAGCUAAUAUACAUUAUCCUCAAGGGUAAUCAGAGCUACUAAUACUAGCGGAAACAAGAAAAUACACUAGUAGGUUAAGCCGGUAACCUACUGGUGAAAAGUGGUGAAAAAGUGGGUAACUACGCCUCGCCUCCUACUAGUGCCAACCCGAACUCUACAGACUGGACAUUUUAAAACGAAGGGCCCUGGGGAAAACAUUUAAUAACGUUAAAGUGAGUGGACAAAAAUAAAUUUGAAUAAAAGAAUAAAUAAAAUAUUUAUGCUUUCCCGAUUCAAUUUCCAAGGAAAAAUCGAAUGCAUGCCUCCAAUGAUAAAACUUUCAUCUCUUAAAUAUCGAGCUUCUCAAGCUCUAAAAUAUAUAUGUAUGUAUUUACACACGUCCAUACUCCCUAUAUAAUUUUAUAGAAUUAUAUAGGGCUACUACACUCGCGUCCAACGCUCAUGUCACGCCUUAAUGCGGUGAUACACUACGUCAUUAACGUGGACAGACGGGUGUAUAAAUAUGUGUCCAUACCCCCUAUAAGAAUUAAACACUCACAUAGGGAUACUACACUCACGUCCAACGUUCAUGUCACACCAUAAUGCGGUUAUAUGCUACGCCAUUAAGGUGGACAGACACAUAUGGCUAGCUAGCAUUUAUAUACAUACUCUCCUCAUAAAUACAUAUUUAUAUUCACCGAAAAUCUCAUUUUCGGUAACUCUCCAAGAGAAAUAAAAUCGUCAAAAUUAAAAUGAAGUCAAAUGCUCCAACAAAAGAAAUUGUUCAACCAAGAACCAUAGCAUGCACAUUAUUUAAAAUAAAAGUCUACUCACAAAUUAGGCCUAAGCCUGAUGUCGAUCUGGGGCCUCGUCUGCUCGAGCCUCCUCACGUCCUGUUCCAGUUAUAUAAUCAAUUUCCCAAUUAAAAAUUCAAUAAUUAUACAAAAUGGGCAAAAUUAAAUGUGAGCCUCCAACACACUCAUCAUUGCCCAACUUCGCCAUUCUUCCCUCAAUAUGGCCCAAACUUCACCGAACAUACCGGCAGCCUUAAUAUAACCCUCUAUAGAUUAUACGACUUUAAACCAACGGCCGGAUUCUACCUUAAAUAACCGCUAAAAUUACCAAACUCUAAAAAUUCCCAAACCUAUCAAAACUCCUCCAAAAAUUCCACAAAUCACUUCAUUAAACUCCUCUAAUUAUAACACGAAUAAAACCCUAAAAAUCCCCCAAACAACAGCGGCCGGAGGCCAACUCACGCGACCUCCUAUGUUACACCCCAAUUUUCGAAGGAUAAAUUUUUAAAAAUUUGGGCAUGAUAACUCACAAUAAUAUAAUUCCUAAGACCUGUUCAACAACUUAAAGAAGACAAAUCUCAAUUGCAGAAAUGUAAUCUCAACACAACUCAACAUCGAGUUAAUAUUACAUUUCAUUACUUACAUAAACUUGAAAGUCAAGAAAUGAAAACACUCGAAUGAAAUUAAUGUUGUCUACCAAAUAUAAAAUAUCAAAGUAUACAACAACUAAAAACCCUGCUGAUCAAUACCUGCAGGUCUAACCCAUACACCAUGAAUUGGUGCACCGGGUUGUAAACAACAAACUUGGUAAGCUAAAAAGCCCGUAUGAGUAACUCUCAAAAAUAACUCAACCCAACUUUACUUAAAAUAAAAACGAAAAUUCCUGCUUAGAACUUAGUUCAGGAAUCGCCUCAAACAAGAAAAUUCAAAAGGGAGUAAAUAAGAAAACACAACAAUUUCCAAACAAUCAAAAUCAUAAGUGAAUCCUGCAAAAAGGAUAGUUCAGGAAUUCUACUAAAAAUCACACAAUUAAAAUUGAAAAUCUCAUGCAUUAAGCAUAGUUCAGGAGAUACUCAAAACAAUGAAUUUAAUUGGCAACAAUUAAGAAAAAUGUUAAAACCACAUUUUCAACACUUUUACAAAUAACAUGUACUCAUGAGUCCCAGAUAUUAAUAAAUACCACUCAUGACCUGCAACAACAAUUUGUUGGAACCCGGUUUGACUGUCCAAUAACAAAUCGCAAAAUAAAAAUAGCAUCAUAACCAUAACCAAUCACCCGAUUAAAGGCUUGUAACCCGAUUUGACUAUUUACACAACAUUUCACAUAAGGGUAGAAUCAUCAUAACCGUAACCAAUCACCCGAUUAAAGGUUUGGAACCCGGUUUGAUUAUCUAAACCACAAAUCACAAUAUAAUAAAAUCAACAUCCACAACCCAAUAGCACAUCAUAAAAUUAUAUCCUUCCACAUAGAUAUAUUUAUAUGCACAAGAUAUAGUUAUUCCCACAAGAAUAACCUAUCAAGAACCAAAAAUAUUAUAAUUUCAUGAACCUUAAAAAUAAUCAUAUAAUAGGAAAACUUGUUUUAUCUUACCUAUGAGCCGUUGGCGAUCAAGCUCAUAUAUUUUAAAAACAACCAAAAAUAAAAUUUUUAAAUUAAAAUCAUCAUAAUCAUCAACAAUAAUCAUCAUCAUAAUCAUUAUCAUCUUCAUCAUCAUAAUCAUCAUCACAAUCAUCAUCAUCCAUCAUCAUCAUCAUAAUCAUCAUCAAAAUCAUCAUCACAAUCAUCAUCAUCAAUAACCAUAAUAAUUCGGUCCAAAUGUGAACCUUGGUGAGAUUUACUCACCUAAAUACUCCCGCUGCGUCUUCACAAAAACACAAGAGCCAAACUAACCACAACCUCACAAAUCACCUAAAAUUACACAAUUAAAACCUUAGAAAUUUCUCAACAAUGAUUAAAGUACCCUUAACCUAAAGGUUGCCCAAAAAUGGCAAUCGUUCCUCCAAGACCUCCCAAGGUCAUUAGACACACAACAACAACCCAUACUACCUCCAAGACCAAACUUCUAAAGUUUACAACUUAACAACCUCAAUGAUUAACAUAGGACCUAAGAUGCACUACCAAAACAGCACUUAGCCUUAUCACACAACAACACACUCAACAACUACAACAACUAGUUAACACGGCCACCCAAACUCACUCACACUGCCCGGACGCGCUUCCACGCGCCACCACAGACGGCUGCGAGUGGGCCCCACGCGCCACCCCAAAACUUCUGAAUUUGGGCAAACUCAAAACAUGAAACUUGUAGAUUGAAGCAUGGUGAACAACUUUAAUACCUGAGGUUUUAACCAAUUCGGCCAGAAUCGGCCGAAAAACACCCCGAAACUCCAACACGACCUCAAGCUUAAAUCUGUAAUUUUGGCGCUCAAAACCUCAAUAUCUUGCUUCAAACUAUGCCUAGCCACAACCAGAAGGAAGAGAGGACAAAAACUCACCUAAGGUUGCUCCUUGUCGCCGCUGCAAACGGUGGUUCCGAUCGGUGACGUGUCGACGGAGACGUCGGGUCUAGCUGCACUACCUACGCCGGUCGACAGCCUUGAAGACUAGCACAGUUGCGUAGGGGAGGUCCGUGCAAACCUAAAGGAACCAACAGCAUCUCGAUUGGUGGCCGGAAAAAGAAGAACUCCUAUGAAACCACAGCAGCUCCUCUGCCUCGUGGCGGCGUCUAGGCGGCUCGACGACAAGCGGCACUGCCCUAGGAAUGGAGAGGUGACCCGUGCAAACCGAACAGGACUGUCAACGUCCAGUUUGGUGGCUGAACGGCUAAGUUCUAUGCCGGCGAAGGUCCGGCUGUGCGUGCAGCUCGGGGAGAGAGGAGAGAGAAAAUGGAGGCUUUUCUGAAUUCUAGGGUUCCCUCUUUCUAUUUAUACACUUUCCAAAACUGGAAACUAACUUCCUUUGACCGUAACUUUUUCAUACGACAUCCGUUUUACGCGUGCCGCGUGUCUACAAACUCGUAUCGCCAAACUCUACAACUGUCAUGAAGAAAGAUUUUGAAAAUAACUUACGGAUAAGAAAGUCAACUUUUGGCCUCUUAAAAGUCAAGACACCUUACUAAAAUUGACUCCCGAAACUUCAACUUCGCACAAACCAAUAACAAUUUCCAUAAAUAUUCCUUCAUUAAUUCCGGAAAUAAUACAAGGAAAAUUGAUAUGAAAAACUAGGGUAUUACAUCCUAUGCCUACCAAAUUUUAACAGCAACUUCCUCUCAACUCACUCUACAACUUCUUUAACUAGCACAACACCAAAUUCCAAGCCUAACUAGGUCAAUCGAACGAAAACAUUCUAGAAAACCCUAGAGCUUCAACACCAAAUAUCUCCUUACCUAGUUCAAGAGGGAGAGACACCUUUGGAGGGAUUGAUGCACGGGAGGAGAGCUUCAAAACGAGCCAAGAAUCGCCGGCUAUGGCGGCCGGAGGAGGGAGCUCUGGCGAGAAAACAGUCGGCCCUGCGGGACGAGUUUCCUCCCGUUCAACGGCGUUGUGGCAGUGCUCACCGACCUAGGGUGAGAGAGGAGGAGACGCCGGUCCAGACGGGACCGGUGCGGCAGCCUUGCUCGGCCGGACGAUGGCGGCGGGCGCUGGACUUCCGACGGAGAGAGAGAGAGCUCAGGAGAGAGUGCUCGGGGAAGGGGAGAGAAAAGAGAGAAGAAGAAAAAAGGAUUUGGGCCUCCAAUACCCGGUCCAACUCUUUAAUACCACCCUAAAACACCCCACUCCAUAACAUAUAACACCCCAAUAAAAAUACCCAAAUAAAAAUUAGGACUAAUUUCAGUUUACCCCCAUCAACUUUAGGUCGAUCAUCAUGUUAGUCCUUUUUCUUUCAAUUUCAUCAAAAACACCCCUCAACUCCCAAUUUUCAUCAGCUGCGCAUGUCCAAACCUCCAAUNNNNNNNNNNNNNNNNNNNNCAUCUAAUUCCUCUCUCAAGUGAUAACUUGAUAUCAAGAAGAAAGUCAAAUUCUGAAAAUUACCUUUCGGACCAUUUUUCCCCCAUAUCGAUACACAUCUUUGUUCCCAUCACAACCCCCUAACCUUAGUGAUUUUGGUGGGAUUGAAUGCAAUUUGUCUAUUUUUCCUUUUUCUUUCUUCUUGAUAUCAAGUCAUCACUUGAUAGAGGAAUUGGAUAGAGAUUGGAGAUUUGGACAUGCGCAGCUGAUGAAAAUUGGGAGUUGAGGGGUGUUUUUGAUGAAAUUGAAAGAAUAAGGACUAACAUGAUGAUCGACCUAAAGUUGAUGGGGGUAAACUGAAAUUAGUCCUAAUUUUUAUUAGGGUAUUUUUAUUGGGGUGUUAUAUGUUAUGGAGUGGGGUGUUUUAGGGUGGUAUUAAAGAGUUGGACCGGGUAUUGGAGGCCCAAAUCCUUUUUUCUUCUUCUCUCUUUUCUCUCCCCCUUCCCCAUCAACUUUAGGUCGAUCAUCAUGUUAGUCCUUCUUCUUUCAAUUUCAACAAAAACACCUCUCAACUCCCAAUUUUCAUCAGCUGCGCAUGUCCAAACCUCCAAUCUAUCCAAUUUCUCUGUCAAGUGAUGACUUGAUAUCAAGAAGAAAGAAAAAAGGAAAAAUAGACAAAUUGCAUUCAAUCCCACCAAAAUCACUAAGGUUAGGGGGUUGUGAUGGGAACGAAGAUGUGUAUCGAUAUGGGGGAAAAAUGGUCCAAAAGGUAAUUUUCAGAAUUUGACUUUCUUCUUGAUAUCAAGUCAUCACUUGACAGAGGAAUUGGAUGGAGAUUGGAGGUUUGGACAUGCGCAGCUGAUGAAAAUUGGGAGUUGAGGGGUGUUUUUGAUGAAAUUGAAAGUAGAAGGACUAACAUGAUGAUCGACCUAAAGUUGAUGGGGGUAAACUGAAAUUAAUCCUAAAAAUUACCUUUUACUAGCUAAAAUUUACCAUUUUUACCGUCAUCACAUUUUCUCCUACGAAUAAAUCCUCCAAAAUAAUGGUCCCUCAAAACCCCUCUAGGGACCAAAUAAACUAUAGUCUCAUUGACGAAGACGGUAAAACUUUUAUUAAUACCAAGUUAGUGAAUAAGGUAAAAAUUUAAGGGUUAAGAUGUGACACAUCAACAUAUUUCUUUUAGUCUAUUGCUUUAAUUCUACUAUAUAUGUACAUUUUUACUACAAUAAAACCAGCCAACAAGACGUCUAAAAGCUUCAUCAAAUUUCGAAUGAAAAAAAAAAAAAAAAUUUAUCAAAUUGUGAACUGUCUUAUCUGACUAUGAUUCUAUCAAACAGAAGGGCUAACAUUGUAUAAAUAACAACAAAAAUAAAUUGAUAAAAUAAAGAGGGCAAAUAACACAAAAGUGUCAUUUCAAGGUACACAUGAUAAAAAAGUCAUCAAUUGUACCACAUGUUAAUAUGGUCACCCUAAAUGUUAUCAGAUGAUAAAAUAAUUACUUAAGUAUAUAUCAUAUGAUGUACUGGUCAUGAUUAAGUGUCAAUUAUGAUAAAAAAAGUAUAUUUUUAAAUUUUAUGGAUUUACGAUUCUACUCUUCUGUUAGUUUCUGUCGUUGUCUUCUCUCUCUGUUACUGCUUUCUCUCAGCUCUUCUCUCAGCUUCUCUCUCUGUACUUGAUCUCUUCUCUUCUCUCUCUGGCUUUCUCUCAGCUUACUGCUUUCUCUCAGCUCUUCUCUCAGUUUCACUCUUUGUAUUCGAUCUCGAUCUCUCUCUCGCUCUCUCUCUAACCCCGCCGCCAUCGCUUAUCUUUCAUCCCGUUGGUGCCACCUGAGUUUGGUCGUUCGUAUCCGUGAAGCGAUGGCUCCAUCAGUUCCACCAUCCACCGCCUUCUAACGCAAACAAGGUCGAUGCUUUGCUCAGACACAAUUUUUUUUGUUAUUUCUUUCAGAUUUUGAUGUUUUGAUUGAUUUGUUUCUGUGUUUAAUCUUUACAAUUUCAUAUGAUGUCGAUCGGUGAAUUCUAGGGUUCAUAGGAAUUUAGUGAUUUGGAACUCUUUGACUCAAUCUGUGCUAUAUUCCCAGCCUCCUAGGAAUUUGGUGAUUUCAGUCUUUGAAAAAGUGAUUUGUUUGCAUUGUUUUGCUUAUUUUGGUUGUGUACUCUGGUGAAUGAGCAUGAGUUACUUGCAUUGUGUACUCUGUGUGUGUAUUGUUUUGCUUAUUUUGGAUGUUUGCAUUGUUUUGCUUAUAGGUGUCAUGAGUUACUUGUAAUUUGAAAUACUAUACAUAUUUUUGUUCAGGUACUAUGGACAGUAACUAUACUGCAAAGCUUGUGUACUCUGGUGAAGGAGCAUGUCACACCCUAACUCGAGUAAAGGUCUAACCUCGAGUUAAGGCGUGAAUCGCACUUUAAUUAUAGACAGUUUAAUAUCCAUAAUUAAAAUGAGAUAGAUAUCGUAACAUGACGUAAGAAGUAACAACUUUCACACCUUUAUUUAGAUUACAAGCCUUAUAAGAAGGCGCUUAAAACACACAUGUUCAAAACAUUUACAAAAAAACUAGAAUAACGUUUCUUUUCAAAACGUCCAUUCUUUAUUCAAGCUCUAUCUUAUAAAAGAAAAACUUGAAAACCUUAAUUUACAAUACAACAUUUUCUAAGCUUCACGAACACCACCUGCAAGGGGUUUAAUGAGGGGUGAGCAACACUCAGUAGGGCUAGUUAAUAUAUAUUAAGAAAACAUGAUAUGAAGCACGACAAAAACAAACAUAGCAUGUCAAGAAUGCAUGAACACAAUAUCGACUCAACUCUCAUCCCACACCUCACAUCACCCUUGAAUAUAAUUUUCUCAUUUGCUAGUCAUCUUGUUAUACUCAUGGUCCUCAGUCCCGAAACCCGAAUGAUCAUUUUAUCGACUCAUACGUCGAAGGGGCAUACUUUCCCCACUCAUUUGCGCAGGUGGGCUGAUCAUAGCUACUGGAAGUCCCCAUGAGUAAACUCAACUACACAAAUGGUUUUCUAAUAUCAAAAUCUCAUAAAUUCCCAAACACUCAUUCUCUAUUUCACCUCCAACCUCACUCGUUUCCCACCAACGUCAUGUAGUAAUAUAGAUUCAACAUAAGAACACAUGCUUUCAAAUAUAAACAUAUCAUAAUCAAUUCAAGAUCUCAAUAUCAUCCACAUUUAAUUCAAAUAUUGCCACACAAUUCAAUGUCAAACAAUCCAAUACCAAAUAAUCCAAUAUCACAAAUCAUCCAAUAUCAUCAACAAUUCAAUAUCAAACAAACCAUGUAAUAGCAUAAAUAACAAUAACACAAACACCCCAUCAAACCCUACCUCGAUUUGCACAGCACAAAGUCGAGCUCAAACUUCACUUCUCACACUUGUGGAUCACCAAAAACGUCUCCGGAACCUUACCAAAGAGGUAAAGUACAUACAACAAUGAAAAACUAGAUUUAGUACUAUGUCACAAGUAAUAUACAUAAAUAAGAAACUCUAAACUAUAAAACAGAUACAAAAUAAGACUCAAAAGUUGUUUAAAGAGCUACUGCAAAACACAGGAAUCAGCUAUUAAAGAAAAGACUGAGUUAGAACAAGGUUCAUCUGUCAGCCUUGUGUCAAAACAGUGUGUUGCUGUUUUUGGCUUCACUUUCCACUCACUCAAAUCCAACAAAAAUUUAUGAACCAAAGCCUAUUGUAAAGAUGGGAUUACAAGCUUUAAGUACAUAGCUUAAGUUUUGAAAACAAAGCCCUGGAUAGAAAGUUACAAUCUUGCAAAGUUGGAGUAAAAAUCUGAAAACCCAGAAAUUCUAGUUUUUGCUGAGUCUGCUACUGUUUUUGGCAAGCAAUUUGACAAACCAAAUGUUAACCAAAUCCUAUGAAAUUUAACACACACAUAGGUAGAUAUAUGAGCCUUACAAAGGUACUUUCAGAUUUCCAAACAAAGGCCUGAGCUGAAAGAUAUCCUGCCUCAAAGUAGGCAAGAAAAUCAGUUAUUCUGCAGAAUUUCUGGAAAUUUGCAGCAGGAAUAAAACUUGGUUCUUGGAGCUUUAAUUCGACUUUUGAAGUAGUAAAACAAGUUCUAAAGCUUCAGAACGGAAAGGAACAGAUUUCCAGAACAUUAGGACGAUUUUAAACAUAACCAACAGUUGAAAGAAAAGGAUCCAAAAUUUGAUUUGGACACCCAAACUCAAGAACAAUGUUCUUGAGCUUCAACCACAACGAUUCCAGACAAUAACAUCUGAUUCGAAUUAGGAUUCCUAUCUAUACAAGUCUGAAAAUUCGAAAUUACAAACCAUAAUCAAACAAAGUAACCAUAUUGAUACUCAAGACAUAAGAAUCAAGAAUCAAAAUAAAAAGUAAGUACUCUAUCUAAUCUUAGGAACUGAAUUCGAAAUUGCUAAAAGGUGAUAUGGAUUCUACCUUAGACAGAAACGAAUUGGAAAGGGUUGUCUCUCUCUCCACAACUCUCUCAAUUUCUGUUCUGUCCCUGUUCUGCCCCAAAUCUUUAUCUGCUUCUCUCUAGUUGAUUUGGUCGAAAACUUAACCGACUUUCGAUCUUUGGCCGACUUCAAAAUUCUCCUCCUAUAGGCUUAGACUAGACAGCUACUCUCUGCAUAUCUAACUAUUUGACACCUCCUGCUGUUUGCGUCCUAACUACAAGCAAUUGUAAUAAAAAAAACUAAGAAAGGCUGCUGUGUUUCAAAGAGAAACGCAGCUCAGGUGUUUCCCCCUUUUUUUUUCUUUUUUUUCUUUUUUCUUUUUUGAAAACAGAAGUAAAAUACCCUAAAAACUUAAUAAAGCAUAGAUUAAUACUAAGUAAAACAAAUUAGCUACUUCAAAAUGUUACAGAGCAACAGUUUCAUUUGAUCAUAGCGUUUCAUAUUUUGAUUUUGCUAAUUUUGUACAUGACCGAUUUCCGGUAUUGGGCAGAAGCAUUGUCAAGCUGAAGUAUACUGUUUUUCCUGAUGUUGUAUCUUAUCGUCUUGAAAAUGAAGAUGAUGUUUAGAGUUUUGGCCCAUUAUAGUUCAAAUUUUGUUGAUGUGGAUGUUUGCUCUUUCGAUGUUAGUGCUUCUAGUUCUGAAAGUGUGUUGAGUAACAAUGUUAGUGAAGAGUCUAGUGUUUCAUUUGAUGAAAAUGAUUAUUUAAGAUGCUACAAACUAGAGGAAGCAAAGAGGUAUUGUAGCAAAGGGUGGGAGAAUUAUAUCAAAUCAAAGGACCAGAAGUUUCAAGGUGGUGUGGAAGAGUUUAGGUUGAAAUUGCGUAUGUAUGCUCAGUUAGUUUGGUUUGGUAAAAAAGUAGUGGAAUCAAACCCUGGCUCUACUAUCAAGAUUGAGUAUGAACCUGAAACUCGCAGGUUUCAGCGAAUGUUUCUGUGUUAUGAUGCGUGGAUGAAUGGUUUUCAGUUUUGCAGACCCAUACUGUUCAUUGAUUCUACCUUCAUCACCAACAAAUACAAAGGGUAGCUUAUUGGUGCAUCUGCCAAGGAUGCGAAUCAAGGUACUUUUUUAGUGAAAUGUUUAGUUGCAUUGGCAGUUUCUUUGAUUGUGAUAGUUACAUAGUUUCCAGGGGCUUCAGUUUUGAUUGCUUUGACAUUUUUAUAUAACUGUUUGAUGGAUAGUUAAAUGACUUGUGUACCUACAUUAAGCUACUAAUGUAACUAUCCAUGUAACUAUAAAUUGAUAGUUACUUGACUAGAUAUUCAUGUAACUAUCCAUGUAACUAUGCAUGUAACUGUCCAUGUAACUAAGCAUGUAACUAUUAAUGUAUGUAACUAUCCAUGUAACUAUCCAUCUAUGUAACUAUCCAUGUAACUAUCCAUGUAACUAAUACAACUCAAGUCCCUGCAUCACAGAUGCAUACCUAUAAACUGUUUCUUUGAUUGUGAUAGGUACAUAGUUUCCAGGGGCUUCAGUUUUGAUGGCUUUGACAUUUUUAUGUAACUGUUCAUGUAACUUUCAUUUAUUCAUACUGAUUUUUUGUUCGUCUUUUUUGCAGGUUUAUAUCCAGUUGCUUAUGUUAUUGUUGAUUCUGAAACUGAAUGUAAUUGGAGAUUUUUCCUUCAGUGUGUACCUGAAGAGUUGUCAAGACACCCUAUGAGGCAGGUGACAUUCAUUUCUGAUCAGAAUCCUGAUCUUCUUAGUGCAUACCGCAUGUCUUUCCCAAUAGUCCAUAUGGUUUUUGUUUUAGGCACCUUGUAGACAAUAUCUCCAAAAAGUAUCCAAGUCAGUCACCCCUUCAUAAAUCUGUUCCUUAUUUGUUCAUGUGUUGUGCUUAUUCUCACACCCCAGACUCGUAUGAGACCAACCUUGCAAAAUUGAAGGAGGAUGGAGGUUCUAUUGUUGAAGAUUUUCUAAAGGACCUUCCCAAGGAGAGCUAGUGUUUGGCUUUUUUAAACAGGGAGAGGUUUGGUGAAAUGACCAACAAUUUGGCCAAGACUUUUAACAAUUGGGUGGGGGAUUUGAAGAGUCUUCCUAUUUAUAAUCUGAAUGAAGGUAUUAAAACAAAGUCUAUGGAGAGAAUUGCUGAGCGGAUGGAAGGGUUAAAGGAAUGGGUCACUGUUUUGUGUCCAAACAUGGAAAAGAAAUUGAUUAAUAACUUGGCGGUUAGGCGACAUUGGCGAGUUAUGAGAUCUGAUACAUAUGUUUAUGAAGUUCAAUGUCAAUAGUACAGGGUUAUGGUGAACUUGGGAGAGGAUUUCGUUUGUUCGUGUGGGGAAUGGAAAUGUCAUGGUUUUCCUUGUUCACAUGCCCUUGUUGCAAUUCAGCAACAUGGUGUCUCUCCUUACUUAUAUGUCAGACCUUACUAUAAGGUACUCUUUUACUCAUUCUGUUUCUUUUUACUCCAUAUCUAUUCUUGUUUCCUGCUUUUGUUAACUAACAUGUCCAGUAAUUGCUUGUUUUUCAAUGUAACUGAUCAUGUAACUGCUUGUUUUUCAAGGUGGAUAAAUUCUGAGAAACCUACUCUCACACCAUUAACCCAAUCCCUUCCAUUUCAAUGCCUGUUGAUCUUGCUCCAUCGUCAUUUCCAUUGCAGCCUCCUUUGACUAAAAGACAGGCUGGAAGGCCAAAAACAAGAAGGUACUGAAGUAGGAGUGGUGUUCCAGGUGUGGGAAAUAUGACGGGCAUAACAGAAUGAGUUGUAAAGCUCCAAUAUAGCCUUUGGUUACAUAUGACAGUUACAUUGAUGGAUACAGUAUUUACAUUGAUGGAUUCAGUAGUUACAUUUGAUUUAGUAGUUACAUUGAUGGAUUCAAGUUCUUUUCAGUAGUUACAUUGACAGUAACAAUUCUGCUGUUGGAUGUUUCAUUUAUUUAGUUGUUGCUUUUUAUUAUGAUAGUGGAAACUGUGUAUCUCAUUUUUCGCGGUGCAGUGGCACGCUGCAAAUAUUAAUGCAAACCCCAUUUUUUUUGUUUUUCCAAGUGCUUUGUUUAUUUCAAGUUUCAUUGCUUUGUUUGUUUCAAGUUUCAUUUUGUUCACCAGUUACAUGGGUAAUUACAUUGCUAGUUACAUCCAUGUAACUAUGCUAUAUGUAACUAUCCAUUUAACUAUCUAUGUAACAAUCCAUGUAACUAUCUACAUGAAUUUUAAUAGAUUUCUAUUCUAAUACGCAGUGGGACGCUACCGUUGCGGUGCAGCGGCACGCUGCACUUAUUAUUAAAUAAAUUCAUGUAACUAUGCAUAUAACUAUAGUUACAUGGAUUUUAAUAGAUUUACGUUCUAAUAUGCAGCGGGACGCUGCCGUUGCGGUGCAGCGGCACGCUGCAAUUAUUAUUAAAUAAAUUCAUGUAACUAUGCAUAUACUAUGUAUGUAACUAUUUAUGUAACUACUCAUGUAACUAUCUAUGUAACUACAAAUUGCUAGUUACCUAGGUAGUUACAUUGCUAGAUGAUACGAGCACAAAGUGCUAUGUUUAUAAUGUGUUUCCUGCCCCAUUUAGCUAUGUUAUUCUUAUAAUAAUGUCAUUUCUAACAUGUUUUGUGAGUGUGAAGGCAAAAGAGCAGAAAAGCAGAAAAGGAAGCUAAAACAGGCAAUUUAAAAAAAAUCCUAAUCAAAGGAGGAUUCCUGGUGCAGCAAGGAGUCUCAUUAUGUCACAAAAUCUGAGGAUAUGUCGUUUAGGAAACUUUCCUGUUUUGAAAAGGGAAACUUGCCUAUUUCAUUUUAAGAAACUUUCUUAUUUUGAUUUAGGAAACUUACUAUUUUUGAAUCUUUCCUAUUCUAACUUUCCUAAAAUAUUUAGGAAACUUCUUUUCUGAUGAGACAAGGAAACCAUUUGAAGUCAGGAAACCUAAUCCAACUCAGAAUAGGAAUCUGUGAACGUAUAUAAAAGGAGGACGAAUUCUGCAAUAAUCAAGGGAUUUAUGUGUUAAUAUAAAUCAGAAAUUAAGAGAUUCUUUCCUUAACUUCGUCAUUUAAAUUCUGUCCAUCCUACCUUAUUUAUCUGAUUUUAUUCCCCUUGCAGGAACCCUAAUUAUGCACUAGGAAAGGAAGGAAAAUCAUGGAUUUUCGUCAAAGGUCUGAUUGAAGGCAGAAGAAGGAAGGUUUUCACUGCUGUGAUUUUCUCUGGAGAACAAGAAACGUACCUGGCCUCUAUUCGAGCCUCAUGCAAUGGAUUUCUGCACAAGACAUUCCAGAGAAUUCUGGGAAUUUUAAUUCAAGAUAUUAACGUAAUUAUUUCAGACCAUUGGAUAAGAAGUUGAUCAAGGGUUAGGAGAAGACCUAGGGUUUGGCGUGUUCACUAUAAAUAGAGACUCUCUACUUCACAAUUAUGAUCAUUCAUUCACGUUAAAAAGCAGAGAGAUACGAGAGCAGUAGCAGGCCGUCUUUUCCUCUUUUGCCGAGUUCAUCCUCUCUUGCCAGACCUUGAAGGACUUCUCCACGAAGGUAGCACAGUUGGAGACUUGAAGCAUUGAAGCCAAACAUCCUUUGGACGUCGACAAGCUUCCUUGGAAACUGAAAAAGUGUAAACAGUGCCUUUACUCUGUUUUGAUUUUCUUUACAAACUUGAAAGCAUGUUUCGAAUGUUAAACUCUGGAUUUGAAAGCAUGUUUUGCUUGUUUUUGUAUUCACUAGAUUCAAAAUCUUAUAAAAUGUAUUGAUGUUUCGUUAAUGAUUUCUGGCGAUCUGAUUUCGUGAGUUUUAAUGAUUGAAAGUUUGUGUUUUUAUUUAAAUAAAGGAGUUAGAAUGCAUGCUAGCUAUUGCCAUGAUUCGUGCUAAGCUUCUUCAAGUAAGUAUGUUUCUCUAAGUGGUGAAAACUAUGUAAUAAUAGUUGAAAACGUAAAUUACAGCAAAUGCACGUUAUGACUUCUCAGGUGCGCAUUGUUGUUCAAUCUCAGUUCCAUAUGUCAAGACCCACCCCAAAUUUUACCCUAAAACCUGGAGCAAGUCCUGCAGGGACCAUCUCCAAGGAAAAUUUACCGAAAAUUCGGCAUCACCUCCUUUGAAAAUGGACAACCCUAACUUGAAAAAUUCAGAUAACACUCCUAUACCAACACAUCCAACCUCAACACCUGGAGCCACCCGCUCCUCCAACACACAACCACCACACAAAAGAAAUAAUAUCAUCUUCUAAUCCAACACAUAAAUAUCCAAUUUAUAUCAUACACCAUCCUUUGGAUAUCUCCCAAAUUAAUAAACAAAGACUUAGCACACAACCGAACUAUUAUACAAAUAAUCCCAAGGUAAUCAGAGCUACUAAAUACUAGCGGAAGCAUAAAAAUAUGGUAGUAGGUUAACAGGUAACCUAUUGAUGAAAGGUGAAAGAGAUGUGGGUGACUAUGCCUCACCUCUAAUUAGUGCCAACCCGAACUCUGCAGGCUGGGCAUUUUAAAAUGAAGGGCCCAGGGGAAAACAUUUAAAAACGUUAGAGUGAGUGGAUAAAAAUAAAUUAAUAAAUAAAUAUUUAUGCAUUACCAUUUGAAUUUUCAAAGAAAUUAUGUUGCAUGCGAAAAUUCAAAAGCGCUUAACUCAUACCCUGGCAAUUUCAUGACUAGCUCUGGCUAGUCUCCAAACUCAAUAAACUGGAGCCUCUCAGGCUAAAGUAUAUAUAAACAUAUAUGUGUAUGUAUUUACACUCGUCAGACUCUUUGUAUGAAUUCUAUGAACAAAUUUGAAAAGUAGAAAUUCAUACAAGGCUACGACGCUUGCGUCUAACGCUCACGUCGCGCCAUAAUGGAAUUUUUUCUCAUUAUGACCGAAGAGGACGGGUGUAUAUAUACGUGUGGACUCCCUAUAUAAAAACCUAUAUAAACCAGAAAAGAAAGUAGUUUUCAUAUAAGGUUAUGACGGUUGUGUCUAACACUCACGUCACGCCAUAAUGGUAUUUUACCUCAUUAUGACGGACCAAGCACGUAUGGCUAGCUAGCAUUUAUAUACAUACUAUACUCAUAAACAUCCAAAAUGCAUAUCCACAGAAAAUCUCAUUUUCGGGAACUCUCCAAAGGAGGAAAAUUGCCAAAUAUCCGAGAAAGAAAUAAAUCUCAGCAGAAGAAACAAAUGAUCAACAGAAUAAUUCAUCGCAUGCUUUUCAAUUAAAACAAAGUUCCACUCACAAAUUAGGCCUAAGCCUAAUGUCGCUCCGAGGCUUCUUCUGCUCGAGCCUCCUCUCGUCCUGUGCCAAAUGUAAUAUUAAUUUCCCAACCAAAAAUCCAAAAAUUACACAAAAUAGGCAAAAUUAACCGAGAGCCAUAAACACGCUCAUCAAUGCCUAACUUCGAUACGGUCCACACCUCAACACUUAAACCAGUAGCCUUAACUACACCCUUCCACAGAUUUUAUGACUUAAAUCCAACGGCCAGAUUCUACCUUAUUAAUCCGCCACAAUUACUAAACUUUAAAAAUUCUCAAAUCUAACCAAAACUCCUCCAAAAAUUCUAAAAUUCACAUCAAUAACUCCCAUUAAUAUAACCAAUCAAAAACCAUGAAAAUCCCCUAAACAGCGGCGGCCGGAGGCCGACUCCGGUGACCUCUAAUGCCUACCAAAUUUUAACAGCAGCUUCCUUUCAACUCCCUCUACAACUUUCUUAACUAGCACAACACCCAAUUUCAAGCCUAACCAUGCCAAUCGAACGAAAACAUCCUAGAAAACCCUAGAGCUUCAACACCAAUAUUACCUUACCUAGCUCAAGAGAGGGUGAGACCUUUGGAGGGGUUGCUGUACGGGAGGAGGGCUUUCUUCCAAGCCAAGCAGCUCUGGCUAUAGCGGCCGGAGGAGAGAGUUCCGGCGACGGGAAGCUUUGGACAGUCGGGGAUUUCGGGCGUGCCUACUCCCACACGGCGGUGCUAGGGUGGCUCUCACUGGCCUAGGAUGGAAGCUGGGUCAGAGGCCAACCGAUCGGGAUCGGAGCGGCGGCCUACGGUGGCCGGACGGCGGCGAACUGCUGCUUGGAAAUUCCAGCAGGGAGAGAGGGAGGGAAUCGGGAGAGAGAGAGGAAAAAGAUGAAGAGAGAAAAAAGUUGGGCCUUAUCCUUCCAACCGGUCCUAACCCACCUAAAUAAACCCAACUCCAAAAAUUAACACCCCAAUAAAAAUACCCUAAUAAAAAUUACCUUUUACUAGCUAAAAUUUACCAUUUUUACCGUCGUCACAUUUUCUCUUACGAUUAAUUUCUCCGAAAUAAUCGUCCCUCAAAACCCCUCUAGGGACCUUUUAAACUAUAAAUUCAUUGACUGAGACGGUAAAAUUUUUAUUAAAACCAAGCUAGCAAAUAAGGUGAAAAUUUACGGGUUGGGAUGUGACACUAUAAUUCUUAAUGAUUCAUGUUUAUUGUGGACAAGUACUGUUUAGUAUUGAAUGCUGCAAUUUACAUGAAAUAAUCUAAGUUCUAGACUUCUCUGUGCUUAGGUGAUAAAGUAAGUAGAAUUAAAGGAAUGCAUGUCCUCUUCAGGCGUGUGUUCCGAGAUUGUUUCUCUUGUUAAAAACUUGCAUGAUAAUCGGACUGUUAGAAUGAGAUGAGAUCUUGAUGUUUGGUAGAAUUCGAAUUUAUCUCUGUUUGCGAUGUUGAAUGAAUCGAUCACUUGUAUAUAUUAUACUUUAUUUUCUGUUUUAGUGGGAACGUAGAACAAACCUUUAAAAUCCACCUUUUUAUCUAUUGUAACAUGUGUAUAUUUGUAACCGAAUACUUGUAAAUACUUAUAGUUACUGAUUUUUUAGUGUAACUGUGACUGUAGGAGCGCCCUUUAGGUCCCCGGAUUGAUCGAACCUUAUUUGCCAAUACUACAUUCUGAUAAAAAAGGGUUUUUAAAUUACGCGCCCGAUAACGAUCGCAUCAAUUUUUGACGCCGUUGCCGGGGACUUAAUAAGUCUCUAACGGUUUUCGGUUACUUAAUUGCUUAAAUAUUUAUACUACUUUAAAUUUGACUAAUUGUUAUCUGUUUUAGUUAUUUUCAGGUACAUAUCUUGUUUUGUAAACCACUGAAGGUUCUUUAGUUAAUAGGAUCCUAAACCCUUCAUUAGUACCUUUUCAAAGGUCUUUUGGAGGCAGAUCUUAUUAACUCUUGUACGACUGUCAAACAUACAAGUGUUUCCUAACUGAGUAAGGGACAUUUUGGAUGGUGUCUAGGUCUGAGUAAGCGCCUGGGACCAAAAUUGGACUUCAAAGGGUUAUAGACUGUGCGUAAGCACGAAAGGGGUUUCAACCUCCGUAGCCCAUUACAAAUGAAGUCCUACCAGCCCGUUUCACUUCGGCUUGGCCAUUAAAGUCUUCUGAAACCACGGAAACAUAUGUAUCAAGACAUUCAUACCUAUUCAUCAUUGGUUUACCACUUAAGAUUCGAGUUUGAAAAUUUAUAAAACUUAUAACUGUUAACUCAAACAGAUUGUUGUAAUUUAGAAUCUUUGUAAAAUGUGAAGUGUUUACUUAGUUCUAAGGCCUUUUAUGUUUGAGCUCGUUUUUAAAAUUUUAGUUACUUUGUUUAUGUUUAAUUUUUAUUUUGUUUCUUAUUUUGUUAUUUCAUUUUUGUAGGGUUAUGAAUGUUCGAUGAGGGAAUUCGUAUUCCUGGAUUAACCGAUGAGAUUUUAACUAACUUGAAGGAGCGGUUACAGCGCAUUAAGCAAGGAGAACCUUCCUAGAUUCUUGAUCUUCCUGUUCAAAUCCCCAACACAUUCAGACAGCUAGAGUUUGAGAGUGAAGCAUAAUCGGAAGCAGAGGAAGAAGAACACACAAAGUCCAUUGUCUCAUCACAACCUUCAGAUUCUAAGGAAGACAUUCCACCAAUGGAACAGCAGACUAUUAGACAAUUAUCGAAUUUGGUUGUACUAGGAGCCGGAGGUAAUGCACCUUCAUGUAUCACUUAUCCUGAACCGGCAGCCACUAAGGAAGGAGAAUUCGAGUUGAAGAGUGGACUUCUGCACCAAAUUCCAAAAUUCCAUGGGCUCAGCAAUGAAGAUCCCAACAAGCAUCUGAAGUCUUUUCAGUUUGUUUGUGUGAGCAUGUGCCCUAGAAAUGCAGAUAUUAACAUUCUGAAGCUGAAGGCAUUUCCGUUCUCACUGGAAGACCGGGCCAAGUCAUGGCUCAUUGACCUACCUACUGGACAUAUAGAUUCAUGGGAAAAGAUGAUGAGUGAGUUCCUGACCAAGUACUUCCCAACGUCAAAGAUCACGGUGAUGAGGAAGCAAAUCACCGGAAUUCAGCAAGGACUAGAGGAAACAUUCUGUCCUUAUUAUGAACGAUUGAAGGCCCUUGUUGCAGCUUGCCCCUCCCAUGGAUUUAAAGAGAAUAACCUUCUGCAGUACUUUUAUGAAGGACUUUCAUCUUUGGAGCGCCAGUUGUUGGAUGCUGCAUCUGGAGGGUCCUUCCUUAACAAAACACCAAGAGAAGCAUGGGCAUUGCUAGACAAUCGUGCCCUAAAUGACCAGCAAUAUGCUGGUGCAUUGGCUUCUUCUCGAAUGGUGAAUGAAGUAAAAUCAAGCACCACACUGGAAAGUAAAAUUGAUACAUUAUUAUCUCAUCUUAUGCUUGGAAAAAGCCAAGAAGUGAAAGCUUGUGGGGUGUGCUCAAGUCAAGGGCAUCAUACUGAUCAGUGCCCUCAACUGUCUGAAAAUGGUGGAUGGGAGACUCUCAAUGCUAUGGGAAAACAAAGGUACAAUCCCUUUUCCAAUACCUACAAUCCUAGUCUAAGGGAUCAUCCAAAUUUCUGAUGGAGCAAUACGGAGAAUGCACUUAAUCCACCACAAUAUUCUGGAGGUCAAUUUCAGCAUCCACAAGGCUUCUUUCAGAAACCCCAGGUUCCUCAAAAUUUUGCUUCAAAUUCUAAUAAUGCUACUCCUUCAUAUGAUAAGAUGCUUGAAGCCCUUUUUCAAGGGCAGCAAAAUUUAACAAAUUCUACUUAAGCUCUUGUGCAAGGUAAAACAAAUAAUACGAAGGAUAUAGCUGAGCUCAAGAACCAAGUGGGGAAAAUAGUGGAUUUCAUGGGAAAAAUUUCUGAAAGUGGAAAACUUCCGCCAAGCACUGUUCCAAUUCCAAAUUUUGAGUCUGCAAAAAUAGUGGCAACAAGGAGUGGACGCGUGUUCAAUGAGGUCCCAAAGAAAGUCCAAAAGAAGGCCCAAGUUGUUCAAGAAGAGGAGGAGGAAAUUGAAAUUUCCAAGAAUGAUUUGGAGGCAGGUCCUGCCACUUCCAGAGUUGAAGCAAAACUGCCCCAACCAACUAAACCGCACAAAGGUAAUGAUACUAACUUUCAAAGUUCAGUUAUUACUAAUCCUCCCUAUGCGCGUGUGCCAUUUCCAAGCAGGUUUCAAAAAUCAAAGAAGAAGAAUCUGAUGAAGCCAUGUUGGAGGUUUUUAAGAAAGUGCAAGUAAAUAUUCCCUUGAUUGACUGCAUUACUCAAGUUCCCAACUAUGCAAAAUUUUUGAAGGAGUUGUGCACAACAAGGAGGCAAACACGUGAAAAAGAAGUUGUGAAGCUGAGUGAGACUGUUUCUGCAGUUCUCCAAAGAAAGUUACCACCCAAGCUAAAGGAUCCAGAGAGUUUUUCUAUCCCUUGUGUAAUUGGUGAUACUACUUUUGAAAAUGUCAUGCUUGACCUAGGUGCAUCCCUUAAUGUUAUGCCAUAUAGCUUAUAUGCAUCUAUGGACUUAGGUGAACUUAAGAAAGACAAUGUCAUAAUUUAGUUGGCAGAUAGGUCUAACAAAUACCCUAAGGGGUAUGUGGAGGACGUUCUUGUGCAAGUUAAUCACUUGAUUUUCCCUGCAGAUUUUUACAUCAUUGAUAUGGAAGACUCACCCUCAAGUUCAACUCUUAUACUUUUAGGGCGUCCUUUCAUGAGAACUGCAAGAACAAAGAUUGAUAUGUAUGCUGGCGCAUUAACAAUGGAGUUUGAUGGAGAAGUUAUAGGCUUCAACAUCUUUGAAGCCAUGAGGUAUACUUUAUCUGAGCUUAAACCAUAUUAUUUUAUUGAUAUCGUUGACUCUCUUGCGCAGAAACUCCUAAAUUCAAUGAUUGAUGAUAAGUUGGAGUACAACAUUGCUCAAGGAGUGGGAUACAAUGCUGAUGGUACUGAUGUGUCAAACGCAGAAUUAGAGGAAAUAUGGGAUGACAUUGUGCUUGAAACCGUCGCCGCUCUUGAAGGCGUACCAAGUAGUUCUAAUCCUCUAUUGUCUCUUCCCAUUUCCACUAACAAAUUGUUACCAUCUGUAGUGCAGACACCCAAGUUGGACUUGAAAGCAUUACCUAAUCAUUUGAAGUAUGUGUACUUGGGAGAGGAUGAGACUUUGCCUGCAAUUGUGUCCUCCAAACUAGAUGAGGAACAAGAAAAGAGAUUGGUGGAGGUAGUGAAGAAGUACAAGACUGCCAUUGGAUGGAGUUUAGCAAACAUCAAGGGAAUAAGCCCAACCACAUGUGUCCAUCGAAUUCUGCUGGAAGAUGGAGCAAAACCCACCAGAGAAGCCCAAAGACGUCUACACCAACCAAUGAUGAAGGUGGUUCAAGACGAAAUCAUCAACUUGCUGGAUUGUGGAGUGAUCUACCCCAUAUCCGAUAGUAAGUGGGUCUCUCCUGUACAAGUUGUUCCAAAGAAAUUUGGAGUGACGGUUGUGAAGAAUGCUGAGAAUGAGCUAGUGCCCUAACGAGUUGUGACUGGACAUAGAGUUUGCAUUGACUAUAGGAAGCUCAACGCCACCACAAGGAAGGACCAAUAUUUCCCCCUACCAUUCAUUGAUCAAAUGCUUGAGAGGUUAGCUGGUCAUGAGUUCUACUAUUUCUUGGAUGGAUACAGUGGCUACAACCAGAUUUGCAUAGCCCAAGAAGACCAAGAGAAGACUACGUUCACAUGUCCCUUUGGCACUUUUGCCUAUAGGUGCAUGCCCUUCGGUUUGUGCAUUGCACCAGGUACAUUUCAACGUUGCAUGAUGUCUAUUUUCUCUGAUUAUAUCGAAAAUAUAAUUGAAGUCUUUAUGGAUGACUUUAGUGUCUUUGGUAAGGACUUUGAUUCAUGUUUGAGAAAUUUAGAACUCAUUUUGAAAAGGUGUGUUGAAACUAAUCUAGUUUCGAAUUGGGAAACAUGUCAUUUCAUGGUGACACAAGGAAUUGUUCUGGGACAUAUCAUAUCUGCUAGGGGAAUUGAAGAUGAUAAGGCCAAGAUUGAUCUUAUUCGUUACUUACCAUACCCCAUAACUAUGAGGGAGAUACGUUCGUUUCUUGGCCAUGCAGGUUUUUAUCACAGGUUUAUCAAGGACUUUUCCAAGAUAGCCAGACCCCUAACUCGCCUCCUUCAAAAAGAGGUAGCCUUUGAUUUUGAUGACGAAUGCAAGACGGCAUUUGAGAAGUUGAAGGAAUUGUUGACAACAGCACUAGUGAUGCUACCCCUAAAUUGGGAUGAACCCUUUGAGUUGAUGUGUGACGCAUCCGACUAUGCUGUUGGAGCCGUACUAAGGCAGAGGAAGGACAAGAAGCCCUAUGCCAUUUACUAUGCCUAAGAAUGCUCAAUGAUGCACAAUUGAAUUACUUUACCACUGAAAAAGAGUUUCUUGUUGUUGUAUUUGCUUUAGAUAAAUUAUGUUCUUAUUUGCUUCAAUCUAAAGUAAUUGUUUAUAUUUAUCAUGCAGCAUUGGGGUACUUGUUUACAAAGAAAGAGGCGAAGCCAAGGCUUAUUCGAUGGAUGUUGUUACUCCAAGAAUUCGACAUUGAAAUUAAAGACAAGAAGGGGAGUGACAACGUGGUUGCUGACCAUUUGAGCAGAUUAGUACGCGAAGAGGACGCCUUGCCCUUGUGUGAGACGUUUCCAGAUGAACAGCUCUUUGGAAGUGAGGUAAGUGAACCUUGGUAUGCUGAUAUUGUGAAUUAUCUUGUGUCUAAGACUUUUCCAGACACUUUACCUCGUUCUCAUAAAGAAAAACUUAAUAAAUUGGCUAGGCAUUACAUUUGGGAUGAUCCUUAUUUGUGGAAACAUUGUCAAGAUCAAAUAAUUAGGAGGUGUGUCCUUGAAACUGAACAUCAAUCUAUUCUUGCCUUUUGCCAUUCUGAGGUUUGUGGAGGUCAUUUUUGAUCUCGUAGAACUACCCUUAAAGUGUUGGAUGCAGAUUUCUUUUGGCCUACAAUUUUUAAAGAUGCCUAUUUGUUUUGCAAGACUUGUGAUAGGUGUCAGAGAUUAGGAAACCUAGGACCUAAAGAUCAAAUGCCUUUACACCAUAUUAUAACUGUGGAAAUUUUUGAUGUGUGGGGUAUUGAUUUUAUGGGACAUUUUCCUUCAUCCAAUGGUUAUUUGUAUAUUCUUGUGGCAGUUGACAAUGUUUCGAAAUGGGUGGAAGCGAUAGCCACCAAAACUAAUGAUUCCAAAGUUGUUGCAGAUUUCCUUCGCUCUCACAUCUUUUGCAGGUUUGGAAUGCCACGAGUUAUCAUAAGCGAUGGAGGAUCACAUUUCUGUAACAAAUCAAUUGAGGCUCUAUUGAAGAAGUACAAUGUGACGCAUAAGGUUUCUACACCUUACCAUCCGCAGACGAGUGGACAAGCAGAGAUCUCUAACCGCGAGAUAAAGAGAAUUUUGGAGAAGACUGUGGGCCCAACACAGAACGAUUGGAGCCAAAAACUGAACGAUGCAUUGUGGGCUUACCGCACAGCAUACAAGACCCCAAUUGGAACAUCUCCAUUUCAGCUGGUCUAUGGGAAGGCAUGUCACCUUCCAGUGGAGCUUGAACAUAGAGCAUGGUGGGCAGUAAAGAAUUUCAACAUGAACCUAGAUGAUGCCGGCCUACAUAGGAAGCUCUAAUUGAAUGAACUUGAGGAGAUCAGAAAUGAUGCCUACGACAAUGCAUGGAUCUACAAACAGAGGACUAAAGCUUACCAUGAUAAAAUGAUCCAUGGCAAAUCUUUUGUGUUGGCUAGAAAGUGUUGUUGUUUCAUUCUAGACUUAAACUUUUUCCCUGUAAGUUACGUUCUAGAUGGAUUGGUCUUUUCAUAGGUACUUAUGUUUUUACACAUGGUGCUGUGCAGAUUUAGAGUGAAAAAACUGGAGAAGAAUUCAAGGUGAAUGGACAUCGGUUGAAGCCAUACUACGAGGCUUUCAAGGAAUACAAUGUGGAGGAAGUACCCCUUCAAGAACCAUUCACACAGAACUAAUGUGUGGUACAAUCGUCUGGCUCAUGGACUUUAAACGAGGCACUAAUUGGAAGGCAACCCAACUCAACCGAAGAUGUGGAGGAGCCAUCAACGCAAAUUUGUUUUCCCUCCCUUCUUCUCUUUUACAUUUUGUUUUUACUUGUUUUGUUUGUUGAUUGUUGUGUCGUGAGUUCCUACUCCAUACUUUGAUUCUACACAUUAUUUUGUGAACAUUGAGGGCAAUGUAGAGUUUGAGUGUGGGGGAGGGAUUUACAUGUUUGUUGAAUUUUUAUUCGAAAAAAUUGAGAAAUCCAAAAACAGUUUUUGUUGCUUUUGAGUCUUUUGUUUUAUUUUUGAGUCUUAGGAGCCCUUAACUGUCUGUGAUGAGCUUAAUUCUCUAAAUUUAUAAAGAAAGAUCACAAGAUUGAAAUGAUUUCCAACUGAUAUUCUGAAGUUAAUUGCAAUGAAUGGAAAUCUAUGAAAUGUAGUGGAUGUGGUUUUGAAACUUUGGUACAGAAAUGAGCAUGUUAAGUCAAAUUUUGACUCAUAUGAACCCUAAUGUGAGCUUUUGAGCCUUUAUAUGUGCCAUUCUUUCUGAGUGCUUAUUGAAAUAUUCUGAUUUGUUUUCUUAGCUAUAAUUGNNNNNNNNNNNNNNNNNNNNNNNNNNNNNNNNNNNNNNNNNNNNNNNNNNNNNNNNNNNNNNNNNNNNNNNNNNNNNNNNNNNNNNNNNNNNNNNNNNNNNNNNNNNNNNNNNNNNNNNNNNNNNNNNNNNNNNNNNNNNNNNNNNNNNNNNNNNNNNNNNNNNNNNNNNNNNNNNNNNNNNNNNNNNNNNNNNNNNNNNNNNNNNNNNNNNNNNNNNNNNNNNNNNNNNNNNNNNNNNNNNNNNNNNNNNNNNNNNNNNNNNNNNNNNNNNNNNNNNNNNNNNNNNNNNNNNNNNNNNNNNNNNNNNNNNNNNNNAAANAAAAAAAAAAAAAAUGCCGUGAACAGUAAAAGAAAGAGAAUAAUAAAAUUUCGGCAGAAAAAGAAGAAACUGGACAUUGUUUUUAUGUUAUAAAAUGGGAGUUUUUGUUGUAAAUGGAAGGCCUAAAAACGAAAUUAUUUGGCCUUUGUUCUGUUUUAUGAUGUUGUAAGGUGGUUAGAAUGACGAAGGGCCCAACAAGUUGGUAUAUGGCCCUUGAUUUUGUGACAUAAGGCGUGUUUAAUGCUCUGCUAGGUCCUUAAGAAUUUUGCAACACUUGCUCUUAAAUUCAUACCCCUAGCCCAGCCCCAUUAACACCUUCUAAAGUUCCUUUUGAUCUUAAAGAUGAGUAAAAUUUGAUCUGUGGAGUUUGUCCCAAGAGUUGAGCCUAUGAAAUGGUUCAUUUGUGUGAGUAAUUGAUUUUUUCUUGAGGUUUUAUAUCUGUUUCACAUGUGCUUUUUAUUCAUAUAAAUGCAAGCUUUUUGAAUGCCUCAAAAUACUUUCUCUUGCAUAGUUUUGAGUGACUUAGCCAGAAAAUCUGUGUGAAAAAUGAGUGCAUACCUUGUGAGAUUGAAUCAUAUUUGUCUGAAACAUGCUGAGCUUAACCAUCACCACUGUUCUUCCAUGUUCUACAUGUAAAUAUGUGAUCUAUGCAUGGCAAUUAGCUUUUGAAACUUCAUGAAAUAAUUCUUGAUUGAGUGCUAAUUUGGAUGCCAUGAGAUUGGAGAAUCUGAGACAAUAGUUAAGGGCAUUAGAGUUUGUUCGUCACUUGUUGUAAUUGUUUGUGACGUUUUUGUUGUUGUAAUUGUUUUUGAGUCUUGUUGUACGUUUUGGUUUUGCUAUGGGACUAGCAAAAGCUAAGUGUGGGGAAAUUUGAUACGAGCACAAAGUGUUAUGUUUAUAAUGUGUUUCCUUCCCCAUUUAACUAUGUUAUUCAUGUAAUAAUGUCAUUUCUAACAUGUUUUGUGAGUGUGAAGGCAAAAGAGCAGAAAAACAAAAAAGGAAGCUAAAACAGGCAAUUUAAAAAAAAUCCUAAUCAAAGGAGGAUUCCUGGUGCAGCAAGGAGUUUCAUUAAGUCGCAAAAUAUGAGGAUAAGUCGUUUAGGAAACUUUCCAGUUUCGAAAAGGGAAACUUGCCUGUUUCAUUUUAAGAAACUUUCUUAUUUUGAUUUAGGAAACUUACUAUUUCUGAAUCUUUCAUAUUCUAACUUUCCUAAAAUAUUUAGGAAACUUUCUUUUCUGAUGAGACAGGGAAACCAUUUGAAGUCAGGAAACCUAAUCCAACUCAGAAUAGGAAUCUGUGAACGUGUAUAAAAGGAGGACGAAUUCUGCAAUAAUCAAGGGAUUUAUGUGUUAAUAUAAAUCAGAAAUUAAGGAAAGAAUUAAGGAAUUCUUUCCUUAAUUUCGUCAUUUAAAUUCUGUUCAUCCUACCUUAUUUAUCUGAUUUUAUUCCCCUUGCAGAAACCUUAAUUAUGCCCCAAGAAAGGAAGGAAAAUCAUGGAUUUUCAUCAAAGGUCUAAUUGAAGGCAGAAGAAGGAAUGUUUUCACUGCUAUGAUUUUCUCUGGAGAACAAGAAAUGUACUUGGCCUCUAUUCGAGCCUCAUGCAAUGGAUUUAUGCACAAGACAUUCCAGAGAAUUCUGGAAAUUUUAAUUCAAGAUAUUAACGUAAUUAUUUCAGACCAUUGGAUCAAAAGUUGAUCAAGGGCUAGGAGAAUACCUAGGGUUUGGCGUGUUCACUAUAAAUAGAGACUCUCUGCUUCACAAUUAUGAUCAUUCAUUCACGUUAAAAAGCAGAGAGAUACGAGAGCAGGAGCAGGCCGUCUUUUCCUCUUUUGCCGAGUUCAUCCUCUCUUAAAUAAAAGAGUUAGAAUGCAUGCUAGCUAUUGCCAUGAUUCGUGCUAAGCUUCUUCAAGUAAAUAUGUUUCUCUAAGUGGUGAAAACUAUGUAAUAAUAGUUGAAAACGUAAAUUACAGCAAACGCAUGUUAUGACUUCUCAGGUGUGCAUUGUUGUUCAAUCUCAGUUCUAUAAUUCUUAAUGAUUCAUGUUUAUUGUGGACAAGUACUCUUCAGUAUUGAAUGCAGCAAUUUACAUGAAAUAAUCUAAGUUCUAGACUUCUCUGUGCUUAGGUGAUAAAGUAAGUAGAAUUAAAAGAAUGCAUGUCCUCUUCAGGCUUGUGUUUCGAGAUUGUUUCUCUUGUUAAAAACUUGCAUGAUAAUCAGAUUGUUGGAAUGAGAUGAGACCUUGAUGUUUGGUAGAAUUCGAAUUACGCGCCCCGGUAACGAGAUGCCUAGAGGAUAGGAAAGUGGGCUUGGCUACCCAGUUUUUGGAGAAGGAAGCAUAGCAUUGGUAGCUUGAUAUGAGUAGAGGUAUGGGUGAUGCUGCAAAUCAUAUGUCCUGGGAUCAGUUUACAACUCUUUUUAGAAAGCGUUAUAUUAGUCAUGCUCAUGUCAACUGAAUGAGGGAGGAGUUCUUGAAUCUGCAGAAGAGUGAUGACAUGACAGUGAUGGGUUUUGAGCAGUGAUUCUAGGAGUUGUCCUAUUAUGUGCCUGAUUUGGUGAGGACAGAGCAGGAGAAGAUUUAUCAGUUCACCAAAGGCCUUGGUGGUAUUUAUGCAAACCGGAUGACAGCGGUGCCAUAUCAGUCAUUUCACCAGGCCGUGACUUUUGCUUUGAACAUUGAGGCACAGGAGUUGGCAGCUGGCCGUCUUCGUGAUUCUGGUGGUCAUAGCCAGGGUACAUCAAAGAAAUUGGCGUCCACCUCGGGUUCUGGAUCAUCUACUGGCAGUGGACAUGGUAGCAGUUCGAGUUUUGUCUCCGGUUUCAGAGGGAGGUUCAAGAGGCAGGGUGGUAGAUCUUUCAAGAACUUAUUGGGCGUCAGUUUGGGCGAUUUAGGAGUGGAUCGAGCAGUAAGAGUGGGACCUCUGGGGGUCAGUCUUUUCAGUCUGGGCAGAGUCAUUUUCAGCCAGGGGGAUGUUUUCAGUGUGGUCAGCUGGAUCACUUCAAGAGGGAUUGUCUCCUUUUGACUCAGGGAGCCACAUAUACUCCUACUCAGGCCAUGGGUCAGACAUCAGCUGGUGGUUCUAGUAGUGGCACUCACGCCAUGGCUCUAGCUUGAGGCGGCUUUCAGCAGGGCAGAGGACAGAGAGGUCGUCCUGCCACUACUCAUGCUAGGCUUCAUGCCAUGACUCAGCAUGAGGGACGUACCUCCCCGGAUGUCAUCAUUGGUACGUUGUUAAUUUUCGGUCAUCUUGCUUUUAUAUUGAUAGACCCUGGAGCGACGCAUUCUUUUAUGUCUAGUACAUUUUCAUUUCUCGCCAAUGUGCCAUCAUCGCCACUUCCAGGCGAGUGGCAGGUUUCCUUGCCCUCCGGUGAUGUGAUGAAGAUACAUUGGGUAUUUAGAGGUUGUGAAGUGUUGGGAGGGUCUUAGUUUCGAAGUUGACUUGAUCCAUUAGAUAUUGUGGAGUUUGAUGUAAUCUUGGGUAUGGACUUUCUAGAGGCACAUUGAGCCAUGAUUGAUUGUUUCCAAAAAGUAGUGGUGUUACGAAGUCCUGGAAAGCCUGAGGUUACAUUUCAAGGGGAGCGGGGUGUGGUUUCAAGUUGUUUGAUUUCAGCUGUCGCUGCUAGGAAAUUGUUGAAUAAAGGUUGCCAGGCUUAUUUAGCCCACGUGGUGGAUACUAGAAAGGGAGAGGUGAGAAUGGAAGAUAUCCCUGUAGUUAAUGAGUUUCCAGAUGUUUUUCCAGAUGAGUUGUCUGGCUUGCCUCCUGUAAGGGAGAUAGAUUUUACAAUUGAGCUACUUCCUGGAAUGGUGCCUAUUUCUCAAGCGCCUUAUAGAAUGGCACCUGCAGAAUUAAAAGAGUUAAAAACUCAACUGCAUGAGUUGGUGGAUAAGGGUUUUAUUCGGCCUAGUAUGUCUCCUUGGGGUGCUCCAGUGUUAUUUGUCAAGAAGAAAGAUGGCACCAUGAGACUUUGUGUAGAUUAUAAGAAGUUGAAUCAGGUUACGGUGAAGAAUAAAUAUUUUUAACCCCGCAUUGACGAUUUAUUCGAUCAGUUGAGGGGUGCCACCGUCUUUUCAAAGAUUGAUUUGAGAUCGGGAUAUCAUCAAUUGUGAAUUCGGGAAGGUGAUAUAGCCAAGACUGCUUUCUGAUCACGUUAUGGUCAUUAUGAGUUUGUGGUGAUGCCGUUUGGACUUACUAAUGCACCCGCUGCUUUUAUGGAUCUCAUGAAUAGGGUGUUCCGUCCUUACCUUGACCAUUUCGUGAUUGUAUUCAUAGAUGACAUCUUGGUGUAUUCGAAGAAUUUGAAGCAACAUGCUAAGCAUUUAAAUAUGGUAUUGCAGACUUUGAAGGAAGCUCAAUUAUAUGGAAAGCUUAGUAAUGUGAGUUUUGGCUGGAUAAAGUGGGGUUCUUAGGCCAUGUGGUUUCGGUAGAAGGUGUCAGUGUGGAUCCCCAAAAGAUAGAAGCGGUGAUAAAUUGGAAGAGGCCUUCUAGUGUGACGGAGAUUCGUAGUUUCUUGGGGUUAGUAGGCUAUUAUUGUCGUUUUGUCCAAGUUUUUUCAAAAAUUGCCUCUCCUCUUACAAGAUUGACCAUGAAGGGGGUUAAGUUCGAGUGGUCAGAGAAGUGUGAGCAGAGCUUUCAAGAGCUCAAGGAUCGAUUAACUAGUGCUCUAAUUCUAGCACUCCCUGAUGAUAGUGGAGAGUAUGUGGUUUAUUGUGAUGCUUCCAGGCAGGGUUUGGGUGGUGUGUUGAUGCAACAUGAAAGAAUAAUUGCUUACGCUUCUAGGCAAUUAAAGCCACAUGAAGUGAAUUACCCCACCCACGACCUAGAGCUUGCUGCAGUGGUUUUUGCUUUGAAAUUAUGGAGACAUUAUCUCUAUGGAGCCAAGUGCCAGAUCUUUACCGACCAUAAGAGCCCUCGGUAUGUGUUCACUCAGAGAGAGUUAAAUAUGAGGCAAAGAAGGUGGAUGGAGUUGAUUAAAGAUUAUGAUUGCACUAUUGAAUAUCAUCCUGGAAAAGCUAAUGUAGUAGCGGAUGCUCUUAGUCGCAAUCCUUCUAUGUCCUUAGCUUAUAUGAGAAAAGUUCGGGUUCCACUUUUUUAUGAGUUGCGAGCUACAGGAGUGGAAUUUUCGGUGGAUGAAAUUGGUGCUUUGGUAGCCAGUUUUCAUGUGAGGCCAGUUUUAAUUGAUAAAGUGCACGAGACUUAGUAUAAUGAUCCUUCCAUAGUUCGGUUGAUAGAAAGAACACUUAAUGGAACAACAGUGGAUUUUUCUGUUAGGAGAGAUGGAGCCUUGUUGUUUAAAAAUAGGCUAUGUGUUCCGAAAAGGAAUUUGGAGUUGAAAUAGGAGAUAAUGAAGGAAGCUCAUAGUUCUGCUUAUGCUGCACAUCCUGAUAGUACUAAAAUGUACAAGACCUUGAAAGAUUUUUAUUGGUGGCCAAAUAUGAAAAGGGAGAUUGCCGCUUAUGUAAGUAAAUGUUUGAUUUGUCAACAAGUCAAAGCUGAGAGGCAGAAACCUUCUAGUUUGUUAGAGCCAUUGCCUAUUCCGAUAUGGAAGUGGGAUCACAUCGCCAUGGAUUUUGUUUUUAGCUUACCUCGUACCCGUGAUGGGCAUGAUGGUAUUUGGGUGAUUGUAGAUCGAUUAACAAAAUCUGCUCAUUUUCUGCCAGUGAGGAAGAAGUACACAUUAGAUAAAUUGGCGAAACUUUAUGUGAAUGAAAUUGUGAGACUCCAUGGUGUGCCUGAGUCUAUAGUAUCUGAUCGGGAUCCUAGAUUCGCUUCUAAAUUCUGGGGAGCUUUGCAGGCAGCUUUGGGCACUCGGUUGCACUUCAGCACAGCUUUUCAUCCUCAAACGAACGGGCAGUCUGAGAGGACUAUUCAGACCAUGGAGGACAUGUUGAGGUCUUGUGCUAUGCAAUUCAGAGGGAGUUGGGAUAAUAAUUUGUCCUUGAUAGAAUUUGCCUACAACAACAGUUUUCAUUCUAGCAUAGGUAUGACUCCCUUUGAAGCGCUUUAUGGGCGGCAGUGUCGUAUACCUCUAUGUUGGAAUGAGGUGGGAGAAAAAGAGCUUUGUGGUCUAGAGAUUAUCCAGGAUACAAAUGAGAAGAUCAAGAUAAUUAAAGAUAAGCUCAAAGCGGCUCAAAAUAGGCAGAAGAGUUAUGCAGAUAACCGCAGGAAGGAUCUUGAGUUUCAAGUGGGUGAUCAGGUAUUUUUGAAAUUAUCCCCUUGGAAGGGCGUAGUAUGUUUUGGUAAACGGGGAAGCUUACCCCGAGGUAUAUUGGUCAUUCUGAGAUUUUAGAGCGGGUUGGCACAGUUGCUUAUCGAUUGGAGCUACCUUCAAAGUUGUCCAGGAUACAUAAUGUUUUCCAUGUGUCCAUGCUACGCAAGUAUAUCGCCGAUCCCACUCAUGUCUUGCAAGAGCAACCGAUUAGCUUGAGGAAAGAUUUGACCUAUGAAGAGGAACCAGUUCAGAUUCUUGAUCGGAAGGAGCAAGUGCUUAGGAGCAAAACGAUUCCACUUGUUAAAGUUCUGUGGAGGAGUCAUCAGGUAGAAGAAGCUACUUGGGAACCGGAAGAGCAAAUGAGGUAGCAGUAUCCUUAUCUCUUUGAUUGACAUGUAUGUAAAUUUCAAGGACGAAAUUUUUAUAAGGAGGGGAGAAUUGUCACACCCCGGUUCUUAAGUUAUUUUACGGUUAUUUACUUUGGUAUUAUUUUGGUCUUUUACCGUGUUGAGUAACCGUUUACUAUUUAAGGACCCUAAGGUUGACUUUUUGUAGGAAAGAUAUUUUGGAAAAAUUUCUUUAAGGAAGUUGUAGAGGACGUUAAGACAAGUUCGUAGGCAUGUUAUGCGUUAAAAUCGGAGUUGGCAUGAAAAAGUUAUCAAGUAAAAGGGUAAAUUUUUGAGUUGGUAAAAAGGGGGUAAAAAUUUUAGUGGGUAUUAUUUUUGUUGGGGUAUAAGUUGGACCGGGUGUGGAGCAGCCCAACACCCCUCUCUCUCUCUCNNNNNNNNNNNNNNNNNNNNUCUCUACUCUCUCUACUCUACUUCUCUCUCUCUCUCUCUACUCUCUACUCUCUCUCUCUCUCUCUCUCUCUCUCUCUCUCUCUCUCUCUCUCUCUCUCUCUCUCUCUCUCUCUCUCUCCCGAGCUCUCUUAUCGUCGGAAACUUUCCACCACCAGCUGCUACCAUCCGACCAGCAACCGACCGCCACUUCAGCCUAGUUCGAACCCCCGCCACCUCCUCUCUCUUCCUGGGCAAGUGUUCGAGCCAGUGACGCUGCCGAAGAGGAGAAAACCCGCCAGAAAAGUCGGACAGCCCUUCGCCGGAGUUCCCUCCUCCGGCCACCAUAGGUCAUUAUUUUGGGUUCAUCUUGUAGCCCUCAUCAAGAUGAGUAAUGCCUCAAAAGGAAUUGGCUAAAUUCGAUCUUGUUAGGGAGAAAUGUAUAAUUGAAGUUCUAGGGCUCAAUUUAAGGUUUUGGUUCGAUUAGCCUAGUUGAGCUUAAAAAUGGACUUUGUGCUAGUUAAGGAAGUUGUUGUGUGGGUUAAGAGGAUUGUUGUGUUAAAAUUUGGGAAGCAUUGGAGGUCACCAGAGUACGACUGCCGGCCGCCGCCCCUUAGGGGCAGUUUUUCAUGUUUUUGGGUUUGUUUUUGUGAGAGGAGUUUAAUGAAGUAUAGUUUGGAAUUUUUGGAGGAGUUUUGAUAAGGUUUGAGAUUUUUCAAUGGUUAAGGAUUGUGGCGGUCAUUAACAUGGAAUUCCGGCAGUUGGUUUAGCAGGUUUUAAAUUCUAAAAAGGUUAAUUUAUGGUUAUCGGUAAGUGCGGAGUAAGAUGAGCUUUAUUAGAUUAAAAGUGGAGAAGUUGGGCAAGAGAGAUGAAAUUAUAGGCUUCCAUUUUAUUUCGGAAAUUUUAUUAAAGUGUUAUCCUAGUUUGGAGACUAAAUAAUUAUUUAUUGUUUAGGACGUGAGGAGGAUCAUUUGGAGGAAUUCUCGGGUCGUCGGCAGGCAUAGCCGAGCACUGUAAGUGGACCUUUGAUUUGAAUGCCAUGCAUGCACUAAAGUAUAUUUAAUUUUCAAAGGCAUUUUGGAGAUUUAAUAUUUUUCUUGGUUUAAUGAGUUCCAUUUAUUUAUCGGGAACUCUCUUGAUCAUUUUAUUUGACAUGUGGGACAUGUCAAGUGAUUUAUUUUAUUACGUAAUAUUUUUGGGUACAGUUGGGAACUGUACUAAGCUCAAUGGAUUUUAUAUUAUUUUUAGGGAAGUGUUAUUCUUGAUAUUUAUUAUUUUACUUCACCAUAAAAUGGUUGAUAUAUAUUCAUUAUUGCUAGCUAACCAUUAUUAGCGGCUACUCACCAUAGGUGAUUAGAGCACUUAGCGUGGGACGCUAUUAUGGCCUGGGAGGCAACCGAUAACUAUGCAUGUAACUAUCCAUGAAACUAUCAAUUUUCCAUGAAACUAUCCAUGUAACUAUCAAUUUUCCAUGUAACUAUCCAUGUAACUACAUAUUGAUAGUUAUCUGGGUAGUUACAUACUUGCUACACUUGUGUAACUACAUUAACCUGCCUACAUUAACUGUGCUACAUGCUAGAUGUACUUCUAUAUUUCAGCAGAUAAUAAAUACCAGAAUUGAAGAUGUAUAUAUAAGCAAAGAUUGAUUAAUUACUAUGAAAUGUCCUAUAUUGAUUAAGUCGUAUAAGAACCCAUACUGUCAACGUUUUGAAUUCAACUUUCUUUGGUAGCUUUGUGAGGUCCCAUUUCCUCAUCUUAUGUUCCUCAUCCUCUGUGCCUUCAAUCGACUUUAUGACGUUUGUCUUCUCACAAAGCCAAUACUAGCACAUAUAAAAAAUUAAAAAAAUUAAAAAAUAACAGUUAGUUACCAAAUGAUUUUCUUACCAAAAACAGUUAGUUACCAAAGAUACAUACCAGAAUUAAGUGCGCACAGCCUCCUGUGUUCAACCCGCUCAACCCCUUACCCUUUGAUUUUAGUCGUUGUCUUAAACAACCUGACAAAAAUCUUCCAACCUCUUUAGCCCAUCCACAGCUCUCUAUAUUCCUCCAUAUUGCAUUUAUCAUGUCAGGACCCACCCUGAAUUUCACCCUGAAACCCGAAGUAAAUCUUGCGGGGACCACCUCUAAAGAAAAUUUACCGAAAAUUCGGCAUAACCUCCCUUGAAAAUAGACAACCCUUCCUAGAAAUACCUACAUACACUUCAAAAGAAAUCCAUCUAUAACCCUCUACUCCUAGAGCCUUCGUGCUCUCCAAAUCACAACAUCUCCCAAUUUAUUUACUAAAUUUAAUGAGCAUAAUCCCACAAUCGACAAUCACAAUUCAGAGCAACUCUAAUUGGGAGGAAAGGAACUAGAAACAUAGAAAUGAGUAGAAGCUAUACUAUUGACUAUGCAUCUUCUCCAUGUACGCCCGACCUCAAUUAUGGUAACCUGCAUACUGGGCAUUUUUAAAACAAAGGGCCCAGGGGAAAAUAUUUGUAAACGUUAGAGUGAGUGGACAAAAAUAAAUAAAUAAAAUAUUUAUGCAUUCCCAAUUUAAUUUCCAUAGAAAUUAUGCUGCAUGCGACAGCUCAAAGCUUCAUACUCACAAAUUGGCAAAUACAUGAUUAGCUCCAGCUAGUCUCCAAAACUUUAUAAAAUAGAGCCUCUCAGGCUAAAAUAUAAAUAUAUAUGUAUAUAUCUACACAUGUCCAUACUCCUUGUAUGAAUUCUAUGAAGGAAAUAUAAGAAAAAUAGAAAUUCAUACAAGGCUACUACGCUUGCGUCUAACGCUCACGUCACGCAGUAAUGCGGUGCUACACUACGCCAUUAAGGUGAACGGACGGGUGUAUAAAUAUGUGCCCAUACCAAACCUAUCCAAAACUCCUCAAAAAAUUCCAAACUUCACAUCAUUAGUCUCCCCUUAAUAUAACAUAUUUAAAACCAUGAAAAUCUCCCUAACAGCGGCGACCUCCGAUGCCUACAAAAAUUUGACAGCAUCUUCCUCUCAACUCACUCUACAACUUUCCAAACUAGCACAAACACCAAUUUCAAGCCUAACUAGCCCAAUCGAACGAAAACAUUCUAAAAAACCCUAGAACUUCCACUCAUCGAUUCUCCUUACCUGAAGCAAACUGGAUUGAGUCCUUUUAGGGCAAGACUACUGGGUUGGAGACCUUCAAAACCAUGUAAGGUUUGCCCGGAUUGGUGGCCAGAGGAGGGAAUUCCGGCGACGGAGAGCUACAGCAAUCGGACCUUUCGGGCGUGCCUACUCCCACACGGCAGUGCUAGGGUGGCUCUCACCCGUCCAGGAAGAAGGCUGGGUCGACGGCCGACCGUUUGGGACUGGAACAGCGGCCUACGGUGGCCGAACGGCGGCGGACUGCUGCUUGGAUUCUGGCAGGUAAAGGGAGCUCGGGGGAGAAGAGAGAGAGAGUGAAGAAAGUGUUUGGGCUUUCUCACUCCACUAUGACCCAGUCCACUCUUAAAAACCCACUCCAAAAUAAAUAACACACUCCCAACAACAAUCCAAAAAUAAUACCCUAAUAAAAAUUACAUUUUUACUAGCUAAAAUUACCCUUUUUACCGUCUUCAAAUAUUUCUCCUACAAAUAAUUUCUUUGAAAUAAUCGUCCCUCAAAAUAUCUCUAAGGACCUUUGAGAUUAUAAACUCAUUGACGAAUACUGUAAAACUCUUAUUAAUACCAAGCUAGUAAAUAAGGUAAAAAUUUAAGAGUCGGGAUGUGACAUAUCAACUCAUUUGAUACACUCCUUCCCCCAUUUGCAAAUAAAAACUUUAUGCAAAUUUCUAAAAUCAGCAGCCUAACCAAAUUUUUUCUCUUCUUUCUUCUUUCUUCUUUCUUCAUCAUUUGUUGGCUGCUGGUCCUUCAGCUUUCUUAAAGCGUCCAUCACACACUUUUUUGUCACUCUUUUGUUUUUCCCAAACAAUGUCUCUGCUGCAUUCUCUUCCACUUGCAUUGUGUCAAACUAACCACCUUUUCUAGGAAGUCCUAGAAUCUCAGAUACAUCUCUGCUUGAGAUUCUGUAUCUUCCUUCCCCGAUCACAAAUGCAUUAAACUUUUCAUUGUAAGUGUCGGUGAUUGUUUCAAUGAGCUUGUUCGACUUCCCAAAGUGCUUUUUGUUGACAUGCUCAUAAAAUCCUUCAAAAAUUAAACCAAACGGGCCAUUUCUCAGCUCAUUCAGUGCUUCUUCAUCUAAUACUUUUCUAAAACUGUCCAUUUCAGGCAAUGUUGAUCUGAACUGAUUUGAGUUAUGCUUCUCUGUCUCAUCUUCUUCUUCCUCCUCCAUUUCAGAUGUCUUCUUCUCCGCCUUCUUCUUCUUUGGUUCCUCUAUCUUAGUUUUCUUCUCUUGUUUUCUCCUUCUUGUUUGCUGUCCCAGAAAUAGUUUAGACAGCAGUACACCAUCAUCCUCUUCAUUCACUAUCCUCUUUCUCUUCUUUCCUUCCUCACUAAUUGUGUUCAUUUUUCGCUUAUCCAUUUCCUUGCAUCAAAUAAAGAGCAUAUAAACAUUAAGAAACUUUUACUGUGUAAAAACAAACAUAUCAUCCACAAUAACAAAUCAUGUAACUAUCCAUGUAUGUAAUUAAGUAUGUAACUAUGCAUAUAAUUAAGCAUGUAACUAUAUAGAACAAAAGCAAAGGACUAACAAACAUUAGAAUCCAAUAUUUACACACAAAUCAGAGGAAGCAAAAUCUAAUGAAGAACAAAUACUAACAACCAAUGAACAUAAUAUCAGUGAACCCUAGAUCUUCAAAACUACAUGGGCAGUUACAUGUAAAACGACUAAUACAACUCAAAUCCUUGCAUCACAGAUGCAUACAUAUGAACUGUAGAAUCCAAACAAAACAAAACAAAAUACACACUAAUAGCUAUCUUCAUAAUCCCAAACAAAACAAAACAAAAGCAAUGAAUAACGAACAGUAAUCAAACGAAAAAACAAAAGUCUCAGUAGUAUUGGAUAGUUACUUGAUAGUUACAUGUAACUAUCCAAGUAACUAUGUAUGUAUAUAUCGAUGUAACUAUGCAUGUAACUAUCCAUGUGUUUAACUAUGCAUGUAACUAUCUAUGUAACUAUGCAUGUAACUAAGCAUGUAACUAUCGAUGUAUGUAACUAUCCAUGUAACUAAGCAUGUAACUAUCCAUGUAACUAAUAAAACUCAAGUCCCUGCAUCACAGAUGCAUACCGAUGAGUUGUAGAAUUCGAACAAAAAAUACACACCAAAAGCAACUUCAUAAUCCCAAACUAAACAGAACAAAAGCAAUGAAUAACGAACAUUAAUCAAACGAAAAAAUGAAGAAAAAACUAAUGAACAGAAUGUCAGUGAACCCUAGAUCUUCAAAACCACACCGAUAUCAAAGUUCGAACUCCCAAACCCCUAAAUCCCUAAUCCUAUUCCUGAACCCUAGAUCUUCAAAACCUUCAAAUUCUGUUAAUAGGAUUUACUGAACCCAAAAUGCAAAAUAGUCGAGCUUAUAAUACUGUUUAAUCAGAAGGAAUCGAAAGCCAGAAGGAAUCGAAAGUAGGAGGCAGAGAUUAAGGACUGCGAAGAUGUUACCUAAGGUUUUUUGAAUUCUGAUAUUGUGGAGGAAUUGUUCUCGACGCCGCCCUCGAGCCGAAGAUGAGCCUCAUGUCGACAAUUACUGGGGAGUACGACGGCUUCGCCGGAGAGAGAUGGAUGAUGGAUUCGCCGGAGACACAGAGAAUUAGGGUUUUCAGCGAGAGUGAGAGAGAAGAGCGGUUUCGAUAGUUUUGAGGGAGAGAAUGAAAUGAUUUGUGAAAUGAAAAUCAAAGAUAGGGAUUUAGAGAUGGGGUAACGGCGUCAGUGGCAUAAUUCGUAGUUAUUUUUAUUCUUAGGGGCAACGUUUUAAGAGAUUUCAGUGGCAUAGAUCGUAAUUUUUUUUUAUUUUCAUGGGCAACGCUUUAAGAGAUUUAAAUGAGUGUACUGGUUUAUAUCAAUGAACAUUUAUUAACAGUUUUAUCAUUUGUUAUCUUUAAAUAUACAUUUUUAUCAUCGGCUCAAAUAAAAAUUUCCACUAAAAAUAAACCAAAACGAAUACAGAUAAAGAAAUGACGCAUGCCCAAGCUCUAUCAAGUGAUGUCACUCAAAGUUUUUCUUUUUCGGCCGGUAAUUUAAGUACCACACUCUUUUAUAUAAUUGGCUCGUACGAUGAUCCCAAAUCCGUUGUAAUCUACGGUCAGAAUGACUUCCACGUAAUCCACACUCCCAGAUCGCAAAUCCAAGCACGCCACGUGGCCGACUCGAUUCCAAAAUAUACGUUCCUAUCUUUCCUAAACAGACACCACAGCAAGCCCCGGUGGGACGAGCAACACCGAAUUAUUUAACCACUGGAGCUGAAGGAGUCGCCAGGUUAGACUUAAUAGAGACUCUCUCCUACCUUCCAUUCCAUUAAUACAGAAUUUUCAGGCUUUCUUUCUCCAAAUUCUCUCUCCAAAUGUUUCUCUCUCACUCUCACCCGCGCUUUUUCCCCUAAAUUCUCCCAAAAAUAAAAACCGCUGCCUGAUUUGAAACCACAGUCGCCGGCAGUCUCAGCUUCUCUGAUCGAUUUCAAGUUUCAGCUCAGGCCAAGGUACUGAGGUUAUGGAAUUGAUUGUUUUUGUGAAAGAGCUCGAUUUUUGUGGUUUAUGGAUAUUCUGAUGUGAGUUUUGGUUUCGUUUUUGUGGUGGAGGUGCAGAUCUGGAAUUCUAGGGUUUACAGAAAAGGGGGUGAAAAAAUGCAGAGGCAAACUAGGCUCAUGGAGAGGAACAACUCCAUGAGAGGGAAGAGGCAAGCGGAAGGGGGAGAGGAGGAGCAGCCGGAGCGGAAGAGGCCAGCUCUCGCUAGGUAACUAGUUUUUAGAUCAAUCUGCUUGGUUUUCGGUUGCGAAUUCGAUGAACUAGAUGUUUAAUUCGAGAAUUGAUGUACAUACACGCUUUUCUAUUUGGAGAAUUAAGGCUUGCUUUCUGUUUGACCGAUGUUGAUUACAUUGUGUAGGUUCAGUUACAUUUUACUUGCUGUUUUAAGGCACCGAAUCAGUUAUAGUUCAUUUGGAGUAGAUAGGAGUAACAUUUGCUUUUAAAUCUGUCGAGGUUUCUAGGACCAAAAGCCACAAGCAGUUAAUGACCUAAUGUUGUAUUGAAAUUUAAUUUGUCUGUUGGGGGCUCUACUUCGUGUACAUGCACACCACUAAAUGAAUCUUCGUACAGCUUUCAGUAGUAUAUUUAUAUUUUAUUACAUUUCUUUGUUCUAUGUUAAGAGGGCGUAGGGAAGAAAAGACGCAUAAUAUGGUAGGUUUAGGUGUUUAAGAGGAUUCUAGCCUGUCGCAAAAUGUAAAGUUGGAAGUCGUAUUUGUCUUGCUAGGAGUUUUAUAUAGAAUUAAUAAUGGAUCUUCAAACAGAACUUUGGUUGCCAAUUCUAUUUUUUUUAUUUGCAUCAGUUAAAUUGUUUGGUGUUCAAAUCUUCAAAAUACAACUAUUACGUGUUUUAUAUUCCAUUGGACAAAUUGUAUUUGCAGUGUAAUUGUUGAAGCUCUGAAGGUUGACAGUCUGCAGAAGCUGUGCUCGUCACUGGAGCCUAUUCUUCGAAGAGUUGUAAGUUGUCUUUGGAGAGAUUUCCUUUGGGGUGGCUGUGUUCAUGCAUUAUCUUGUUAACAUAGCACAAAUUAUCUGCUGAACACUACUGAUAUAAGCUUGCAGCUUAUUUUCUCAGUUUCAUCUCUAAAAAGGUGUAAAGUUCAGGCACUCAUCACUAAUAUUAAGCUUCACUUAUGUGCUUCCUAUCUAAAUUAUCCAAACAUCGUAUAUGAUGAAUUAAUAAUACAAAUGAUCAUUUUUGCUGAAUGUCAUCCUUUGAUUCUUUCUGGUGUAACUCCUACAAAUCAAAUCUAUCUCAACUUGAAACUUUGGUUGGUUGACUAAAAAUGGUAUUGCCCAAAACUACUGGUUUUAAAUGUGAUGUCUUAUGAGAGUUUGCUAUAUGAUAAUCCCAGCUUGGCUAGAUCCAGAAACUUGGUAGAAAUUCUUUGUAAGACUACCAGACUUUGAAGCUACUGUUUUUGAUGUCACAUACGUUCCUAGUGUUGACUAGGAUCCCGAGUAUGAUGGAAGAUAAUUUUUGUGUAGUUGGGGGCUAAAAGUUAACGUGAGGUGUUAGAGACGCUUAAAUAGCUUUGUCAUCAUUUUCAAGCAAGGCCAUUCGUCACAAAUUUUAUUUUAUUCAUAAACAGUUCUUUAACAGAGAAAUCUAUUUAAAUUCAAAUAACCAAAUUGUGUGUGAUUAAUGUAACUAGUACAUUUUAAAGUAUUGUGUAUAAAAUAGACACAAAUUAGAAAUACCUAAACGUAUGAGUAAUGUAACUAAUACAUUAAGUUUUUAAUGUGUUAUGUACAAAAUAAACGCAAAUUAGAAGUACGUAAACCAUUAGACGUUCGAGCACCUUAUGAAUAGCCAAUUUAAGACCAUGUAAUAUAACGUACGUGUAGUUAUUUGGUGGUAAAAAGUGUAAUAUGUUGUAGUUUCUGAUUUUUCUGGUCAUGCUAUUUGAUCUCUAGUCCAAUUCUUACUUUUAACCUUACUGAUUGAUUACUUAACAGGUCAGUGAAGAAGUGGAACGGGCUUUGGCCAAGUUGGGCCCUCCAAGACUUAAUGGAAGGUAAAAGAAUGUCUUGAGUGUUUGUUUGUCUGCAUCAGAUAAUUUAUUUCUUUCCAGAUGUGAACGGUGUCACUGAUUGUGAGUGUAAAUGUCUGUUUAAACUUUAAAUCAACAAGUCUUUUCAAGUACUAAAUGAUAAAAGGAAGAGCAAUUGUCUAUUUUACGCUGACAAAACAAUAUAUUUUCAAAGAUAUAAGAGUCAAAUCUAUUUUUAUAAAAAUCCUCAAAUUGCUGUAAAGAAAGCUUCUCUAUAUAUUUUCAUGUUGCUGUUCAUAUGUUUGUCAGACCAGCAUGGAUGCUGAAGGCUCGUGACAUUUUCAAAGUUUAANNNNNNNNNNNNNNNNNNNNUUUGAACGUAAGAUCAUAAUCUGACUGAGUUCAGCGGGGCUCCUUGAUAUGAUGAUCAUCAAUACCAUGAAUUAAGAAGGAAUCAACAAUAAAGAAAAAUGACACGGUUAUAGUUGUAGAAUUUUGCAUUCUAUAUAUGCAAUUUUUAUUUUCUCUGACACUUGUGAGAUUUUAGGUCUUCCCCCAAACGGAUUGAAGGUUCAAACGAGCGGAACUUGCAACUACAGUUUAAGUCCAAUCUGGCUCUCCCCAUCUUCACAGGAGGGAAAGUUGAAGGCGAGCAGGGAGCUUCAAUUCAUGUUGUUCUAGUUGAUACGAACUCUCGCUGUGUUGUAACAUCUGGACCUGAAUCCUCUAUAAAACUAGAUAUUGUUGUGCUUGAGGGUGAUUUUAACAAUGAAGAUGAUGAAGGCUGGACUCAAGAAGAAUUUGAAAGCCACGUGGUCAAAGAGCGUGAAGGAAAGAGACCUCUAUUGACUGGGGACCUGCAAGUGACACUGAAGGAAGGGGUAGGGACAAUAGGGGAUCUGACUUUUACUGAUAACUCAAGUUGGAUACGGAGCAGGAAGUUCAGGCUUGGAUUGAAAGUUGCAUCAGGAUUUUGUGAGGGAAUGCACAUCCGUGAAGCGAAAACAGAAGCUUUUACUGUUAAAGAUCACAGAGGGGAAUGUAAGCUUAUGCUCUGUUCCUACCUAUCUUGUGCUCAUACACUGUUACACUACUUUUGACUUCUUUUUCUUUUCUUCUCUUUUGAUCUUGACAGUAUACAAGAAACAUUACCCACCAGCACUAAAUGAUGAAGUAUGGAGACUGGAGAAGAUUGGAAAGGAUGGGGCAUUCCAUAAGCGGCUGAACAGUGCAGGAAUACACUCAGUUGAACAGUUUCUUCAGCUUGUGGUCAAAGAUCCUCAAAGAUUACGUAGUGUAAGUGCGGCGCUCAAUUUGAGUUAUAAACACACAAACAUAUGGUAUAUUUGUAUUCUUUUACGCUUGCAUAUGUUUUAAGUUUUCUGUCUUGCUGUUAUAGAUCCUUGGAAGUGGCAUGUCAAAUAAGAUGUGGGAAGCUCUCGUAGAGCAUGCAAAGACUUGUGCCCUUAGCGGAAAGCUUUAUGUUUAUUAUCCUGAAGACACAAGAAAUGUUGGUGUUGUUUUUAAUAACAUCUACGAGCUCAGUGGCCUGAUUGCUGGGGAACAGUAUCAUUCUGCCGAUACUCUUUCUGACAGCCAGAAGGUAGAUUCAUACCCACCUUUUCUUUUUGGUUUGCUUAUUUAAAAGGUCCAUAACCAUACUUUUGAGUGGUCAAUCUCUGGUGUAGGAUGGUAUUUUCCAAAAACAAACAGUUUCCCAUUCCACGAGGAAUAUAUUUGAGAGAUGUGAUAGUUUACAUAAGAGUAGAUCUAGGGCUGUGAUUUUGUAUUUUAAUGCGUAGAGAGUUGGGUGUCAUUUUUACAGUCUGGGGCCGUUGAAGGUCCUACGACCUAUAAUCCAGAUAGUCAAGUGCAUAACAUUUUAAUUUUUAAAUACUAUUUAACUAGAUAGUCAAGUGCAUAACAUUAUAUAAUGCUUAUGUUUUUGCAGCUCUAUGUAGAUACACUUGUAAAGAAAGCAUAUGAAAAUUGGGAUCAGGUUAUUGAGUAUGAUGGUAAGUCACUUCUGAGCAACAAUAAAAAUAAAAGGUCAGCUGCAGACCACAACGAAUUUCACAUGCGUUCAAUCAGUUACCCUAGUUCUUCAGACCAGCAGCCUCGACUGACAAAUUCAAUUCCCUCGGAACAGACUCUUCUAUCUAAUUCGCCCCUACCAAUUGGAGGUAAGCAUUAUUGGCUGAUUAAGGUUGUUUUUCUUUUUCUUGUUUUUUUGUUUUUUGUUUUUUUUUUUUUCUAUGACCUUUGAAGUUUUCUUUUUUAGCAGCUAUAUUAAUAAGAAAGUCUGGAAACUCCUCAACCCAUAUGGCUUUCAAGAUGACUCAAAAUGAACAAACCACUCNNNNNNNNNNNNNNNNNNNNAAGAUAUGAAGGCUAUAAGUUCCAAAGUAUUGGUGAAUAUGGCCUGUAGUUAUGGAGAUUGAAGUUGGGGAUUGUAGAUUUGUGUUGGUCGUUCUGUUUUUUAUUUUAUUAUUUUUUUAUAUGUUAGUAUUAUCUUUUUGUGUUGGUGGUUCUGUUUAGCACUGAAUGAGAUUAAACAGGGACUAAUGAAAAACUCAAUGAAAAGGUGGCUUUGAAUUGGUUUUUUCAGUUUUUGCGUAUAACCUAGAUCUACUUUCUAGAGCUAUUUUUAUGUGUAGAUACGUCAUGAUGAUCCGAAUACACAUAUUUUUAGAAUUGGCAGGUAAUCAGUCAUGUGCUUAUGAGUUCAGUCAAUUUUAUUGAUCUUCAAAAUGCUUGUGGUUUAAAUUUGUGUUUAUCAAAAUGCUUGUGAUCAAGAAGGUUAACUAUGUGUUUACAUUGAUGAAAUUUUUUAUAAGCAAUUUUUACCCUAGAACUUGAGCAUCUUUCUUAUAUUAUUUUUGCCCUUGUUAUUCCAACUGUAAAUGUGUGACACUGAGAUAUAAGAUGGACAACUCUUGGGAUGAAGGGAUUUCACUCCUGCUAUACUCUAUAUUUUGAGAACUCUCUCUCUCUCAGACACAUUCAUAAUUGAAUGCAUGUAUAGAUGCACUGUACUAUCCAGUUAAAAUGUUAUUUAUUUACUGAUGCUACCAGAGGUGGUGUGAUUCAAUUAAUAUAUUUUUUUCCCUUUUGUCCUCUUUAGGGUAUAAUGAUAAUCUCUCAACAAGAUAUUUGACCCAGCAACCAAUUGUCAAUUCAAAUUCCCGUGCCCAGUUUGAAGGCACCUCGUUUGCACUAGAUGGCCAGUUGAUCAACAGCUCUCAUCAGCCUCAAAACAUAGCAAAUGAUGCUAAUGCUGUUGGGCUUGCCCUUGGUCUUCCACAGUCAUCGACAUCAGGAUUUCAGGCUAUUAAUGCUUCUGUUCAGCCAUCUACUCUUAAUCCCUUAGAUGACUGGGGAACGAACAGAGAAAAGGGAGGUGAUGACUUCUUUUCAGAGGAAGAUAUUCGCAUCAGAAGUCAUGAGAUGCUUGAAAACGAGGAUAUGCAGCACUUGCUCAGAAUCUUCAGUAUGGGAGGCCAUGGCUCUAUUGAUAUGCCUGAUGAUGGAUAUGCAUUCCCAUAUAUGCCAUCUCCAAUGCCCAACUUUGAUGAAGAUCGCACACGUCCUGGCAAAGCUGUUGUGGGGUGGCUGAAAAUCAAGGCAGCUAUGAGAUGGGGUUUCUUUGUCAGAAAGAAAGCAGCUGAAAGGAGGCGGGCACAGCUUGUGGAGUUAGAUGAUGAAUAGAAGCAUAGCAAAGAUGCUAUAAGGUUCUUCUUGCUAUGAGGUCUUUCUAUGUGGUGAUUAUUAUUCCAUGAAUCAAGUCUUCCUUUGCACUUCAAUGUUAUUCUGCAAAUUAACUCGUAACUAUCAACCAGAACCAGCCACAAGUUUGAGGUAUUGGCACUGAUUGAAAAGUGAAAGCUUUAGCCUUGGUAAAUGACUGACACUUGCUGUAGAUCUGAUUGAUAGCAAGGAAUAUUUUCUUGUACAGGUGCCUGUACAGUAAGUAGUUUGUUUUAUUUUUCUUACUUGUGAAGUUUUUGUGGUUUCCUAAGCAGUCUUCUAUCCAUUUGUGAAUGUCUUAUUGCCUCCCUUGUUGACAUCUUAGGGUUUACUUCCAGUAUGUUUAGGUAGGGACCCAAUGUGUUUUAAUCAUGCUCAAGAAUGCUGUCUAGUGUUUUAUAUUGUCUUAGUUUAUGUAUUUUGGAUUGACUGAAUAUAUGAAGUAUAUUUUUACUUUAUUCCCUUAUCUGUUGCCACAUAGCUUGAAUUCUUGAGUUCUUAAUAUGCUGAUUCCCAAUCUAGGAUGAUAGAAUUAGAUCUGGUACCUGUAUGGUGUAUACUGUAUAGUGUAUAUGUGAUUAGUGACAGAGAGUAGAAGAUUUAGUUCCCUGUUUUCUUGAAUAUAGCCUAUGUAAACAGGAUUUAGAUAUUUUCGUUGAAACUUUAAAAUCAAGAUAAUGUAAAUUUGUGCAAUUUUUCAAUCCUGAAUAUAUGUCGAUUCAAAGAGUGGACUAGGCUGGUGUCUUUUGUGCUGGUCUUUCUUUUAUAAUGACACAUUCUAUUCUUUCCUUAAUUUGUGAGGAGAGAUUAGAUUAGGAACAGUUUGAUCUUAUUGGUUUGAUUAUGAGGAUUACACAACUGGCAUUUGACAGGAUGAAAAUACUAAAUGUUUUUGUUGGAAAUGGAUUUGGUCAGUGUUGGAUGCUGUCAGAGAUGGCUGGAUUUUUGAAGUAGAGGGUUGCGGUUGUGGUGUAAAAGAUUAGGUCGGAGAUGGCCGUUAAUGAUGGAUGAUGGAUGUGGAUGAAAAUCGGAGGCUAAAUGAUGAAGACUGCCCUCCGAGGGGUGGAGCCAUGGAGUGGAGCUGUGGAGGUGAUGUUACACGAGGCGCUUUAACUUGUUUCGAUGGGCUAGUUUCUUUUCUGGAGAGGGCCUGACAUGAUAAUAUUUAUCCGGUCCAAAGUAAUCCUCAACCAAACUCCAAAUUGGAUUAUUUGUUACCCUGGUAAACAAUGCCUGUAUAUUAGUCCAAUUAUUUUAGAUGAUCCAUCAGUGUCUUGCCGGUUCAUAGUUCCUUGUUCUACCUGUUUGUGCGCGGUUGAAACAAUGGUCGGGAAUUACCAUAUAUGUGUACACAGUGUCACUAGGGCCAAUACCUACCGUUACGUGGUUUGAUAAAGAAAACGAGAAUUUAUGCAACUUAAGUAGUCGAAACCAACUAUAAAGCGAAAACUUCCUUGUUAACAAAACAUAGCGUGGUUGAUAAAGAAAACGAGAUCUUAUGCAACUUGACCUUAUGCAAUUCUAGUAGAAACUAGAAACCAACUAUGAAGCGGAAACCAAAUCCUUAUCAACAAGACACUAGCGCACCAUCUUCAUAAACGCAAGAGUCGAGUUUUUUUUUUUGUUUUUUUAUAUUUUUUUCUCUUCCACUUUAACUCAUCGUUGAAAACCCUCGACGCUAAAGUACUGUCUAGAUAUGGAUAUGUAUUCAAUGCCUAUGAACUCUUUGGAACUGAAGUCAAUCGAGGAUCCUAUCUACUUUCUUUUUAACAGUUCUUUCAUAAACCUCUUGAAUUCUUUUAUUAAUGCUUUUACGGGCCCAAAACCAUCAGUCAUGCAACUCAUCUUAUUUUACAGAAAUAAGAUGGGACAAGACGAGCCUUUUAAUUUUCGAUUUAAAUCUCGUCUCAUCCAGCUAAAUUUCGGGACGAGACCGAGUUAGGCUCAUGCUUACGGUUUUAGAUGCCCCGCCCUAACAUCAUUACCUCAAAAAGGAAGAGUGGUUGCCAACAACCCCAUCCUUUCUCAUAAAAUAAAAAAGAAAACUAAAAAUUGUAGAAAAAUUAAAUUUGCAAGAGAUAAAGCCCGGACUCAGUCCAUAAGACCCCUUAGCGGCCUUAGCCCAAGUAAGAAAUCCAAAAAGUUGGCACCCCAAGACUAAUGCUAACCCUAGCCAUAUUGACCCAGGCCGAAACACCAAAAACCCACUGAAGUGGACACCCAAGCAAUUGACCGGCGCCUGCAACAAGCUGCGCCGCCACUUACAACAAGAAGGGUUCCUCCACUCGCCCCUAGCCUCAGGUAGAUCCUUGAUGCCGCCGCCGGCCACAACCAAGAAAGGAUCCGAAAAUGCUGCAUCAACAACAAAUGGAGCCUGCAACAGAACCACUAGAGAAAUACAACUAUCACCGACAUUGAACCUAGUUAGGCUCAGGGUCGCCACCACUCCUAGCCAAAGUUCUACGUUGUCAGCCCAGCCUCGGCCAAAAGAAACCAAUUGCAGCCCCGAAACUGAACCGCCUGAGUGAACGCUCGACAAACAAUGGCAGACCAUCCACAACCACCACCCUAAGAUCCUCUCGAACCGCCACCCACCGAGGCAGCCUCAACCCUCCAACCUCGCCACCUAAAGCCAGAGGCUCCCAUUCGCCAAGAUCGCCACCGACCUAACACCACCGCCGCAGCCCCACCAUCAGCAAAAUGGCCAAAUUCAAACAACGGGGGCCUCAAUCCCUGCCAUCACCACUGAAGAAAAAUGAGCAGAAUGCCAUGAAAACGAGUUCCCAUGAAAGAAGAGAAGUAAAAGUACAAAAGAACAUGAGAUCUCCAAAGCCAUGAAGCAUAUCCCAAAUAGUUUUCAGCCGAAGCUGCAACAAAGUUUCCGGAUCAAAGAAGCCGAUCCCAAUCCUAACCGCGGCUCUAGGUUUAAAGAGAAAAGAAAAUUACUCUCUAAGUGGUGUAAACUUUUAGUAUCGGCUUUCGAUCUAAUUUUUUUUUUUUUUGAAUUAAUUGAUAUUACAUUCAAUCAAAAAUAAAGAAUACAUCAUCAAUCGAUCCAUUGCUUUACGUACAAAUGACAAAUAAGUUCAAAUGAUCGUAGGUUACCACCCUCAUUACACUUUUCUCGCUUAUUUAACAUCAUAACUAUAGUAAAAAAAAACUAUGAACAAUUACUCUAAAGAAAAGAGAAACACCAAAACCUAUAAUCUAUGAGAAACAAAGAUUAUAGACCAUUAUUCUAAGCAGAAAAAAAACAGCAGAUUUAAAAGGCAAAUGAGGCUCAAAGCCCAGAUCUAUUAUCCCAAACCCAAAGAAACCUUAAACAAGACCCAACCUACUAAAGCACAAAGGCUCAUGCCCAAUUUCUAUGGGCACCCUAGCCUCAGGCCUUAUGCAUCAGAUAUCCGCUUGCCACAAACACUAAGUUGUAACGCCUGCAACGCUUCAUCGCCCCCAAACCAUUUAAGCCUCCGAUGUCACAUCCCGACUCUUAAAUUUUUAUCUUAUUUACUAGCUUGGUAUAAAUAAGAGUUUUACCGUCUUCGUCAAUGAGUUUAUAGUUUUAAUUAGUCCCUAGAGGGGUUUCGAGGGACGAUUAUUUCGGAGGAAAUAUUUGAAGAAAAAAUAUUUGACGACGGUAAAAAUGGUAAAUUUUAGCUAGUAAAAGGUAAUUUUUGUUAGGGUAUUUUUAUGGCGGUGUUUUAUAUUAUGGAGUGGGGUGUUUUAAGUGUGGACCGGGCCAUUUUUGGGGACAAAAGCCCACACACUCUCUCUCUCUUCUCUCCCGCUCCCCGAGCCCUCUCCCUGCCGGAUUUUCUUUCCGACUGUCCGCCGCUGUCCGGCCACCGUUCGCCGCCGCAUCGGUCCCAAACGGUCGGCCAUCAUCUCCUCUUCCUUCUUGGACCGGUGGCAGCCUCUCUAGUGCCGCCGUGAGGGAGAUAUCACGCCCAAGAGCUCCGGUCGUCCAUGGUGUUCCGUCGCUGGAACUUUCUUCUCUGGCCACCAAUUCGGGCAAGCCUUAUAUGGUUUUGAAGGCCUUAUUGAGAUCGGGCGUACAUGGAGAAGAGGCAUAGUCAAUAGUAUAGCUUCCGCUCAUUUCUAAAUUUCUAGUUCAUUUCCUCUCAAUUAGAAUUGCUCUGAACUGUGAUUGUUGGUUGUAGGAUUAUUCUUAUUUAAAGUUAGUAAAUAAUUGGGAGAUGUUGUGAUUUGGGGGAGCACGAAGGCUCCAUGAGUUUAAGGUUGGAUUUGGUUUAUCAGAAGUGUAUGCAGGUUUUAUUAGGAAGGGUUGUCUAUUUUCAAGGGAGGUUAUGCCGAAUUUUCGGUAACCUUUUCUUGGAGGUGGUCCCCGCAGGAUUUACUUCGGGUUUCAGGAUGAAAUUCGAGGUGGGUCCUGAAAGUUGGUAUCAGAGCAUUAGGUUAUUUGAUUCCUUUCUCUUUUUACUACUACCUCAUAUUCUUGGUCAUACUUAGUGUCUAUAGAGUGAUGGUCCGACCGCGGCGGAUCUAUUAGCAUUAUAUGCUUUAGACACUAUGUGUUGAUUAGGUUUGUGAGGUAGUUUUUCUUGUCUUAUUUAUGGACAAUAUUGUGCCAUAAAUGUUUAUAUCUUCAAGACUAUGCCUCCGUACGCCGACCUCUUGGGUAAUCUUUAUGCUUUGAGUAAUGGAAAGGUGUAUGGAUUACGCCUUUUCCAAGGGUUAUCAAGUUGAUAUCUUAAAUUGUUAAGUGUUCAAUUGCGAGUUGAGAACUCCGGUUGGGAACUCAUAUGCAUAGUAGCAUUCCUUUCAGUUGUCCCAAUGAUUGAUUGGGUUAUGAUUAAGAUGUUAGGGUGAACAUCUUGAGCCAAUCUGUAGUAGGUGAAACGUUUGAUUCGAAGAAUGUCUUGGAGUUCCUAUUUAUGGUGGGCAAGUAUGGAGUCGUAGUAAUCCGGUGGAAGACCUUGGUAUCAAGUUUGUGAAUUCUGGGAGCAAUGAGUUGGAAGGGAAGUUCAAAGUAGUGAAGUGUUCUAUAGAUGUAAAGGUUGGUUGAAGUGAUGUGGUGCGGUAACCAUAGUAAUUCCAAGAGGCACCUUUACGAGUUGUUGAGGACCCUAAUCCUGAGCGAAUUAGUCACAUGAGAUUUGUGACUAAUUUUGGAUUGCAGGAAGUCGUUACAUAGAAAGAUAAAUGUCAUUUUAGAUAAGUCAUGAUUGAAGGUCAUUUUGCCAACUAUUUUAUCCGCAAUAGAAAUCAAUUGGGAACAUGUUGGGAUAACAUUGGUUGUGGAGGUAUAUGGUCUGGUCCCUGUAGCUCUAAUUAUGAAUAUGUUCUUUUUCCUAGAGCAUUAUAUUAAGAGAGUAGUGGGAAUAUUUUGGGAAUGACAGCUAUUAGUAGUCGAUAAAUAAUAAGAUUCGGACGACUUUGUCUAUAUUGUGAAUUAGCUGGAGUUGGUUGAGGCGCUCGGCGUAAUGACUCCAAAUUUACUUUCUGGGGUUGGUUUUUCAACAGCCCAUGGGCAUAGCGUUGUGACAUAUGUACUCGUGCGUUAUAGUAAGAGAAUUAAGGAAUUGAAUGGUGUUAUUAAAUGUUUCGAAUUGCAAGCAGGCUUUGAAGAGUCGAGUGGCAUUUAUCGGUUAUAUUAUUUUUUUUAAAUUGUGUGGCCUUUAUGGAUCCUUUCGGAAUUCUAGGUGUUGAAGUUUGGUCUCUAGAUUUGUUGAGUGUUUGGGAAGUUGAUAAUGUAAAUGGAAUUGAAAAGUAAUGGUGGAGUGAGAGCAGGAUGGUUGUGGCCACUCCGGCUUUAUGACAACCGAUGGUGAUCUUAUUUUGCAUUGUCAUGUUAUUUUAAUUCAGUUUCAUGGAGUUGGCGGAAGUGACAGCUGUGGAAUAAAGCCUAUUGAAUCAAGGAUCAAAAGGGCGUGGGUGUCCAUAGUAAUUUUAAGCAGUGUCGUUCUGAAUAGUUGAAGUAAGUCUUGCAUUUGUGAUCGAAGUUGGUUCAUUGUCAUCACUUCGUUAGCAUUUGGUGACUAGCUACGACACAUCGAUGGGAGAAUAUGUUCACUCACCUUAUUUAUAAUUCGGUGAGAUGGAGCAGAGUUUUUGGUUGUGGUGUGUGUGGGAAUAUUUAAAUCAUUCCUAUUGUAGUUUUUGGGUAGCAUCCUCAAAGCUUGAAAUUAUGAAGUGCGAAUUUAAACUCUAUGAUUUGAAGGCUAGAGGUUCUGUUUAGUUGUCGAAUUUAUGAUAAAUUGGUUGUUGUGUUGUAGACAUGGAUCAUGGAUAAAUCCAAUCGUGAUCCCAAGUGAGCUGGAGUUCAAUAAAGCGAUGAAUCUUGGAGCCGUGAGUCCUAUGUGGUAGUCUGAGAGUCGCGUGGUGAUGUUGAUUAGAUGGUUUGUGUCGUUGUAGGUAUAUUUUAUGUUGUAGUGUUAUGGAAGAGGGUUUUCCCCUGUUGACUCAAGAAGCUUUUUGGGUCAAGGUUUAUUAAGAGUUUCAAUGUUGUGGUUAGUAGAGAUAUUGGUAAGUCGAGCGAUGUCUUUUCUCGAGAUCGUAUUGUGGUGCGACCACUUGCUAACCCAGGUUUGUUUUGGAAGGUCAUCACUAUCUGGAUGUAUGUUCAUCCGUUUAUAUCAAGCUGAGUAGUUGAAACCACUCUAUUAAAUUUUGGUUUCUAGUUCAUAUUCGAAACGGGUUAGUGGUGAAACUUUUAAGCUCGAAGUUGAAGAACUUAUCUUUCAUAUGCUUUAAAAUUAUUUCUUUUGGAGCUUGAGUUGAGUUUAGCCACGAGUUUUGGCUUUUUCUUGAAUAUAUGGUUUUCGUUGGUUGGUGAGCCACAAAGUGUAGUAGUGGGCCUGUUGCGGAAAUUAACUUUUAUAUUCGAUGGUUAACUUGUUGCUGCAAGCUCCGUUAUCGAAGAAUCUUUUUGGUGAGAAGCCUUGGUUCUUGGAAGGUGUAGGAGACUUGAGCAUAUUUGAUUUUCAGAUUGUUUUAUGUUGUCAAAUUAAUUGUUAAUAGAGGUAGAAAGAAAAAGUGUGUUGUGUAGUUCUGAGAUUUUAAAUCUCGUUUAACGGCUAAAGUGAGCUGUAUAAAUUUUAUCUAUUGAAUUUGGGGUCGCGGUUGCACCCAAAUAAGUUGCAUGGCUGGAGAUGUAAAUUCUAUCAAUGCUUAAGGAAGGUGUUCUAUUUAUGUGGAUUUCAACGUCAAGUUUAGCAUCAUGAAUUGACUGUGCCAAUUUUUCGUGGGCAUUAUUAGUCAGUUUUGUUUAUGGCGAGCAAGGAGGAAUAUCCAGUUUCCACAUGAUAGUCAUGUCUUUAGAUUAUUUUCUAGUUUGUGGUAAAGAGAUUAGUGGAGAUAGCAGAAUCAGGAGAGAGUUGGAAUUCCUAUAAGCUGCUAGUUUGUGGUGCUCAAAAUGGUAAUGUAAUAGUUUUGGUGAAGAGACCUAAAUGACGUAGUAGUGAUCUCUAUAUAAUGUCAUUUCGAGAAUCGGGGUUAUCAUGUUGGUUGACUGGUCACUUAGGCAGAGCAAGGAUGUCUUGUGGACUUGCGAGAGCUUUGACUCUGCAAAAGACUCUGCGAAGUGUCUGGGUAUUAAAAGUGAUUGUUGCAGUUCUGCAGUGUGUGUAUCCUUUAAUCUAUUCAAUUAGCGGGUCUUAAUUUUAACCCCUAUGAGCAUGUGGGAAUGUGUGAACUUUAAUUUCCUAGCAAGUGGGCUUCAUUGUCGAGUUGUGAGCAGCGUAAUGUCGAGGUUGUUGCGUGACGUUAGAAGAUUUGAGCCCGAUGGUGAUAGCAAAUUUAUGCGCUUUGUUUGGGUUAGCUAUUUCCAUUGCUUAGGAAGGAGUGUGCAUACCUACGGGUACUCGUACUCUGGAGCAGGUAUCGCUGAAAUCACUUACGUGUAAACGUUAGUGGUAGUUCAACGAAGGAUUUAGAGUCUUUGAGAAGUUUUAAAUAAUUCAGGAUUUAAAUGAAAAAAUUUAAGAAGUCAGAGAUAGACUCAAGGCCGCUCAAAAUAGGCUGAACAGUUAUGCAGAUGUUCGUAGGAAGGACCUUGAGUCUUCAAGUGGGCGAUUGGGUGUUCAUAAAACUAUCUCCUUGGAAAGGGGUAGUGCGUUUUGGUAAACGUGGAAAGCUUAGUCCAAAUUUAUUGGUCUUUAUGAGAUUAUAAAACGAGUUGACUCACUUGCGUAUCAGUUAGUUUUGCCUCUAGAGUUAUCCAAAAUGCAUAAUGUGUUUCUGACAGGACCCACCCCGAAUUUCACCCUGAAACCCGAGGUAAAUCCUGCGGGGUCCACCUUCAAGGAAAAUUUACCGAAAAUUCGGCAUAACCUUCCUUAAAAAUGGACGACCCUUACCUGAAAAAUCCAAUUUAACACUUCUAUAACCAAACAUCCAUCCUCAACACUUAGAGCCUUCCUGCUCCCCGAGUUCAACACAUCUCCCAAUAUAACAAUUACUCAACUAAACUAAUCCCACAACCAACAAUAACCAACAUUAAUUCACUAACUGAUUAUCAGAGCAUAUCUAGAGUUAAAUGAAAAACAAUGAAUAAAGAAUAAGCGGAAGCAGCCUCUGACUAUGCCUCGACUCCAUGUACGCUCGACCUCAAAUAACUUAGCCUGCAAAUUGGGCAUUUAAAACCAAAGGGCCCAGGGGAAAGUAAUUUAAAAACGUUAGAGUGAGUGGAUGAAAAAUAAUCAAGUAACUGAUCACGACAUAACUAACUAAACUUAAUUACUUUCCCAUUUUCCAAUAAUCAAGAAAUCUGUUGCAUGCAAGUGUUGAUAAAACUUUCAUAGAGAAAAUUCCAAGAAAACAGACUAGCCCCGCAAGUCAAAUUAACGACAAAGAUAAUUAAUAACCUUCAUAGAAGAAGGUACCAAAAUAAUGGACUAGCCCUGCUAGUCAAAACAACAACAAUAAAUAAAGAGCAUAUAUAUAUAUAUAGCCAUACAAGUGAGCCUCCCAAACUCGGUUGCCUCCCAGGCAAAAGUACUCCCAUACUCCCUACACCUUCAUGUUAUGAUAACAGAGAGGAUGUAGGGCUUGCGUGAUGUCGUCGACUACAUCACAUCACCCGAAGGCGGAAAGGGCUUGAGUAACCCCACUUAAAACGUGGAAGUUACAUCGCCUUGAAAGGCGGAACACCAUGCUAGCAUGAAUAAUAACGAUCCAACAAGUAUGACAUAAAUAAAGAAACAUAAAUCCAUGUGAGUUUCCCUGAAACUCAUAAUUAAUGCAUAAGUACGAUUCCCAACCGUACUCAAAGAAUUCAAAGAGCAAAGAAAAUCAAUAAAUUAGAUGACGUGUUCCACACGUUAAAAUGCUCAAAGAAAUAAUUAACUUAAAUAAUUAUCAUCUUUCGAAAACCAGGCAAUAUGCAAAUCUGGAUAUAAUCUCAAAUCCGGAAAUCAAAAGAAUAUCAUAAUUCAAAUACCAAAACUCUUACCCAAGCUCAAAUCCAUAAGUUAUUAUCAAAAACAUAACCAGUCGGUCAAUCUCAAAUAAAUUCCAUAACCAACUCAAAAGCUGAAAUUAUAAUUUAAGCUCGGAAAAUAUAAUUAACAACUUAUAAAAUCAUGCAUGCAUAUUCCUUUAAAAAUAAAGUGUCCACUCACAGAUUUAGGCCUAAAUCCUAAGCCUGACGAAUUCCGAAUCACUACUCAAGCACGGUUCCCUUCGUAUCUUGGCACAAUAAAUAUGCUUAGGACCAAACUGAAAUUCUGGAAAAUUAAACAUUUGAAAAUAAACACCCAAAUCUCUUCCGCUUAACCCACUACUCUAACUAGGGUUAAGCUCACCGGAUUUCCACCAAACUCCACCAUAACCUUAAUUCCUCAAUUCUAACAUUUUAGAAUAAAUAUCAAGGAAAUCCAACGGCCGGAUUUAUCCUAACAACCGCCAUUCUCUCCAAUCUCCGAAAAAUUCCAAACCUAACCAAAACUCAUCAAAAAAUUCCAAACUAUACUUCAAUAAACUCCUCUUAUUAAAACCAUCUCAAAAACAGGAAAAACUGCCCUUAAGGGGCGGCGGCGCCGGCUGCUCCGCCGGCCGCGGCGGCCGGCAGCCAUAUUCCGGCAAGGACCAAAGCUUCUCAAAUUUUAGCAGAAUAAUCCUCUCAUCAUGCACAACAACUUUCAUAACUAGCACUUAAUCCAAUUCUAAGGCUAACUAGGGUAAUCGAAUUAAAACAUCCAUAAAUCCCCAAAUUCAAACCCUAGCCCGAAAAUCCUCUUACACACUUCGAAUUUGAUAGUUACCUUCUAGGGGAUUGAUGCACCAAGAAAGGCCGUUAAGCUGAGCCAAACGUCUCCAGCUAUAGUGGCCGGAGGAGGGAGAUUCCGGCAGAAACUCCCCCCGCUGCCCAGUCGGCUUCUAGUCGGGUUUUCUCCUUCAUGGCGGCAAGGCACGGCCAUCCACCUGCCCAGAAUUACAGUAGAGCUGACGUUGAGUCGAACGGGACCAGCGCGGCGGUCUGUGGCGGCCGGACGGCGGCAGACGGAGGCCAGGAAUCCAGCGGGUCGGGAGAGACGCGGGAGAGAGGAGAGAGAGAAACAGAGGCAGAGAAGGAAAUGGGCUUCUCCCACACCCGGUCCAACUUAACCCAACAAAAUAAAGCCUACAAAAAUUUACCCCCUUUUUACCAUCUAAAGUAACUUUCGUUAUUACACCAUAACUUCUUCAUACGAACUUCGUUUUAAGUGUGCCACAUGUCCACGAACUCCGUUUAACAUCCUCUACGACUUUCAUGAAGAAAGUUUUCCCAAAUUCCAAACGGAAGAAAAAGUCAACUUUUAGAGUCUUAAAUAGUAAAUGGCUACUUAAAACGGUAAAAGGUCAAAGUAACCCAAAAGUAAAUAACCGCAAAUUAACUUAAGAACCGGGAUGUGACAGUUUCAUGUAUCCAUGCUUCGCAAGUUUAUUGCCGAUCUCUCGCAUGUGUUGCGAGACCAGCCGAUUAAUUGGAAAAAGCUUUGAUCUAUGUUGAGGAGCCGAAUUAGAUUUUUGACUAAAAAGGAGCAUAUGCUUAGAAGUAAAUCUUUUCCACUUGUUAAAGUUCUGUGGAGAAGUCAUCAAGUAGAGGAAGCUACUUGGGAAUCAGCGGAGCAAAUGAGAUAGCAAUAUCCCUAUCUCUUUGAUUGUUAGAUAUAUAAAUUUCGAGGACGAAAUUUUUAAUAAGGAGGGGAGAAUUGUCACAUCCCGACUCUUAAAUUUUUACCUUAUUUACUAGUUUGGUAUAAAUAAGAGUUUUACCGUCUUCGUCAAUGAGUUUAUAGUUUUAAUUAGUCCCUAGAGAGGUUUCGAGGGACGAUUAUUUCGGUAGAAAUAUUUGAAGAAGAAAUAUUUGACGACGGUAAAAAUGAUAAAUUUUAGCUAGUAAAAGGUAAUUUUUAUUAGGGUAUUUUUAUGGGGGUGUUUUAUAUUAUGGAGUGGGGUGUUUUAAGUGUGGACCGGGCCAUUUUUGGGGACAAAAGCCCACACACUCUCUCUCUCUUCUCUCCCGCUCCCCGAGCCCUCUCCCUGCCGGAUUUUCUUUCCGACCGUCCGGCCACCGUUCGCCGCCACACCGGUCCCAAACGGUCGGCCAUCAUCUCCUCUUCCUUCUUGGACCAGUGGCAGCCUCUCUAGCGCCGCCGUGAGGGAGAUAUCACGCUCGAGAGCUCCGGUCGUCCAUGGUGUUCCGUCGCCGGAACUUUCUUCUCCGGCCACCAAUCCGGGCAAGCCUUAUAUGGUUUUGAAGGCCUUCAACCCAGUUGCCUUGCCCUAGGAGGACUCGGUCUAGUUUGCCUCAGGUGAGGAGAACCGGUGAGUGGAAGUUCUAGGGCUUUUUGUGAGGUUUUCGUUCGAUUGGCCUAGUUAAGCUUGGAAUUGGUGUUUGUGCUAGUUAGGAAAGUUGUAGAGUGGGUUGAGAGGAAGAUGCUGUCAAAAUUACAUAGGCAUUGGAGGUCGCCGGAGUUGGCCUCCGGCCGCCGCUUUUGGGAGAUUUAUAUAGUUUUAAAUGUCGAAUAUUAAAGGGAGUUUAUUGAUGUGAAUUAUGGAAUUUUUGGAUGAGUUUUGGAUAGGUUUGUGAAUUUCCGAAGUUUGGUAUUUUUGUCGGUUAAUUAAUGUGGAAUCCGGCUGUAGGAUUUAAGUCGUUAUUCUGGGGGAGGUUGUAUUUACGGCUGCCGAUUAUGGUAUUAAAGUUUGGAUCGUUUCGAUUUAGGAAUAUCGAAGUUAGGCGAGAAUGAGCGUGGUUACGGCUCAUGUUUAUUUUGCCUAUUUUGUAUAAAUAUAUGGAUUUUUAGUUGGGAAAUUAAUUUUACAUUUGGAAACAGGACGUGAGAAGACUCAAGCAGAAGAGACCUCGGAUCGACGUCGGGCAUAGGCCUAAAGUUGUGAGUGGACUUUUGUUUUAAGAAUGUGUAUGCGAAAUAAUUUAUGUUGUUAGAGAAUAACCGAAAUUGAGAAUUUCGGUGAGUAUAUAUAUAUAUCCAUAUUUGGAUGAUUAUGAGAAUAAUAUGUAUAUGAAGAAAUGCUAGCUAGCUAUACGUGCUUUUCCAUCAUAAUGAGGAAAAAUUUUAUUAUGGUGCGACGUGAGCGUUAGACGCAAUCGUCAUAGCCCUAUAUAAAUAUAAUAAUUUAUAUAGGGGAUAUGCGCGUAUAUAUUUAUAGAAUGUCUUUUCCACCAUAAUGAGAUAAAAUUCCAUUAUGGUGCGACGUGAGCGUUAGACGCAAGCGUCGUAGCCUUGUGUGAAUUUCUAUUUGUCUUUGUUGUUUCAAGAAAAUUCAUACAAGGGAUAUGACGAGUGUAAUACAUACAUAUUUUAUUUUAGCGUGAGAGGUUUUAUUUUUAUGAAGUGUUGGUGACUAGCGCAGCUAGUCACGUUUCGGUAAAUUCGGUAAAUUUUUAAAAGCUUUUGAGCUUGUUGCAUGCCGUUAAUUAUAUUUCCACAGAAGUUAAAUCGGGAAAGCAUAAAGAUUUAUUUCUUUUUAAAUUUAUUUUUGUCCACUCACUCUAACGGUUUUAAAUGUUUUCCCCUGGGCUCUUUGUUUUAAAAUGCCCAGUUUGCAGGUUAGCAUAAUUGAGAUCGGGCGUACAUGGAGAAGAGGCAUAGUCAAUAGUAUAGCUUCCACUCAUUUCUAAAUUUCUAGUUCAUUUCCUCUCAAUUAGAAUUGCUCUGAACUGUGAUUGUUGGUUGUGGGAUUAUUCUUAUUUAAAGUUAGUAAAUAAUUGGGAGAUGUUGUGAUUUGGGGGAGCACGAAGGCUCCAGGAGUUUAAGGUUGUAUUUGGUUUAUCAGAAGUGUAUGCAGAUUUUAUUAGGAAGGGUUGUCUAUUUUCAAGGGAGGUUAUACCGAAUUUUCGGUAAACUUUUCUUGGAGGUGGUCCCCGCAGGAUUUAGUUCGGGUUUCAGGGUGAAAUUCGGGGUGGGUCCUGAUAUCCGACCACAAGAUCAUCGACCCUAAACGAAGUCCAACUUGAGCCUGCCUCCGCUCAGCUUUGGUCGCACGAUGCCCGCUCACAUCGUUUAACAGCUAGCCCAGUCCAUAUCAUUGAGAUAUUGUCUGCUUUAGGCCCAUCGGCGCUCACGGUUUUGUUUUUGAGGUUUCACCCCAAAACGCGUGUCAAUGUAACGUGCUAGCUUUGCACAUAUAAGCACAUCAACUUGUCUUCCCCGGGCGAUGUGGGAUACGUGCACCUACUAGCCUGCCGGUGCCUUUUUAGCACCCGCCCAGUUUGGUCACCACAAUCCACCCCCCUUAGGGGACCGAAGUCCGUAUCGGCACACAUCUGGCUGGGGAAAUGCUAUGAUACCAUCUGUAACCUCUAAAACCGUCGGUGGUGGUACGGCUAAAAUAGCCUCACAACUUAACACUGCAAAAGAUUGUCGAUUGUAGUAUAAAGAAGCAAGGAUCGUUCUUUGCCAGAGAUUGAGGGUAUUUAAUUUCACACACAAAAACAAUAUCACAAAAGUGUCUACUGUUCCUGACGAACAGCAGACUAAAAUAUAAUUAACUACCUAACCCACACUAUUCAGAAAAUUAUGAAAAUUUAUAAAACUAAACUAGACAUACAGAAGAACAUGCACACAAAAUUUGAGGGGAUUUGGAGUUUGUUUACUAUACUAAAUAAAUCACGAAAUACAGAAGACAAAAGAAUAAGAAAAUAGUUUUGAUUUGUAGUUUGAGAAAUAUGAUAGAGAAGAGGUUAGGGAUUUAGGAAAUUCACCACCGAAUAUGCUGCAAAACAAAGUCCACACAACCAAGAUUCCAAUUACCAAGUUAUGAAAAGGUUCAAUCAAGAAUAAACCGUGAACGCACCGCGUAAAUUCUUAUUACUUCCCUUAACUACUUAUGCAAGAUGAACGCACCAUUACUAAGCCUUUAGAAUAACCAAUCAAGGUAUAGACGCUAUCCUAUCAACAAGUUAUUCUAAGCAUUAAGAUCAAUGGAAGUGAUUGAACAAGUAUGCAAAACUAGUGUGGAACGCCUACCUAGCAUGCAAGUCUCUCUAUUUGGUUUCACCUAUUGUCCUAUAGGUUUUACUACUUUGAAUUAAGCCGUAUUAACCGUUUAGGAGAUUAAACAACCUAAUUCUAGCCCCACUUACAAGUUCAUAAUGUUCUAUGUAUGCAUCCAUGAACAUAAACAAGCAAGAGUUCUCUAUAAAUCAAAACCAAACAGACAAUCCAACUAAGUAAUUACGAAAUCAAGGUUGUGAGACAAAGUUUAUUGCACAAUUCGGGGCUUCAAACCUCCACCUCUAACUAAGAUAAACUAGCCACACAUCGUUGUAGAAAUCACUCAGAGAAAAUAAAUCAUAUUCGAAAGUUAAAGAUUACAAAGGGAAGAAGAAAACUGUGAAUGGAAGGAGUUGACGAUGAUCCUGGCGACUUCCCCUUGAUGGAUUCUUGUGCGAUACAGCAACGUGAAGGCUCUAUUACAGUCUGACGGCUUAGAGUCGUUCUGGUAUUAGGGUUUUGCUUUAAGUAGUCUCCAAGUCUUCAAAGCUUCCCUGAAUCCCGGAAUUGCUGAUUUUCUGUCCAACUUUGGAGCUUCAUAACUCCCAGAUGCCAUCACCGAUUUGGAUGAUUCUUGAGUCCAAAUUGAUCUACAAAUGGUCCUCUACAAAUCUGGGCAGUCAACUUGGUGAAAAAAUUCUCGGAACCGCAUGGAAAUAAGCCUUGAAAACCGGAGAAAAUAAGCAGAAACCAUUUUUCAGCUUUUUGUGUUUGCAGCUUCUGUUUUGGUGAAGUGGUUCCAUCGCCUUUCCUUCAUAAUUUUGAACAUGUGAAUGAUCAAACUCCAUCCUUGACAUCUCUACUUCGUAUUGGAAGCCUUGCUUGCAUCACUUGAGCACAUAUUUGCAUUAUCUUGCUCCACGAAGUACCUAAGAAGAUAACAAAGUUAAAACGAUCUUUUUAAAGGAAAAUAGCUAAGUUAAAUGCAAAGGUUAAACUAUAAAAUCGUCGCAUUUUAUGCUCCUAUCAAAUUGCCCCACACUUAGCUUUUGCUAGUCCCUUAGCAAAAUCAAAGACUCAAAACCUAACUAGACUCGAAACCAACUCUAAUGCCCUUAACAAAUUGUCUUAGAAAUCCCCUACUUUCAUAGCACCAAGGAUAACACUCAACCAAGAAUUAAGCUCACAUUCGAGAGUUAAUAAAGACUUAUGUUCAACAUAGCACAAGUAAGACUUAGGACAGAACAAUGGUGAUGGUUAGAGCUCAACAUGCAUAAGACAAAUCAUGAUUUCACCUCACAAGGAUUGCACUCUUUCUUCUCUCAAGAUUCAAGGUAUGCUUAAAAGCUUUCACUCAAGUGUAUGCGAGAGAUCAAAAUAAAAAUCAACAAAUAGCUCACAUACGUAAGAAAGGAAAAAGGCUCAACGAAAAACAUGAUUUAUAAUCCCAUGAAGGAAAUCAAAUACUUGCCAAAUGGACCACAAUAUGCUCAACUUUUGCACCUAACUCCACAGAUCAUAGUUUUCCCAUCUCAAGGAUCAAGUAGGUCUUUUUCAAGGUUGUAAUGGGGCUAGGCUUAGGGUUACAGAAACAAGGGGAUAGGAAUUCAAACAAGUAUCCUAAAACCUAGCAGAGCUUUCAUUGAUGUAGAGAGAUUCCUCUUGUGCUCUUACAACCAUCAAGGUCUCCUUGUAACUUCAUUGUGUCAUUAAAUGCGGCCGAAUGUCAAUGAGUUGGGCCGUUGCUUCAUUCUAAACACUUCAAGAAAUUAAGCUCGAUGUUCCUCACAAAUUCUUUUUCUUUAGUUCUUCUCUUCCUGCCCGUUUAAAUUCUACUUGUUUUUUUUUUCUUUUUUUUUUUCACGGCCAGGGAUUGCAAUCCAGCUUGACUCCUCCCCCACACUUAUUCUUCUUCAUCAUCUUCGUAUCGCCUUGAUUUUGCAUAAAUCUCAUGUAUAGCUCUACUAGAUUCCAGAACAAGGGUAAGGAUAUAGCUAUACUAAAGCUCAAGGUCAAGAUAAUAAGGGUGAUGACAAAAAGGUCUAAAACAUAGGCUCAAUGGGGUUAAUCUAAGGGGUGUACAUCUUGUGUACACAACUGGGGACACAGGUUGAUUUGGCUUUGGUGGAGAUCCUAAGUGCCUCAAUCCCUUCCUCAAUCAGGGCAUGUCAUGACUAAAAGUUUUGAAAGGUGGCAAAAGCGAGUUCUAGUAAACUCUCUAGUCUAUUAAACUUAAUCUGCAGCAAGCAUUCAAUCAUGAAAGAAUAAUGGGAUUUAGCAACAAGCAUAUCAUUGAAAAUCGAGUAAUGAAUUUCAAAAUCUCUCCAAAGAAAGGCAUUAAGAUCAAUAAUCUGACAAGGGUUAUUUUGAAAUCACAAUCUGAAAUAGCAUGUUCAAAAAUUCUAUACCAAAGUCUCAAGCCAUAUCUACUACAAGUACGCAUGCAUCACAUAAGACUCGAUUAACCAAAGAAUAUUAUGCUCAUCAUCUCAAAUUAAUGAUCAUCUUUUUGCCAUGAUUUCAGAAGAUUAGUAUCAUCCUAGACUUGUUAAGGGCUUCUACGACUCAAAAACUAAAAACAAAAACACAAACACAAACACAAAUUUUUUAUUUUUUUUAAUAAAAUUUGUGACUAACAAAAACAAAACAAAACACAAAAUGCGUGCAGUCUCUUCCCCCACACUUGAACAAUGCAGCGAUCUCGAUGCAAGAACAAUAUAGAUCAUGCAAUGAUAACAUAUGUAUGGAGGAAAGUGAGCAAAACAAGAGACUAAGAAAAGAAAGUUCAGAAAAGCUCCCCCUUUUUCUGCUCUGAAGCCAACUUCCAGAGCAUAUAAUAGCUGGUUGCAGCAUCCAAUGUCUGAGAUUGCAAUUGGAGAGGAAAUAUGGCAUUGCGAGCUUUAUGUGGAUAUAUGGUACGUUUCCUAACUCCAAAUGAAUUGAAAAUGACAGCCCUGCAAAGUUAGAAGAAAAACAGAAUUCGCACAGAAAAGCUGAAGCAAGGACCUUUACCCAUUCAAACCUAAUUUCCAAUGAGUUCUGGUGCCGGAAUGUAAAAGUACCUCAAAGCAAAGUUGAAGCUGACUCAACAAGCUUUCUGGGCAUGUAUGGUUGUUCUUUACAGAAUUUCCGGAAGUAUCCCCUGUUUUGACCUUUUUCCGGCUGUACUGCACACUUCUGGUUUCCUGGCAGUGACCUUUCUUCCUUCAAUGUCGAACUCGGAGUAACUCAGAUCUCCAAAUUCACUUCUGUAAAAUCCUACAAAAACGAGACUGAGAGAUCUUUCUUUUCAUAUAAAGCACAUAUUCCCAGGUCUUGUGAGCUGCAAACAGUAGCCCUCCAAAGUUGGCAGACUGCUUUUUGCAAGAUCACUGUUUUUGCAUAACUUGGAGUUUUCUUCAACUUUUCUCAACUCUAACCUGCACACACACAAAACACAUCAAAAUGAACAAAAACAAAACAAAUAAAACACAGAAGAUAAAGAUGGUUGGGUUGCCUCCCAACAAGCGCUGAUUUAGCGUCUUCAACCAGACGGAGUUUCUUCUUUAGUCCACAGGGGGUGAUUCAUUGCAGAGGUUCUCCUCCUCUACAUUGUGCUCNNNNNNNNNNNNNNNNNNNNAAUCAUCUUAUCAUGGAAAGUCUUUAAGUUUUCUCUUUGUAAAUUCGUGCACUCUCAUAUGCAUCAUUCCGUAGUUCUUCCAACUCACUAAUUUGAAGCUUGCGGUGUAGUCCAGCCUUGUCAAUGUUCAUAUUGAACUCUUUAACAGCCCAAUAUGCCCUAUGCUCGAGCUCAAUUGGCAGAUGGCAUGCUUUGCCAUAAACAAGCCGGAAAGGCGACAUGUCAAUGGGUGUCUUGUAUGCAGUUCUAUAUGCCCAAAGUGCAUCAUCAAGGCGUUGGCUCCAAUCCUUCCUGUUUGGGUUGACAGUUCUCUCUAGUAUCUUCUUGAUCUCACGAUUUGAAACUUCUGCUUGUCCACUCGUCUGAGGAUGAUAAGGUGUGGAAACCUUAUGUGUAAUGUUGUACUUCCGUAGCAGAGCUUUAAUUGAUUUGUUGCAAAAGUGUGAUCCUCCAUCACUGAUGAUAGCUCUUGGCAUUCCAAACCUAGAAAAUAUGUUAGAUCGAAGAAAAUCUGCAACAACUCGAGAAUCGUUAGUACGGGUGGCUUUUGCUUCCACCCAUUUCGACACAUAAUCCACAGCAAGGAGUAUAUAAAGAAAACCUUGGGAUGAAGGAAAAGGUCCCAUAAAGUCUAUACCCCAAACAUAAAAAAUUUCAACAACCAAGAUUGGAGUUAAGGGCAUUUGGUUUUUAGGUCCUAGGUUUCCAGAUCAUUGACACCUAUCACAAGUCAUACAAAAAGUAUAUGCAUCUUUGAACAAAGUAGGUCAAUAAAAUCCGGAUUCUAACACCUUGAGAGCAAUCUUUUUAGAGCCAAAGUGACCACCACAAUUCUCCGUAUGACAAAACGACAAUAUAUGAUUAAAUUCAGAAUCAGGCACACAUCGUCUUAUCAAACCAUCAGCACAAAAUUUUCACGAAUAAGGAUCAUCCCAAACAAAACGGUUUGCAUCUCUUUUCAGUUUAUCCUUCUUAGCAUGCGACAAAGUGUUUGGCAACUUCUUAGACACUAAAUAGUUCACAAUAUCAGCAUACCAAGGAGUACUUACCUCAAGUCCAAAGAGUUGCUCGUCUGGGAAGGUCUCAAUUAAAGGAAUGGCAUCCUUGUCAUGCACUAUGCGACUCAAAUGAUCUGCCACAACAUUCUCGCUUCCCUUCUUAUCUUUUAUUUUGACAUCAAAUUCUUGGAGAAGGAGAAUCCAUUGAAUCAGCCUUGGUUUCGCCUCCUUCUUUGAGAAUAAAUACUUCAAAGCUGCAUGAUCAGUAUAAAUGACGACUUUAGUUUGAAGUAAAUAUGAUCUAAAUUUUUCAAGAGCAAAAACAACAGCUAAUAAUUCUUUUUCUGUUGUGGAGUAAUUCAAUUGAGCAUCAUUCAAAGUCCGAGAGGCGUAGUAGAUCGCGUAUGGCUUUUUGUCUUUUCUUUGACCAAGAACGGCGCCUACGGCAUAAUCGGAAGCAUCACACAUGAGCUCAAAGGGUAAGGACCAAUCUGGGGGCUGCAUUAUGGGUGCUCUAGUCAAUAAUGUCUUCAACUUCUCAAAGGCAGCCUUGCACUCGUCAUCAAACACAAAAGGGACGUCUUUCUGGAGCAGCAUUGUAAGGGGUCUUGCAAUCCUUGAAAAAUCCUGGAUGAAUCUUCUGUAAAAUCCUGCAUGACCAAGAAAAGAACGAACCUCUCUCACAGAUGUGGGAGGUGGUAAGUAGCGUACCAAAUCCACCUUAGCCUUAUCUACUUCAAUUCCCCUAGAAGACACAAUAUGCCCUAACACAAUUCCUUGUGUCACCAUGAAGUGACAUUUUUCCCAAUUUAAAACCAAGUUAGAUUCAAUGCAACGCUUUAAAAUCAAAGAAAGGUUUUCAAGGCAUUCAUCAAAAGUUUUUCCAAACACACUAAAAUCAUCCAUGAAAAUUUCUAUGAUUUUCUCAAUGUAAUCAGAAAAGAUGCUUACCAUACAUCUCUGGAACGUACCUGGUGCAUUGCAGAGUCCAAAAGGCAUCCUCCUAUAGGCAAAAGUGCCAAAGGGGCAUGUGAAUGUUGUCUUUUCUUGAUCUUCUUGCGCAAUAGCAAUCUGAUUGUACCCUGAAUAACCAUCAAGAAAGCAGUAAAAUCCAUGGCCCGCUAACCUCUCUAACAUUUGAUCAAUAAAGGGCAAAGGGAAGUGAUCCUUCNNNNNNNNNNNNNNNNNNNNAUUUUUCUAUCAAUCAUGGCAGAGACAUUGGCUCCAACUUUCACCACUUCUUUUUCUCGAAUGUGUCUUCGGGUUGUACACAACUCCUUGAGGAAUUUAGCAUAUUUUGGAACUUGUUUCAAAGCAUCAAGGAGAGGGAUAUUAAUUUGCACUUUCUUGAAAACAUCCAAAAUAGCUUGUUCGUUCUCUUCCUUCCUAGAUUGUGAAAACCUACUGGGAAAAGGCAAACAAGAAGAAGAAUUAGUAUUAAUCAAACUUGAAGGGUCAGAAGGUUCACCUUUUGCGUUGAAAGCUUUGGUCAAAGAUGGUGGCUUCUUUAAUUCUUCAUGCAAUGUUGCUGGAUCUUUCUCUUGUCCUUUUUGCAUGGUGAUAACAUCCUCCUCUUCAUUAACAUGCAUGGGCACCUUCUUUGGCUUCUUUGGAAUGUCAUGAACCACUUUACCACUUCUUGUUGUUAUUGCUUUUGCUUGCUCAAAGGAUGGAUUUGGAAUGGUACCUCCAGGAAGCUUUCCAGGUUCACGGAGCUGGUUUAUAGCAUUCACCACAUCACCUACUUGUUUUUUAAGCUCCUUGAUCUCCAGGCCUUGAUUGUGCUGCCCUUGCAUCAACUAUUGAGUGGAGGUGGUCAAAGCUUCUAACAUCUUGUCGUACUUCUCCAAAAUUGGAGUCAUUGUGGAACCUAAGGCUUGAUGGGAUGCAUAGCUUUGUGUAAACCCCCCUUGAGGACGCUGAUUAAAUCCUGGUGGUGUACGGUUGUUGCCUUGAGAUGCUUGAGAAGGUCCAAGUACGUUGUCAUUGUUACUCCACCGGAAGUUAGGGUGAUUCCUUGGUCCUGGAUACUGAAAAUAUGGAUCGUUCUUUUGAUAUUGCCCUCCUUGCUGAAAAUUUCCUACAGCAUGUACCUCCUCAUCCUCAUAUAAUUGAGGGCAGCGAUCAGUUUGGGGACCCUCCAUUGAGCACACACCACACACCAUGGCUCCAUGCUUCUUUUGACCCAAUACCUGAGAUAACAUAGAUGUGAGAUUUGAUAAUUGNNNNNNNNNNNNNNNNNNNNNNNNNNNNNNNNNNNNNNNNNNNNNNNNNNNNNNNNNNNNNNNNNNNNNNNNNNNNNNNNNNNNNNNNNNNNNNNNNNNNNNNNNNNNNNNNNNNNNNNNNNNNNNNNNNNNNNNNNNNNNNNNNNNNNNNNNNNNNNNNNNNNNNNNNNNNNNNNNNNNNNNNNNNNNNNNNNNNNNNNNNNNNNNNNNNNNNNNNNNNNNNNNNNNNNNNNNNNNNNNNNNNNNNNNNNNNNNNNNNNNNNNNNNNNNNNNNNNNNNNNNNNNNNNNNNNNNNNNNNNNNNNNNNNNNNNNNNNNNNNNNNNNNNNNNNNNNNNNNNNNNNNNNNNNNNNNNNNNNNNNNNNNNNNNNNNNNNNNNNNNNNNNNNNNNNNNNNNNNNNNNNNNNNNNNNNNNNNNNNNNNNNNNNNNNNNNNNNNNNNNNNNNNNNNNNNNNNNNNNNNNNNNNNNNNNNNNNNNNNNNNNNNNNNNNNNNNNNNNNNNNNNNNNNNNNNNNNNNNNNNNNNNNNNNNNNNNNNNNNNNNNNNNNNNNNNNNNNNNNNNNNNNNNNNNNNNNNNNNNNNNNNNNNNNNNNNNNNNNNNNNNNNNNNNNNNNNNNNNNNNNNNNNNNNNNNNNNNNNNNNNNNNNNNNNNNNNNNNNNNNNNNNNNNNNNNNNNNNNNNNNNNNNNNNNNNNNNNNNNNNNNUAAAGUGGGGCUGAUGGGCUCGGCCUCUUCUUGAGCAACUUUUGCUUCUCUUGCUAACCUUCUCUUCUCGCGCACUAGCUUCUCUAUUUCAGUAUUCAAAGGCACUAGUUCACCCUUCGGAUUGUUCCUUGUGUGCAUACACAACAGAAGUUCCCUACAAAACACGUAAAAGAAAAACUUUAGCAACAAAGAAGAAAAUCGACUCUAAACAACUAAUGUGCAAAACUAAAAUUUUACAAUCCCCGGCCAUGCGGCGCCAAAAAUUGGUACGGCUAAAAUAGCCUCACAAUUUAACCUUGUAAAAGAUUGUUGAUUGUAGUAUAAAGAAGCAAGGAUCGUUCAUUGCCAGAGAUUGAGGGUAUUUAAUUUCACACACAAAAACAAUGUCACAAAAGUGUCUACUGUUCCUGACGAACAGCAGACUAAAAUAUAAUUAACUACCUAACCUACACUACUCAGAAAAUUAUGAAAAUUUAUAAAACUAAACUAGACAUACAGAAGAACAUGCACACAAAAUUUGAGGGGAUUUGGAGUUUGUUUACUAUACUAAAUAAAUCACGAAAUACAAAAGACAGAAGAAUAAGAAAACAGUUUUGAUUUGUAGUUUGAGAAAUAUGAUAGAGAAGAGGUUAGGGAUUUAGGAAAUUCACCACCGAAUAUGCUGCAAAACAAAGUCCACACAACCAAGAUUCCAAUUACCAAGUUAUGAAAAGGUUCAAUCAAGAAUAAACCGUGAACGCACCGAGUAAAUUCUUAUUACUUUCCUUAACUACUUAUGCAAGAUGAACGCACCAUUACUAAGCCUUUAGAAUAACCAAUCAAGGUAUAGACGCUAUCCUAUCAACAAGUUAUUCUAAGCAUUAAGAUCAAUGGAAGUGAUUGAACAAGUAUGCAAAACUAGUGUGGAACGCCUACCUAGCAUGCAAGUCUCUCUAUUUGGUUUCACCUAUUGUCCUAUAAGUUUUACUACUUUGAAUUAAGCCGUAUUAACCGUUUAGGAGAUUAAACAACCUAAUUCUAGCCCCACUUACAAGUUCAUAAUGUUCUAUGUAUGCAUCCAUGAACAUAAACAAGCAAGAGUUCUCUAUAAAUCAAAACCAAACAGACAAUCCAACUAAGUAAUUACGAAAUCAUGGUUGUGAGACAAAGUUUAUUGCACAAUUCGGGGCUUCAAACCUCCACCCCUAACUAAGAUAAACUAGCCACACAUCGUUGUAGAAAUCACACAGACAAAAUAAAUUAUAUUCGAAAGUUAAAGAUUACAAAGGGAAGAAGAAAACUGUGAAUGGAAGGAGUUGACGAUGAUCUUGGCGACUUCCCCUUGAUGGAUUCUUGUGCGAUACAGCAACGUGAAGGCUCUAUUGCAGUUUGAUGGCUUAGAGUCGUUCUGGUAUUAGGGUUUUGCUUUAAGUAGUCUCCAAGUCUUCAAAGCUUCCUUUUCAGAUUAUGUUUCCUUCUUUGACUAGAAUCAAUGUUUGGGCCAUCUUUUGAAUGUCUUCCACACAUAAUCUGGGCUUGGCUUUUGGGAAAAUUAUAUUAAUGAUGUCACUCUUCAAAAUCGUGCAAAAACCCCCAAGAAAGCUUCUCAGAAUCCAGUCCAAACACUGCCUCGAACUUGACUGCUGCACAGCUUUCCCGGAACUGCUGAUUUUCUGUCCAACUUUGGAGCUUCAUAACUCCCAGAUGACAUCACCGAUUUGGAUGAUCCUUGAGUCCAAAUUGAUCUACAAAUGCUCCUCUACAAAUCUGGGCAGUCAUCUUGGUGAAAACAAUCUCGAAACCGCAUGGAAAUAAGCCUUGAAAACCGGAGAAAAUAAGCAGAAACCAUUUUUCAGCUUUUUGUGUUUGCAGCUUCUGUUUUGGUGAAGUGGUUCCAUCGCCUUUCCUUCAUAAUUUUGACCAUGUGAAUGAUCAAACUCCAUCCUUGACAUCUCUACUUCGUAUUGGAAGCCUUGCUUGCAUCACUUGAGCACAUAUUUGCAUUAUCUUGCUCCACGAAGUACCUAAGAAGAUAACAAAGUUAAAACGAUCUUUUUAAAGGAAAAUAGCUAAGUUAAAUGCAAAGGUUAAACUAUAAAAUCAUCGCAUUUUAUGCUCCUAUCAGGUGGGCCCAAAGCGGACAAUAUUUCAAUGGUAUGGACUGGGCUGUUAUAGAUGGUAUCAUAGCCUGUCCAUGGCCGGAAGUGUGCCGAUGCGGACAUCGGGCCCCAAAGGGGGGUGGAUUGUGGUGACAUAACUGGGCGGGUACUAAAAGGGCAUUGGCAGGCUAGUAGGUGCAUGCGUUCCACAUCGCCUGGGGGAGACAAGUUGAUGUGCUUAUAUAUGCAAAGCUAACACCUUACAUUGAGACGCGUUGUGGGGUGAAACCUCAAAAACAAAACCGUGAGGGCUGGUGGGCCCAAAACGGACAGUAACGAUCUGAAUGGUAUGGACUUGGUUGUUACAGAUGGUAUCAGAGCCUGACAGCUACUGGAAGUGUGCUGAUGCAGAUGUUGGGCCCCUAAGAGGGGUGGAUUGUGGUGACCUAACUAGGCAAGUGCUAAAAGGGCACUGGCAAGCUAGUAGGUGCACGUGUCCCACAUCGCCCGAGGGAGACAAGUUGAUGUGCUUAUAUGUGCAAUGCUAGCACCUUACGUUGAGACACGUUUUGGGGUGAAACCUGAAAAACAAAACCGUGAUGUCCGGUGGGCCCAAAACGGACAAUAUCACUUGACUGUUACACACCGCCUCCCAAUCACGAUCAAUGACCCACCAAUGGAAGGUCACGCCGCAAGUAGAAAAACCUUGGAUUUUCACGUGUAAGAAGCUGCUCCAAAAAGGUUGGGUGCCAACGCUCUUAAAAAAAAAAAAAGAAUUUUUGUAUUUGCUAACUAUUGUGGUAGAUUAAUAUAAAAUUACAAUUAAAUUAUGAGAUAUUAUUUUUGUAGUGCUCAUAACUUUUGUGACAUCACAAUAUUUUUGAUAAUAACUUGGUCCUAAUUUAGUUAUGUGGCUUAAGUUUCAGUAACUCCUGGCUUUUAGUACCAAACUUUUUUUCUGUUUUGUUUUGAAGAUAUUUGAUAAAUAAUUUUGCUCACUUUUCAUUUGUGACCAACGAUCAUACUAUAGUCACCAUAUAGAAUCAGUGACGUCUUUACAGUGAUUAACAAUAUUUACCGAUCAAAUUCGCUACAUCAAGGACCACUAUUAUGUUUUCAAAGUCAUGUUUUAUUGUAGCGAUUCUAUUUUUUCCAGUUUCCUUCACCAGCUUAAUUUUCCAGGUUUUUUUUUUUUUUUUUUAAAUGAAUAUGUACACGAACAUAAGUUUGUAAAUGUUUUUAUUUUUCCUUGGGUGUACUUAUAGAUUGUUAUCAUGUUAUCGUUAUAUGUUAGAUGCACCAUGUUACGCAAUUCAAUAUAGAAAAGAAAACAUGUAUUUUGUGCCUACAUGAAACAACUUCAGUUUUACAUGAAGUUUAUGUUCGUCAUUCUUUUACUUUUUCUCUUCAUGUUCUAUCUUGUUUCCUGAUAAUUUUUCUUUCCAUUUGUUUGGGCUGCUGCUCUGUUUUCUUGUAAUUUAUUUCCCCAUUUUGGAUAAAAAGUCUUAGUUGAUCAACCUACUAUGUAAUUUUGGAAAUUAAUCAAAUUAUUGUCCAAUAGUUGUUCCCAUAACACAAGCUAAUUUCACUAGACAAAGUCUAAUUGUUGAAAGUAUACUACUUGCUAAAUCAUGAAUCACAACCGAGCCAUAUAUGCCAAUUUAUAAAAGAAUUGCAUCUCCUACAAAAUGAAUAGUAAAAUUGGAAAGAAUUGAUUGAUGACUUCGUAUAUGUCUCUCUAUGAAGCGCUGCAUUCAACUGGGAGACCCUGAGGGAAUCUGUUGACAUCUGUGCAGUAAUUGUAGAUCAUGUAGUUUUUCUGCACCCAACUCAUCUUCUUUUGACUUGUACUGUCCAAUUCUUGCGAAAGCCAAUCGCCAUUAGUGGAAGAAGGGGCAUUGCUUGAGCCGCAAGAAGAUGAUCCAGACGCCCAAAUGCAAGCUUCAGCAUUGAAAUUCCUGUAAGAGGCAGUGAAAGGAGCUGCAUUCCACUCCGUCUUCACACGUCCACUCAUUGUCGCCCAAUCGUCGGCAUUCCAAAGGCUCGAGUGUAUUCUCAUUGCUUGGCUGUUUGGGAAUGGAACACCAUUUGAUUCUUGGUUCUUGAACUCUCUAAUGGGGGUUCCAUCAACAGAGAAACUGAAACACAGACCAAAGUAAAUUGGUCAAUGUAUAUAUAUAUAUAUACACACACUAUUGGAGAGGAGAGAUCCCACAUUGGAAAAGUGACAAAUAAAAUAUAAUUUAUAAGUGGGUGGAUCAUUCUUAAUUGUACCGAGGCCUUUUGUGGUUAAAACUCUUUGUUGUUAAAACCCAACACCUUAAAGGUGGUUAAGUUGGGACAGUAUCGGUACACGGAUGAUCCACGGGCCACGCUUGUCGCUGUUUGACAUGGUAUCAGAGCGGAUCCCUCUCCAGUUGCGUCUCCACGAGCCUGGGUUGGUUCUUUCAAGGGUCAUGGCCCUGGUUUGAUUCUUUUGAGUUUGGAGUUAAUUCAGUCUAGUUUGGUUCUUUCGAGUUUGGGGUUCUUUCAGUUGUCAUGAGGAGUUUGGGGUUCUUUCAGUUGUCAUGAGGAGUUUGGGAUUCUUUCAGUUGUCAUAUAGCCCGGGUUCAGUUUCAGUUUGUUAAUCAGUUUCACGUGCAGACCCACACGUGAGGGGGAGUGUUGGAGAGGAGAGAUCCCAUAUUGGAAAAGUGACAAAUAAAAUAUAACUUAUAAGUGGGUGGAUCAUUCCUAAUUGUACCGAGGCCCUUUAUGGUUAAAACCUAACACUUUAAAGGUGGUUAAGUUAGGACAGUAUCGGUAUAUGGAUGAUCCAUGGGCCAAUCUUGUAGAACGUCCGUGAAAUUAAGAGUGCGAACGACGCAACGUGUCAACCAGUCAUUGGUUUUCUGCAAAAGACUAAUAUACGGUGAAAUUUUGUGUAUAUAUAUAUAUAUACAGCCAAGAUCAGAAGAGGACGUCCGUGAAAUUUUGUAGACAUGUUUCUUGCAUAUGAAUCUAGAGGAUCAACGGUUGAGAUCGUUAAAUGAAAUCAUCUACUAAUGUUAAAUAAUAGAAAUCUUUAAAUUCUUAAAGUAAGGAGGUCCUCUUUAGAUCCUCCCUCUAUAUAUAUACAGAAAAGUUCUGAAAUGGACGUUCGCACUCGGCUUAAAGUACGGACAUCCCUCCUUUCUUCACCGGACGGCUUCGACGACGGCGCGCCUCCACCCAUGCAGACACCAGAGGUAUCCCCGACCAUUAUCCCUUCCCGGCGAGUCCGCCGAAUUUUAGUUUUUCUGCGAGAUCGAUCUUGUGUGAAAUUUUUGGUGGAUGUUGCUGCCUAGACCUUCAAAUCGAUCUCGCCGGGAAGGAAAAGUAGUCGGGGAUGCCUUUGAUGUCCACUCGGUUGGAGACGCGCCGUCGUCAGAACCGUCCGGUGGAGAACAGAGGGACGUCUGCACCAGAACGUGCUUAUAUAUAUAUAUGUUACAGAAACGUAGUAACAAUAGUAGUGAAACUAAUGUCAUUUAAUUGUAACAAAAUUUGGAUAUUAGCGGGUGCUUACACAAAUGCGCUGUGGAUUCCAGAGAAUGGAAUAGGUGUGGAAAUCAACAGUUGGGUCGAACCAGAGAUAGAACUGCUGCUCUCUGUUACCUUUGCCUUGGCUGAACACAUUGGUGUGAAGAAUGUAAGGGUUGCCACUCAGGUUUCCCAAGAACUCAAAGUCUAUCUCGUCCCAUGUAGACCCUUCUGAUUUUAACUGCACAAAUUAAUUCAGGAAACGUCAUGAAUCACUCUGACCAUAUUAAUUCCCAAAAAGAAUCUGAGACAUGCAGGAUAGGUUGAAGCAAAGUGAAAGAAUAUAAGAUGAAUACAUACAUAGUAGGCAGUGACGGUGCCAGCAGAGUUUCCGGGGACAAGCUUGAGCUGCAUGUCAAUCUUGCCAAAGAGAUAUUCAUUUGUGGAUUCAAAACCAGAGCCAGAGGCUUUGUCGAGGGAGAGAGUAAGAAGUUGGCCGUCGUUGAAUAUCUUUGCUCGACCGUCCCCCCAUGUAAUCUUAAAGUCUUGGUUGAAGUUACCCGCAGAGGCAACCAUAACAAAGCUAGCAAGCAGAAAUGGUACAAACAGAAUCAUUGAAGUUGAAGAAGCCAUGUGAAAAUUAGUAAGUACGACUAUGGAAAUGGAAGGAUAUGGUUAUGAAUGAGAGAAGUUGGCAUGUAUGGGAUGGUAUUUAUAGGACACGAAUGAGCUUAUGAGGAAGAACUCGGGAAGGUUCAGUCAGCUGUUGACAGUGAAAAGUAAAGAAGGAGAUAGCUGUAAAGAUUUGGGUAGUAAUUGUCGAACACGAACGUAAAGAGCCAUCUUUAUUGAAAAAAGGAAGUUUCAGAGGGGUCGAGGUUGAAUAGAGUAAAGGGCAAUAUAUGACCGUGUUGAAGAACUUAUUAUUGAUCAACGCAGGUGAUCCAGCUAGCACAUUAUAUGCCAGCUUCGUCUAACGUUAGAUAAUGUUGCAUGCGCACCACCAUAUUAAAGAUAGAAAUAAAGACCCUAUAGUGCAAGCAUAUGUAUUCGUUUAAAACAGAAAGAUCCCAAGUGUCACGCGUUUCUUUCUCUUUUUUGCUAACUUAUUUUGCUGGAAAUGGAGCAAUUAAUUAGGAACUUAUCUAACAUUCUAACAAAAUAUGUAGAUGCUUAUACUGAUUCUGACUAGCAACCUAAUUAAGUAGACUUUUAGGUGACCUAAUAUAUACCUAAAGAAAUUUAGAGGGAACGAUGUUGUUUUUCUGAUAUAUUGAAGUAUUUAAUUAUGCAGACCUCUUCUACUAGUGUUUCGUUAUUAUGACUUAUAUGAGAGACGAGACAUUAGGCUAACUUGUCGAUCACAUUUUCACAUCUUGAUCGUUCACUUUAUAGGUCUCUAUAAGUCUAUAUAUACUAGUAGAUCACUUUUGGAAUUUUUGAGCCAUAUUAGUGAUCGUGAAAGUUUCGAAGUAGCUUAAUUAGAUCAAUGGACAGAUCGAAUCUGCCAAACCUGAACCGUUCAUGCAAAUUCCAGUUUUGAACAUCUUAAUGAUCACUAAUUUAGAUGAAAUUUUAUAAAAAUAAAUGGGUUAAGAUUGAAAAAUAUGAUAAAAAAAUUGACCUGGCUCACAUAAGCCACAAUAAAAAUCCCUUAAUGAAAGAGUCCUAUUUAACUAUUAUUCAUUAUAACUGAGGAUGCAUAAGAAAACGAUCCUUCACGCACUAGCAAAAACAGAGGGAUAUAAAAUAAGGGACCGUGACUCUAUUCUUCUGUGUUGAUGCGUACAGAACAUCAUGUGUAGAAAAACAUGAACAGGUUAAAAAAGUUACAAAGGCACACAUCAAAUUUUGGAACAAAUAAAUUGAUGUUUUAAAAGCGCGUUUGGUGAUGAUGAUCAUUUUGGGGGUUUGGAUGUGGUUUGGUAGUGCGAUUCUGGACAGCUAACAGUAUACUACUUUUUAUGUAAGCCGCCAACAACUGUCCACAGCAAAGUUGACGGAACCUUCCUUCCAAACUUCCCUUCACUCUUCCUCCCAGUCCCAGCUAGCUGAAGCAUAUGCCCAAUUGCCCAUGCAUCCUCCUCUAUAUAUACCUAGCUACCUACUCUUCUACUUCAUACUCAUCCAUCCUUCACCUUCUUCUCUCUUCAUUACCACUUCAUCUCCAACACUUGUCACUAGCUAUGUCUUCUUCCACUACUUCAGUAGUGUUGCUGAUCAUUCCUCUACUUGUAGUUAGCUCUUUCAUAGUUGCCUCUGCUGGUAACUUCAACCAAGACUUCAAGAUUACAUGGGGCGACGGUCGAGCCAAGAUACUCAACCACGGUCAACUUCUUACUCUCUCCCUCGAUAAAGCCUCUGUCUCUGGUUUUGAAUCCACAAACGAAUAUCUCUUCGGCAAGAUUGACAUGCAGCUCAAGCUUGUUGCAGGAAACUCUGCUGGCACCGUCACUGCCUACUAUGUAUGUCCAUCAUCUUAUAUUCUGUCACUUUGCUUCAACCUAUCCUGCAUGUAUCAGAUUAUUUUUGAGAAUUAGUAUAGUUAGUUAGAUCGAGUUCUUAAUAUUGUUUCUUUAAUUAACUUGUGCAGUUAAAAUCAGAGGGGUCUGUUUGAGCCCAGUAGAUAUUUUGGUCCAUGACUCGGAAUAAGUUUUAGAUAACAUUUGAGCCAAUAUCUGUGACCCUUUUUUAUUGUAAAGCCUAUGAAGGGUGGCGAGCUUCGGAGGCUCGCGAGGUAAGGAUUUGACCAGGACUUCGAUACCUUGCGGGAUCCUUGUUUCAGUUCGCGUAGGAUUCUGCAGUUCAUGGCGAGGUAGAGUCGGAUAGGGAUUAUAGCACCUCGCGGGAUAAGAUCGCUUAGUGUUCGAGUUCGCGUACAACGCUACAGUAAGAUAACGCGGGGUGGUGAGAGAGACCUAGGCGGAGUCUGUUCUGGACACGUGUCGCAUGGAUAGCGCGGUUCGCGAGCUGGUCGUAUCCUUGUGGAAUUCUAAUUGCUGAGUCCGAAUGGGUUUGUGGUUAUGUCUCUGCUAACAGCUUGCGGGUCGCUAUAUAAGGGAGUUUGAGGAUCUGGUCUCUCCACAUAAUCAAAUCAUACAAAACUACAAACAAAUCUUCGAGCAUCCUCGAAACCCUAAAAGUUUUAAGUGCAUCUCACCUUGGUUCUCAGAGCCCGUUUGGACUCGCCCUUUCUUCCUAAUUGUUGCUCUGCUCGCUCUAACAGUGAGUAUCGAUUCACAGGUGACCAGAGGUUUUGCUCGUAAUUCCUCGUCCGCGAGGUAGCACCGGAAACCCAUUUCGCUUGAUUAGAAGUCCAGCGCAGCGCACUCUUUCCUCGUCCGCGAGGUGGCACACCCCGCAACCUUGUUUUUUACUUUUGAGUCACCGGAGUCCCGACUCUGACCCUGUUGAGAUGCCUGGCCAAAUCAUUGGCACGCCCAGUGGGACCGGGAGUAUAAUAUUCUUGUCACCAUUGGGAAGUCAGGCGAAUCCCCAUACAGGAAACCCUCGAUUUCUUGUCUCAAACACAAGUCACCACGUUACCAACCUCACAACAGCGGCUUGUCGCUCGCUCACCAAGGAUGAAGUCCUAACUCGGUUCGGGAAUCCAGAUUUCAACGAACCAACGAUGGUAGGACCGACACCCGCCAACAACUCUGGUCCCAGCACGCCCACUAAGGACCAGAUCCGCCAGAUGGACGCUCACCUAGCAGCUAUGGUUGAGAGCCUAAAGGCUCAUACCGAUCAGGCAACCCGCCAAUUGAAGGAAGAGUUCGACUCCCUCAACUCGAAAGUCGACACCCUCACCGAGCAAGUCAAGAAAGAUAAGCCUCUAUGGCAGACUAACCAAGAGAACCUCGUCGUACUCAACGAGGAUUUUGGCCAUCAUGCAGGCCAAUGCACAGAGAACAAAGCCUUGGUCGAAGGAUCACUUCAACGGAUCCGAAAGGAUCUGCUUGAUAACAUAGAGGCUCUGAAGCUUGCCCGCACAACCGUGGAUGAGCAAACUCGUCGUUUUGACGAACACGACACCAAGCUACAACAACAACAGAACGCUUCCUUCUUCGUAAGUAAGAAUGGCCUAGAAAAGCUUGAAGACUACAAAGAACGGCAUGAUAAUCUGAGCUUAAGGGUCCUGCAGGUAGAAGAUUGGAUGCGGUCUCAGGCACCAAAAAAUCCUACCCUAAACUAUUCUACUACAGGAGCAACCGAGGGCUUAAGGUACAUUCCACUUAAUGAACACCCAAGGGGAAAUCCGAAGGUCGGGGCUCAGAAGACUCCCCAAUCCACAUUGGAGGCCAGUUCGUCAAAGACGCCACCCCUUCUACCUCCGCCGUACAGCCCUGGAGUCACGCUAAGGAGCGCUGGUAGCUCUCCAUAUCAGGGGACCGGGACACCAGAUGACCCAGUUAUAGCUUAUUCCAAUUCAUCCCCUAAGAACAUCAUGCAGGCCCCUAGCCUCUCUGCAUGGCACAACCACGAUUAGGGGGCAGAGUCCACACCAGUAACGGCAGCUGAUUGGCGCCAGCUCAUCUCGAGCAUAGUCAAGGAGCAAACCGGAAAAGGUGAGUCUAACUUGCAUUAUCGUGACCCUACCCUAAUAGCGUGGCACAAUAUCCCUUCCCUUAGGGGUUUAAGAAUAUUGUCUUCACCACUUUCUCUGGGGAGAGACAAAGGAUGUCACAGCCCGACCCUUAUAUUUUUACCUUAUUUACUAGCGUGAUUAUAAUAAGAAUUUUACCGUCUCGAUCAUUGAGUAAACAGUUUAAUUGGUCCCUAGAGGGGUUUCGGGGACGAUUAUGUGCGGAGGAUUAUUAGUAUGAGGGAAAUACGACGACGGUAAAAAUGGUAAAUUUUAGCUAGUAAAAGGUAAUUUUUAUUCGGGUAUUAUUUUUUUCGGGGUGUUUUUAUUUUUGGAAUUUGGGUUGAUAUAGGUUGGACCGGUUUGGGGUGUGAGGCCCAAACCCACUCUUUUUUUCCUCCCGAUUUUCUCUCCUCACCCCUCCCGCACCCGAGCCUCUCGCUGCCCGGUUUUCCGGCCGUCCUCCCGCCGCCGUCCGGCCACCAACCGCCGCCACACCGGUCCCGUUCGGUCGACCUCCAACCCAGCAACCUCCCUGGACCGGUGAGAGGAGCCCUAGCUCCGCCGUGAGAGAGCGGUGCCACCCGAAAGGUCCGACUGUCCAAAGCUUCACUUCGCCGGAACUUCCUCCUCCGGCCACCAAUCUGGGCAAGCUUGGUACGGUUUUGUAGCCCUCCUCCCAUGCAACAACCCCUCCAAGCAGCUCCCUCCCUCUUGAGCUAGGUAAGGAGAAAUGUGGAGUUGAAAUUUCUAGGCUUUUAAGUGUUUUCGUUCGAUUAGCCUAGUUAGGCUUGGAAUUGGGUGAUGUGUUGGUCAUGAAAGUUGUAGAGCAUGAUGAGGAGAUUAUCUGUCAAAAUUUCAUAGGUUUNNNNNNNNNNNNNNNNNNNNNNNNNNNNNNNNNNNNNNNNNNNNNNNNNNNNNNNNNNNNNNNNNNNNNNNNNNNNNNNNNNNNNNNNNNNNNNNNNNNNNNNNNNNNNNNNNNNNNNNNNNNNNNNNNNNNNNNNNNNNNNNNNNNNNNNNNNNNNNNNNNNNNNNNNNNNNNNNNNNNNNNNNNNNNNNNNNNNNNNNNNNNNNNNNNNNNNNNNNNNNNNNNNNNNNNNNNNNNNNNNNNNNNNNNNNNNNNNNNNNNNNNNNNNNNNNNNNNNNNNNNNNNNNNNNNNNNNNNNNNNNNNNNNNNNNNNNNNNNNNNNNNNNNNNNNNNNNNNNNNNNNNNNNNNNNNNNNNNNNNNNNNNNNNNNNNNNNNNNNNNNNNNNNNNNNNNNNNNNNNNNNNNNNUCGCCAGUAGGUUACCUGUUCAACCUACUCGUGUUUUCUUGCUUCCGCUUGUGUUUAGUAGCUCUGAAUACUUUAGAAUUUUUGUAUAUUAUGUGAUGUUCAGAAGUGUUAAAUUAAGAGUGUAAUAUGAAAUUUUCGAGUUAGGGUUGUCCAUCUGCAAGGGAGAUUUUCUUAAUCUUUUCAGUAAAUUUUCCUUGGAGGUGGUCCCCGCACGACUUACUCUGGGUUUCAGGGUGAAAUUCGGGGUGGGUCGUGUCUGUUGGUAUCAGAGCUAUAGGUUUCCUUUUCCUGCUUCCUUGUCACUAUCACAUUUGCCUAAGUAGCAUGUAGUGUCUAUAGAGUGAUGAUCCGACCGCGGCGGAUUCAUUGGCAUUUUAUGCUUUUGAUGCUAUGUGUUAUUGGGUAUAUGUGAUUAUUGUGUUAGUCUUGUUUAUGGACUACUAAAUUUCUUCUUCCUCAGGUACUAUGCCUCCUAGGCGUCCACGGCAACCCCGUGUGGCUACUUCGACCAAUGCCGAUGAGGGCAAUGAGGUCAGGGGACUAGUUGAUGAUAUUGGGAAUAUGCUAAGGGAUGUCAUGGAUCGAGCUCCACAACCUCAUACAGUGAAGAUGAGAGAAGUUUAUGAGGCUGGAGCAAGAGAGUUCAAGGGUGCCAAGGGACCCCUUGAUGCUUAUACUUGGGUGGACAAAAUGGAAAAGGCUUUUGCGAGCACAGAUUUGCCAGAAGAAAGGAAGGUGAAGAUGGCAGUAACUUUCCUGGAUGAUUCAGCACAUCACUGGUGGUUGCUUGCCAGCAGGAAUGUUGAGGAUGCGCUGAAUAUGUCGUGGGAGCAGUUUAAGACUCUCUUCUUGGGGCAAUAUUUCAGUCCUGCCCACCGCAGCAGAAUUCAGUCAGAUUUCCUGAAUAUGAAGAAGAGGGAUGAUGAGGGUGUUAUAGAGUUCCAGGAGAGAUUCACUUCCCUGAGCUAUCAUGUGUCAUAUCUGGUUCCUGAUGAGAGGACCAGGAUGGAGAUGUUCAUUGGGGCUCUUGGUGGAGUGUUUGCAGAUAAGAUGAUGAGUGUUUAUUACCCGACUUUCUCUGAUGCUGUUCAUGCAGCCAUGGCCAUCGAGUCUAUGGGGAUUUAUAGUGCUCGGCCACGAGAUUUCGGUGGCCCCAGUCAGGGUCCAUCCAAGAAAGCUGCUUCAUCAUCCGCUUCAAGUUCAUCAGCUGGUAGUGGCAGUAGUGGGGGAUCAGGUUCUCAUUCUCGGUUCAGGGUUAGAGGACGUCACAGGAGACCUGCUAGGAGCCAGUUGGGUAGGCAGCAGUCUGGGCAGUAUGGUUCGGGUGGCAGUUUCCAUGGUGGGUCAUCCGGUAGCCAGACUUUUUCNNNNN